UUAGUGUCAUUUAUAUAGGUUGUCAUAUUCUCUUAAACAAAAAUUAUAGGUAAUUUAUAUUUUAUACAAAUGAAAAAGUAAAUUUUAACCUAUGAAAUUGAUUUAAACAACUGAAGAUUAAAACCUAGUAUUAGAAAGGAAAACUAAAUUAACACCAAUUUGCCCAAAAUUAAACCAUGUAUUAUACUAAAUUAAUUCACAAGAGAGUUCCACAUCACUCAAAUAUUAUCUCGCACUCAAAUUCACAAAACUCACUUUCCAGGUACAAAGUUUGUAGCAUAUGACCAUGCAUUGUUUGCAACCGGGUCCGCAAGAUGGUCAGCGAGGUUCUCCAAUGGUCCCUUUCCGGUAACAAUGGCUUGAACAAAGAAUCCAAACAUAGAGAACAUGGCUAGUCUGCCGUUCUUGAGCUCCUUCACUUUCAGCUCAGCAAAUGCCUCUGGGUCAUCAGCCAGACCCAAUGGGUCGAAGCUACCACCAGGGUAAAGUGGGUCAACUACCUCACCAAGAGGUCCACCAGCAAUUCUGUAACCUUCAACUGCACCCAUCAAGAUCACUUGGGUAGCCCAGAUGGCUAAAAUGCUUUGUGCAUGGAUCAAACUUGGGUUCCCCAAGUAGUCAAGACCACCCUCACUAAAGAUCUGGGAUCCAGCCUUGAACCAGACAGCCUCACCAAACUUGACACCAUUACGCGCCAAGAGUUCGGGGAAGACGCACCCAAGAGCUCCGAGCAUGGCCCAUCUGCUGUGGAUGACCUCAAGCUCACGGUUCUUGGCGAAUGUUUCAGGAUCAGCAGAGAGCCCAGCAGUGUCCCAACCGUAGUCACCGGGGAACUCACCGGUCAGGUAAGAUGGGGCUUCGCCGGAGAAUGGGCCAAGGUACUUAACACGGUCGGGGCCGUACCAUGGACUUCCUGAUGGUGCGACUUUCUUGACUGCUGUCUUCCUCAUGGAAACCCUUCCAUUUCCGGUAAUUUCAGAACCAGAUGGUGCUACUUUCACCGCCUGUCCGACGAAAGAAGAGGAUAGUGCCAUGGUGGAAGCUGCCAUUUUUGUGAGAUUUGUUUUGAAGAUGUUUUGAUGAUAUGAUAGUAUUAUGAGUGAUGAAGAUGUGUGGAUCUGGAACGUAGAUUUAUAGGGUGGUUUUUGGGCCAGGUAGUUGAUCAAUGCUUAUCUUGAUACACUCUUUAACUUCAUUUUGAUUGGCUACCAAGAUUUUAGUUCUAUCAGAGGGUAUAUAAUUUGUGUGGUUCAAGUUCUCUGGUCCACGGGAGAUAUUUGAAGGGGCAGCGAUAUUCAUGGCUCUGGCUUAUUGAGCGAAUAUAAUGGCUCGCAUUCUCAGCCACUAGCUAGUCUUGGUGGGGUUUUAGCCAGUCUUUGUGCGGUUUUUCAUGUUUAACCAUUACCAUAGUAUCGACUAAGUUUAGUCCAAACAUGCAUUGAAGUUCAGUAGAUUUGUAUUAUCAUUUUGUUUUUUAUACAAAUUUAUCAUUUUCGUACAUAAUAUAAACUCUAGGAAAAUUAAAUAGAAUAUAUUUUGAGAUAUUGACAACAUUGACCAAAUAAUAAAAAAACGUAACACACCAUUCUAAAAAAUAACAUAUAACCAUGAUGUCCGAAAAAAAUAUAACAUAUAACCAUGAUUUUCGAAAAACAAAAUUCUUGAAGAUGUACAAUUUUCGAAGGUACUAUUUGGUGACUAAUUUUAAAAGAAGCCAUUUUCAAAAUGUAAUAUUCUCGAAGUGAUUAUUUCAGCUACUUAAGGUGAUGUUGAUUUCAAAUCUCUAACAUGACAAAAAGCUUCCCCAACAAAUCUGAAGCAUGGACAUUUCAACCUAAAGAUGGGUGAGGGAAGUUCUUUUAUUGAUCAUCUUUUGUUUUCUAACAGCUUGUAGAACAUCUAGAAAUAUUGGAUGCCACAUAUGAAAAAGAAGACUUGCCGUUGUUCCUAUUGUCAUCUUUAACAAAUUCAUAUGAUGACUUUUGUGAUAAUAUUAUCUAUAGCUGAGACACCAUUGUCUUGGAUGAGAUCAUGACCACUUUAGACUUGAACGAAAGGAUGAAACUUAUCAUUAGUGAUAGUAAUGGUGAUAUAAAGGACGAAGGUCUCCAAGUAAGAGGAAGAUAUAUGUAGGGAAGUAACGAUUCCAAAUCCCUUAACAAGUCAAGAUCCAAGUCCAAAGAGAAACGUAUAUAGUGCAAAUAUUGUGUGUCUGUUGAAGCUGAUGUGGCCGAGAUCGUCUUUGAUGGCGAGCUUCUAGAAUUAUUUCUGACGAUGGUUAUUUGAUUACCACGAACGGUGGGUUCUUGAAUUUGUGCGUGCUUUUCACAUGAGUCCAAACAAAUACUAUUGUCACACCACAUUGAAAAGGAUAGUUGAUGCCAAGUUUUAAUAGGCAACGUCGACACUUCCUCCCUUAUUUUAGGACAAGCCACAAUUAGAUUUUGAAUGUUCGAUGGUGUAGUAAGUGUUGGGUUUCUAUAACAUCAAGUACACACAAACAAGGUAGUGGAAACAAUGAAAUGAUAUACCUAAGUGCAUAUGCUCUUUAGAUCUAGGUUUUACUAGUUUUAGCAAAAUACUUAAAAAUCAACAUAAAAUAAAGAUAAAACACUUACUUUUUGUUCAUUUGUAACGUCAUAAUAAAUACUCUCUCCGUCCCAAAAUUAUUGUUCACAGACAAAAAAAAAACACACAGAUUAAGAAAACAUUAAUUACUACUAACUUUAUUCAAUAAAAUGACAGUUAUGUCCUUAUUUUGCAUUUAAUGUUCGAUUAAAUGCUUAGUUGGUUAAGUAAUAAUAAUAAAGUGUAUUUUGGUAAAAAAGUUAUUUAUUUUUAUAAGUGGACUAUAAUUUUAGGACAAACCAAAAAGGAAAGAUGGACUAUAAUUUUGGGACGGAGAGAGUAAUAAUUACUAAAAUAAAAUCCUAAAAUAGGAUAAUCUAUAGCCGUGCGCGCUGCGGACUAUAUAAUACAAGUUUCUUAUUAAGGAAAAAUAGGAAAAAUCACCCGAGUCGUCCGUAAGUCAUAAAAAUAAGUGUGCCAAAAUGUAUAUAUUAUUAUAUAUUCAAAAAGUACAUGUCGUCCUGAUCCCGAAAAUAUAAAUUUCGUAGAAAUCUUAGUUCAUAUGAAGACGAUAUGAAUUUUAUAAGACAUAAAAAUCAACAGCCUAACUAAAAAUUAUUAACGUCAAAAUGUACAAAGAGAAUGGUUGACCUUUGGGUAAAGUCACCAAAAUGAAAAUCAUAAUGCUCUUUAAUGUAAGAAUUUUGGUAAAAGAAACACAAAAACUCGGAGUCCGUAUGGGAAAGUUAUGAUUUUUGCAAAAUCAUUAAAUCAUAUAAAAAUAAGGGCUAAAAACAAAUUCAGAAUUAGCCGAUGGAGCCUAAAGGAAAGUUGUAGUAUUGUCGAGAGCUACAUGUGGAAAAAAAGAACGUCAAAAGCAGAGUCCGUAUGAAGAAGGUGAAAAUGCGACCCAAUGAGAGCUUGACACGUGACACAAUGUGGCUAGGGAGAAGUCACCUUAAAAUGCACGACGUACACCCCCAUUGCACACUGUGCACCCAAAAUCGGCUAUAAAUAGGAGGUCAAGCCUCAUUCACUCCUCAACACCGCUUCUAUCAUUCUCUUUCGAUUUCCUUUGGUUCUGGCCCAUUUUAUCUUAGUUUUAGCAUUCGGCGAAGCCCUGCGAUCCCUAAAGUAGUAGUAGUUAGCGAGUAGAAGCUUUGCCAAUGCAAUUUCCUAACUUUGUUAGGAAGAACCUUUGUAAGUUAAGCUAUACUCUAGUCUUUUCAAUGUAAGUUAUAUUUAUAGUCAUAAGUCAUUAUUAUGAACCUAUAAAUAAGAUUUAUCAAUAAUUCUAUGUCGUUAUACUGAUUGAUCUACUUACGGGAGAUGUGCCUAGAAUGGUCACGUUGGCUUGGUUGUUGGAUUUCAAAAAAGAUAAUGAUUCUGCCUCCCAACUGUCCUGCUUGGAUGAUCCUUAAUUGAUAGAUCUUGAUUUAGACAUCAAAAUUAAUGAGGAAUCUAGUCAUCAGGACCAUUAGACUAGAACUUUAUAUAAAUUAUACUUAGGUAUCGGAAAUAUCUGAGGUGUUAGGCAAAGCUCUGCCCAGAUCACCAGCCACCCACCUAAGUCAAGUGAGUACAUAGUCCCCUUCAUGAACACGAUUUAAUACAAGUAUUAAUUGAAAUAUUAAAAAUCUGCUGGAAGUCGUAUGUGAAUUAUAUACUUAUUGCCUGGAUUGUAUGUUAGGAUAUAUGGUGCUAUGUGCGAACUAGAUAUGGUUCUAUUUUAUGUUAAGAUAAAUAGAUAAUAUUACAUAAUAAUAUUCAAAGCAAAAUUGUUGAGAAGAUAAAUGAUUAAUAACACCUAAUACUCUUAUGGAAUAUAUAUAUAUAUAUAUACUAAGAUAGGUUAGUGUCGCCCAAGAAUAGAGUUGGUAUUAAAAAUUUAGUUUCAGGCACGGUAUUCUAUUCUAGGAAUAAACUUAGACUUAUGGAAGAUACCUAGUUCAAUUAAGUUGAUAUUAGAUAGUCUCAUUAGGAGAAUGUGCGUAACCUAGGAAUGGAGAGUAAAGUUUUGUUCCAUGACACUAUUAGGUGUCGAUUUGUUAUAGCUUCGUACUAGAUGACCAGAAAUGGUGGGUCCUGAUCAGGCAACUGUUAGCAGUAUGUCUAGUCACGCCACAUAGUAUUUUUGGAUUAGAUGUCCAAACCCAUAACUAUAAUUGGUAUAUACUUGACCCGAGAGUAGCAUGGUCCAUUUCAGGUUGCCUUCAUCAAAGCAAUUUGACAAGAUAGAUAUUUGAGAAAGAGGUUAUUUGUGAUUUACUAAUAUUAUAAGAAUAAUAUAUUAAUUAAGAAAUCAUAUUAUUUAAGUAGUAUUGUUCAAAAAUUAAUUUGGAAUUAAUUUAGUAAUCAAAAGAGACUAAUUAAAUUUGCAGGGACUGAUUAGGUAAAUCAGUGAUAUUUAUAGUUUGGGGCCUUUGGGCUAAUGAUCAAUGUUGAUUAGGAUUGGACUAAUUCUUUGUGAGAGUCCAUGAAGAGUUAGUCCAAAACGCUAAUGAGUUAUUGGAUUAAAAGCCCAAGUGAGUUAGGGUUUACAAGUUGAAUCCCUAGGAAUUCAUAACAUUAUUGAAGCAACAUACUAUUGAAUAAAAAAACUUCUAAACCCUAAUGGAAAUCACAAUUUUCAGAAGAAUUACAUACCUCUAAUUUGUUAUUGUAAGCAAACCUUUGAAUCCAACAAGAUCAAUCCAAAAGUCUCUUUGAAAACAAACUUCAAUUGUGAGCGAGCCUCUAAUGGUUCGCACUCACAAGACAAGAACCCUAGAAAGAUUAGGAGAGAGGUUCAAAUUUUUGGAUCUACUAUCUCAAUAGAAGUGGCCAAAAAUUUCAAGGUACAAGACCCUAUUUAUAGCUUAUUAGGAAACAUCUAGAAACCCUAAUUUGAACAUAAAAUAAAAUUAUCUCAAAUAAGUCAAUUAUUUAGUUUCUUGAUUAUCUGCAUGGAGGCUUCCUGAAACCUUAGUGGGUCUAAAAAAAAGGUCCACUGGAGGAAGGUUCUGGAAUCUCUCCUCUGCUCAACUCUUAAAACAAGUUUCGCUUUAGUCCUUCAACCUUUAAUUAAUUUUAAUUAACCAUAAAUUAAUUCCAAACCAAUUCUAAAUUAAUCAUAACUAUUUAUAAUUAAUAUAUUAAUCAUAUAAUAUAUUAAUAAAUCAUUUCUCUCUCUUCUAAAAUCAAUCUAAGCAAUUUCUUGGUUAUGAGGGCAACCCAAAAAGGACUUUGCUUUUAUUUAUCAACAUUAUAUCAAUUUAGUUUGGAUCUUAGACACCUUAAUCCAACAUAAGGUUCGUAAUACAUAUACAUGUUGUGUAUGUCCAUUAGCAAAACAAAAAUGAUUACCAUUUGUUUCUGCAAACAAUGUAUCUCAUACACCUUUUCAAUUGAUUCAUUGUGACAUUUGGGGUCCUUAUCAAAUCAAUUCACAUCGGGGUUAUAGGUUUAUCAUUACUAUUGUGGAUGAUUACACUAGAUUCACUAGGAACUAUUUGAUAAGACACAAAUCUGAGGCACAAUUUGUUAUUCCCCAUUUUUUUUUUUUAAAAAUGGUGCUCAAAUAAUAUCAUACUCAUAUAAAUAUUUUCAGAUCGGAUAAUGCAAAAGAACUUCAACUCAACGUGUUUUUUAAACUAAAUGGAGUAUUACAUCAGUUCUCGUGUGUUGAUAGACCACAACAAAACUUUGUUGUUGAGAGAAAACUUCAACAUCUCUUAAAUGUGGCAAUGACAUUGUUCUAUCAAGCUCACAUUCCUUUUAUAUGUUGGCUUGAAUGUGUUUCAACAAGUGCCUACAUGAUAAAUAGAACUCCCUCAAAAGUUCUUGGAAAUAUUUCUGCUUAUAAAAAUCUCUAUAAAGAAUAGCCUCAUUACUCAUAGCUUUGAAAUUUUGGUUGUUUACCUUUUGCAUCCACACUUCAUUCUCAAAGACAUAAGUUUGAUCAUUGAGCAAGAGCAUGUGUUUUCAUUAGAUAACCACAAGGAAUGAAAGCAUAUAGAUUUCUUGAUAUAGAAACAAAUCAAAGUUUUGUUUCUAGAGAUGUCAUAUUUCAUGAGGGGAUAUUUCCUUUUAAAUAAUGCUCGCCAUCUUCUCAUACAAAUCCAUUUAUCUUUCAUGUUUUGCCUAUACUUUUACCUAGAAUCACUCAUUCUUUUACUCCUUCAGAAAAUCUCAAUCAAUUUGAUUCCCAAAUUGAUACCUUACAAAUGAAAUUCCAAAUUCACAACCAAUAUUUCUAGACCACGAAGACAAAGAGCUCCUCCUUCAUAUCUUCAGGAUUUUCAGUAAUUUGAUAAAUCCAAUUCCAGAAGAAACAUCUAUCAAAUACCCAUUAUUUGUUGUAUUAUCUUAUUUACAUCUUUCUCCUUCUUACCAAGCAUAUACUUAUGCCUUAUCUACUCAAACUAAACCCACUUCUUUUAAAGAAGCCAUUCAACAACCUAAAUGAAAGCAAGCAAUUGAUGAAGAACGUCAUGCUUUAGAGUUAAAUAAUAGUUGAACCAUUGUAACCCUAUCUCUUGAUAGAAAACCUUUGGGCUGAAAACGGGAUUUUAAACUUAAAAAGAAGGUUGAUGGAUCCAUUGAAAUCCAUAAGGAUAUAAUGGUAGCAAUGGGCUAUAGUCAAUAAGGAGUGGAUUUUUUUGGAUACUUUCUCACUUGUGUAAAAUUUAGUCAUAGUCAAACAUUUGCUGCUAACAAAGCUUGGCCACUAAUCCAAUUAGAUGUUAAUAAGCUUUCCCAAAUGGGGAUUUAAAUGAAGAGGUUUAUAUGCACUUACCACAAGGAUAUACUCCAUCUUUGUUUCUAAUUCCAGUGGAAAAUUAGUCUGCAAUUUUGAAAAAUAUUUAUAUGGUUUACAACAAGCUUCAAGGCAAUGGUAUGAUAAAUUUUCAAAAUUUUCUUAUUUCUAAAUAUUUCAAGCAAUAUCAAUAAAAAAAUUCCUUAUUUUUCAAAGGAAAAGAUGAUAAUUUUAUGGCCUUAUUAGUAUAUGUAGACGAUAUUGUCCUUACGGCUUAUUCUCUCACAACCAUUAAUAACAUCAAACAACGUUCAAGUGAUGCCUUUUAUCUCAAAGAUUUGGGUAAACUCAAACAUUUUUUGGGUUUGGAAAUUGGAAGAUCCCCAAAUGGAAUUGUCAUUUCUCAAAGGAAAUGUGUUAGAUCUAUUUGAAGAUGUUAGCAUGUUGGUAUCCAAACCAACCUCUCAAUUAAUGGAUCCUUGUCAUAAAAAAUUAAUUUUUUAUGGAUAACCUGUAUAAGAUCCAUCUCAUUAUCGCCAUUUAGUUGGUCGUCUUCUUUAUCUCACAAUCACACCUCCCGAAAUAGCUUAUGUAGUACACAGAUUAAGCCAAUAUAUUUCUGAUCUAAAAAUACCACAUCUUCAGGUAGCUCAUCAUGUGUUAUGAUUUUUAAAGGAUAACCCUAGACAAGGUUUGUUUAUUUCAUCCAAACCAUCUUUGCAAGUCAAAGCAUUCAAUGAUUCUGAUUGGGUUGGAUGUAUUAACACUAGAAGAUCUUUUACAGGUUUUUGUGUUUUUCUUGGAGAUUUCUUAAUCUUGUGGAAAUCCAAGAAAAAAACCACUUUUCCAAGAAGAUCAAUAGAAGUAGAGUACAGGGCACUGGAUCUGUCAUAAAUGAUGUGAUCUGGUUAAGAUAACUUAUGCGUGAUUUUUUUUAUUAAUUUGGAUCCACCAACAUUUGUUUUUUGUGAUAAUAAUUUUGCAAUGCAAUUAGCUGUCAAUCCUAUAUUUCACUAGAGGACUAAGCAUAUCUAAAUCGAUUUCCAUUUCAUAAGGGAAAUGAUUGUGGAUCACACCAUCAAACUCAUGCCCAUUCAUACUUCAAAUUAACUAGCGGAUAUAUUUACAAAACCCCUUGCUUAUUCUAGAAUUGCUUUGAUUUUAUCCAAGAUGGCACUUAAAAGUAUUUUUUAGUGUACAUCUUGAGGGAGGUAUUAGAGCAUAUUGACCGCUUAGUUGAUUAAAUAUCUAUUACGAUGCCGUUUUAUAUUUGUCAUUAGAAAUAAAGGUAGUGAAACUAUGUCAUUUACUUGUGUAAAUAAGUUGUUAAGUUAGUUAGGUGCAUGUUAGCUAAUGUUGUGCAAGAUAAUAGUUAUAUAUAAUCUCAUUUUAUAUUUAUUGAUGAAUAAGAGAAGAUUAUAUUCCCUUUUCAAUUCUUUUUCUUCUUGAUUGUAAAUCUUUCCUCUACCCAUACCUUUCAUAACCCCCUAAAACUAUUUAAUCAAAUCGGUCACUGAAUUCUUGUUUCCAAUUUUGAUUCGAACGACGGUACCUCAAGCCAUUGUUUCAGAUCUUGAGGUAAAUACAAUUGCUCUAUUUCCCUUAAUUAUAAAUUGCAUUCAUGAUUUAUUGUUGAUUGAUGGUGCUAAAUGUUCAGAUGUAAAUCAUACACAUUGUGAACUUAUAGAAACAAUAUGUUGUUCCUAAAAUUGGUAAAAUCCAAAAUCCAAGAUGAUGCAAAUAUCGAUGCUCUACUAAAACUCAUAUAUGUCAAUGGCGCUACAUGAUGGAAAAAGAGCCACUUUUAGUUUGUUGUCAAAAGGCAAAGUGAAGUUAAGACAGUCUUCUCUCAAAUACGACCUCUAGCCUUAGGCUUCAAGUUGUUUCUCGUGUGAGUUUGGGUCUUUCAAAAUUCAACAAAUUUGCUACAAUGGAUACAAAUGUUCUUUAUGGAUACAUCACUAGACUGUAAAAUGAGAUUGAUAACAUUCACGAUGUUGUUAGAUUGCUUACAUUCAUGAUGUUGUUACAUUGGUAAAAGUCCGAGAUGACAUCAUGGUGGACGUUGGUAGAACGAGACAUGACAUUGUGUUCCUGCUCAGUACUACGCUUCCACCAUACUUAGUGUCACUUAUAUGUAGAAAGGUGUUAUCUAUAUCAAUUUUAUAUAUUAUGUAUAGUGUAGGGAGACAAUUUUAACAAUGUAUUGUAUAAAUAUAUUCUGCAAUAUACGCCUCCAAAUGAUGAGGUUUUUCCCACUUUAAUAUGGUAUCAAGCUACGGUUUCUACCCUCUUUAAUCAUACGUAUGGAUCAAACCUUUUACCGCCUCACAUUUUUUUUUCUGGCCAUUAAUCACGUUGUCGCUGCUCUUAUAUGCCACUAUAAUUGUCGACUGCUUCUCAAUUUUUCUCGACGUGCUCUCCUCCGUGCAUUAGGGUCUUCCUAAAAUAUGGUUGUGGUUGAUUCUUUUAUGUUUCCAACAAUAUUUUACAAUCUCCUGCUGUGAUCACAUAAUUUUGCCCUCAUCAUUAUUGUGUGCGUUUCUUGCUCCUUAAGGUAUUGCCUCCAUGACCACUCCUGGUUCAUCCUCUACCACCACUCCCAUGAAGUUAAGUCUCGUUUGUACUCUCACCAACGUUUACAAUCAUUUUAGUUUCAAAUUAAAUGUUGAUGAGCCAAACUGUAAACUAUGGAAUCAGAUUUUUUCAAACAUGUGUCGAGGCACAUUGUCCUAUGGUAAUAUUUCAUAGAAAUCGGUUCCAACCAGAGAUGAUGAGGAAUGAUAUUCGGUUGAUGCAAGGCAUCAAUUCUUAUUUUUAUAGUAUUGUGAUCCCGAGUUUCUUCAAUUCAUCUUGAGCGAUGAUUACACCACCACAAAUCUUUCGAAAAAAUUAGAUGAAUUUUUCGGAACAACAAAAUAUCUCGAAUGUUGCAAUUACAGGAUUAAUUUCGCAAUACGAAGAAGGGUUCAAGCUCCAUUACCGAAUUUUAUCACAUUCUCAAGAACCGUGCCAAUGAUCUCAAAGAUGUUGGUUCCACCAUCAUCGAAAUUGAGCUAGUAAUGCCAAUCUUGAGACAAUUACCAUCUCAUACCAUAGUAUUACGGAUGUCAUCACCAACAUCAAGCCUUUUCACUCUUUCCUUGAGGCCAAGAAUAUGCUUUUACUUCAUGAGUCUCGAGAAACGGCUUAAGAUUCCUUCACAAAUUCAUCCAUGUCUCAUAGUGUGGCUCUAUUUUCCUCAUCCAACAAUUUGGGAAAUCCAAAUACCGAUGGUCGAAAAACUGGAACAAUUCCCGAAAAAUUGAAAAACAAUGCACAUGGAAAUCAUUUUGAUUCGCAACCGCAAUUUAUUAGAAUUCUUGGAAAUGCUCUGUUGCCACCUCCGCGUGCUGCCUCUGGUUACGUUGCUGCUAUCCCAGCUGCUUCGCACUUAAUCCUACUGUCUUACAGCUCCUAUCUGUAGGUUCCAUUCUCGCCGAAUCAGCAGCCCACGUGACAACUGUCAGUGCCUCCGCAACCCUCUUCUCAACAUUUCACUUUUCAUCAGCAUCUGACUCAUGUUGUUGGGUCUUCAUCAUCAGCUACACCCCUCAGACUUGUUUCUCAACAACCAAGUCAGGUGCCUCACGGUCACUUUUCUCAACAUCAAUUUUUUGGUGGAUCUACUUUUGGUUGUCACGUUCAGACUACUCCUUAACAAUUCAUCGAUAUCGCCUCUGCCUUUCAAUCCAUGUCUCUUCAGCCGCCUCUCGACAACAACGUUUACGUGGACUCCGGUGCUAGCUAUCACAUGUCCUUCAAAUCAGUUAACAUGCCUUGCCUAUCACUACGUAAUUCUAGAUCUCUAAUAGUUGCUAAAGGUGCUAUACUUCAUAUUACUCAGACUGGUCAAAUUUUUUUUCCACAUUCACACAACUGUUUAGCUCUAAAUAGCAUACUUGUCUCAAAUAAAAUUGUUAAAAAUCUCAUUAAUGUAUGUCAGUUCACUGUUGAUAACUUUGUCUCUGUAACUUUUGACCCUUUUGGUUUCACUGUGAAGGAUUUUAAAACAUGUGCGUUUAUUUAAAGAUGUGAUAAUGGCAGUGAUCAUUGUCCCGUUAUCCCCAUGCCAACUCCUUCUUUUUCUAACACUAGUUGUGUUGUUGUUUCUCUCCCAACUUGGCAUAUGCGUCUUGGUUACCUUGGCUCAUCUAUUUUGAAUUUUUUACAUUCUUGCAAGUUUAUUUCCCAUACUACUACUAAACUACCCAUCUAUCAUGCUUAUUAGCUUGGGAUGCAUUGUCGUUUACCCUUCUCUUCGUCUAUAAUUAAAACUACUAGUAUGUUUGAAUUGGUGCAUUUAGAUUUAUGGAUAUCUCUUAUUGCUAGUCUAAGUUGUUUUAAAUAUUAUAUUUUUUGGAUGAUUUUACUCAUUUCUUAUGGGUUUUCCAUCUUCGUGAAAAAUCUGAUAUUUUUGAUGUUUUAUCUAACUUCCAUGGAUGUGUCCAAACUCAAUUUAAACCUGACAUCAAAUUUUUUCAAUGUGAUAAUGGUUGUGAAUUCAAUAACAAAUCUGUUCUCACUUUCUGUGCCCAUAAGGAAAUCAAAAUUGGCUUCUCUUGUCCGUAUACGUCCCAACAGAACGAUAAGGUUGAAAGAGUCAUACGAACCAUUAAUAACAUCCUUCGAACUUACCUGUUUCAAGCCUCCCUGCCUCCAACAUUUUGGGUUGAAGCUCUCCUCAUUACUGUUCAUACCCUUAAUCUCCUUCCCACCUCCACUCUUGCGUUUCAAACACCCUUUGAGCUUCUCUUUGGUGUUUUUUCCCUCCUAUGAUCACCUUUGAGUAUUUGGGUGCCUUUGCUACCCAAAUCUCUCAUCCACGACUCCCCAUAAGAUCUCUUAUAGGUCUUCUUCAUGUGUAGACCUCAAUCCCUCCUCUAAUCAUUGUGGCUUUUGUUGCCUUAAUCUCAUCUCCCAACGAGUAAUUAUCUCUCGUCAUGUCAUCUUUGACGAUCACUUCCAUUUCUCUACCUUUCAUGAUAAACCCUCAACCAAUUACUAUGAUCCUUUCCUUUCCGAGGAUAUACCUCCCCUCCUUACAGUAUGCACUACUCUUCGCAUCACUGAGCCCUCUCCUAGUGAAUCUUCUCCCGCUCUUUCUGAUAGUAGUUCCCCUCAACCCACUGCCUCCUCCUCCUUUCCUAAUACUAUUCCUACCCCCUCCUCCUACCCAUCCCAUGGUCACUUGCUCUCGCACUGGCUUUCUCAGGCCUAAGUAGAUUUUUAAUCUAUUUGCCACUUCUGAUGUCUCCCCUAUCCCUCGCUCUAUAUCUCAAGCUCUAUGUGAUCCUAACUGGAUUUUUCCAUGGACUCUGAAAUGCAGGCUCUUCACUCCAAUCACAAAUGGGAACUUGUUCCCCUUUCUCCAUGCCAAAAUUGUUGGUUGUCGCUGGCUUUAUUGUCAUAAGUUUGACAGAAAAGGUAACCUAGAUCGCUAUAAAGGUUGCCUUGUUGCUUAGGGAUUCUCUCAGCUUCCUGGUCUUGACUUUGAUGAUACCUUCAGUUCUGUUGUCAAACCUGAUACGAUUUGUACUGUUCUAAUUAUUGCGAUGUCCAAGCAUUAGCCAAUUCAUCAACUAGAUAUCAAAAAUGGUUUCCUACAUGGUUACCUAUCUGAGGAAGUUUACAUGAAACAACCUCAUGGGUAUGUCCAUCCCUCCCUUCCUAAUCAUGUAUGCCGACUUCUCAAAGCUCUUUAUGGUCUCAAAUAGACUCCCAAGCCAGGUACCAACGCUUUGCUGUUUUCAUCACCUCUCUCGGUUUUACUAGAAGUCGGUCUGAUUGUUCCUUAUUUACUUAUCACUCUGGUUUCGACCAUAUCUUCUUUCAUUUUUAUGUUGAUGAUAUCAUCCUCACCUCCUCCUCUUUCUCCACUCUCAUCACUCACAUUAUCUCAUGUCUCUCGUCUGAGUUUUCCAUGUCCAAAUUGGGUCCUAUUUCCUUAUUCAUUGGCAUCGAUGCUUUUCGAUCUGAGGAGAGUCUAAUUUUAUCUCAGGCUUCCUUUAAUGACAUCUUAGCUCGUGCUGACAUGUCUUCUUGCAAUCCGUGCAGUACCCUAUCUGACACUAAAUCUAAACUUUCUCCUCACGGCUCUCCUGUCUCUGAUCCCACUCUCUACAGGAGUCUUGUUGGUGCCUUACAAUAUCUUACUUUCACUCGUCCUGACAUUGCAUAUGUUGUACAGAUCUCUCUUCAUGUUUGCGUGAACCUCAUCUUCUUGCUCUUAAACGUAUCCUUCACUAUCUUCAGGGUACUAUUUCUCAUGAUAUGUUUAUUCGACCUUCCUCCAUUGAUCACUUGGUCUCCUAUUAUGAUGCAAACUGGACCGAGUGUCCUCAUACUCGUUGGUCUACUUCUGGGUUUUGUGUUUAUCUUGGCAAUAAUCUCGUCUUUUGGUCCUCUAAACAUCAACAUGUUGUUUCUCACUCCUCAGCUGAGGAUGAGUAUUGUGGGAUGGCUAAUAUGGUUGCUAAAGCUGCUUGGCUUUGUAAUCUCCUUCUUGAGUAAUCUUGUACGUUAUCUAAAGCAACAUUUAUGUUUUACUAAAUGUGAGUGCCAUGUAUUUAUCUUCUGAACCAUUAAAACACGAACGUAUUGCUCGUGCCGUCGAUUCACUAAUUUGCAGAUAUAUUUACAAAGGGUCUUCACCGGUUUAAAUAUUUGUAAAUCUCAUGCUCUAACUAGAGGGUGCCUUAGUUUAUAUUAGUUUAUAUAUAUUAUGUAUAGUGUAGGGACCAAUUGUAACUUUAUAUUGUAUAAAUAUAUUCUGCAGUAUAUGUCUCAAAUUGAUGAGGCUUUUCCCACAUUUAACAAAAGGAAAACUAAAUUAACACCAAAUUGCCCAAAAUUAAACCAUAUAUUAUACUAAAUUAAUUCACAACAGUUCGACAUCAAUCAAAUAUUAUCUCGCACUCGAAUUCACAAAACUCACUUUCCGGGUACAAAGUUUGUAGCAUAUGACCAUGCAUUGUUUGCAACAGGGUCAGCAAGGUGGUCAGCGAGGUUCUCCAAUGGUCCCUUUCCGGUAACAAUGGCUUGAACAAAGAAUCCAAACAUAGAGAACAUGGCUAGUCUACCGUUCUUGAGCUCCUUCACUUUCAGCUCAGCAAAUGCCUCUGGGUCAUCAGCCAGACCCAAUGGGUCGAAGCUACCACCAGGGUAAAGUGGGUCAACUACCUCACCAAGAGGUCCACCAGCAAUUCUGUAACCUUCAACUGCACCCAUCAAGAUCACUUGGGUAGCCCAGAUGGCUAAAAUGCUUUGUGCAUGGAUCAAACUUGGGUUCCCCAAGUAGUCAAGACCACCCUCACUAAAGAUCUGGGAUCCAGCCUUGAACCAUACAGCCUCACCAAACUUGACACCAUUACGCGCCAAGAGUUCGGGGAAGACGCACCCAAGAGCUCCGAGCAUGGCCCAUCUGCUGUGGAUGACCUCAAGCUCACGGUUCUUGGCGAAUGUUUCAGGAUCAGCAGAGAGCCCAGCAGUGUCCCAACCGUAGUCACCGGGGAACUCACCGGUCAGGUAAGAUGGGGCUUCGCCGGAGAAUGGGCCAAGGUACUUAACACGGUCGGGGCCGUACCAUGGACUUCCUGAUGGUGCGACUUUCUUGACUGCUGUCUUCCUCAUGGAAACCCUUCCAUUUCCGGUGAUUUCUGAACCAGAUGGUGCUACUUUCACCGCCUGUCCGACGAAAGAAGAGGAUAGUGCCAUGGUGGAAGCUGCCAUUUUUGUGAGAUUUGUUUUGAAGAUGUUUUGAUGAUAUGAUAGUAUUAUGAGUGAUGAAGAUGUGUGGAUCUGGAACAUAGAUUUAUAGGGUGGUUUUUGGGCCAAGUAGUUGAUAAAUGUUUAUCUUGAUGCAAUUUUUAACUUCAUUUUGAUUGGCUACCAAGAUUUUAGUUCUAUCAGUGGGUCCAUAAUCUGCGUGGUUCCACUAUUCGAGUUCUCUGGCCCACAUGAGAUAUUUGAAGGGGCAGCGAUAUUCAUGGCUCUGUCUUAUUAAGCGAAUAUAAUGGCUAGAAAUCUCAGCCACUAGCUACCAUGCACAAACCGGUUUUUUUUUUGAACCGGACCGCUUCAAAAAUCCGGUUCGGUUCUAGUCAAUUUAGUCAAAACCAGUUUGGUUCCAAACCGGUCCAGCUUCAAAAUAAUUCAAACGUAUGUAAACUCGUUAAAGAAAAAACCGGUUCAAAAAGGGUUCAAAACCAGUUUGACGGAAAAAAGGUUUUUUUCAAUUUUUAUUUUGUUUUUAGGCUAAUAACUGAAAAAUAGGAAUUUUUUUUUAUAAUAUUGCUUUUAUUGUGUUUAAAAAAAAAGUUUCACACUAGGUUUUUUGAAAAUGGAAGUGGAAUGAAUUGGGAAUUCAUAAGCCUUUUUUUUGGUAAUACACACGUACACACGUCCAUAUGCCAAAAGGUUUUUAUUAUUAUUUUUUUUAUUUCUUGUUUAAUCUUUUGAUGUAUUAAAUUUUUUUUUUGUUUCAGAUUUGAUGUUUUAUCUUUUUUUUUUUCAUUUUUUUUGUUUUUUAUAUUGGAAAUACAUAAUACAACUUCAAACAUAAAAACACAAAACAUCCAAAUUGUCAAACUAAUACAUCUUCAAAUAUAAAACAUUGAUGUCGUCGUAGUCUUCAUUCCAAGUCCGUAGUCAUUGUAUUUAUUCGUCAUCCGCCAUGUCGUUGCGUAAUUCUCUCUCAUACUCGAUCUCUUCUAGGGUGAGUGACACCGACAUUCCCAUCGCUACUUCUUCCUCAUGUACUCGUGCUUCGACAUGCAACGAUGUGCCUUCUAGUGCUUCGAUGUCUUGUAUCCUUUCCACGCCAUCAAGGUAGUAUUUCAAGCAAAUGCACACUUCCACCGACAAAUGGGUUAGUUUUGUUCUUCUUGGUGAUAUUACCCUGCCACUAACAGAAAAACCGAUUCCGANUUACCCUGCCACUAACAGAAAAAGCCGAUUCCGAAGCUACCAUAGAAGCUUGGGAGCUUAGUAGAUCACGGGCCAUAGCGGCUAGAAUUGGAAAUUAGGUUUCCUUUCCUUUCCACCAAACCAAAAUAUCAAAAUUUUCAAACUCUUGAAUACUCAUUUCACUACUAGAAAAAUAGCCUUUUACGACGCGCGAACAACGACACGCGCUGUUUUAUGAUACACAAUAGUGUGUGCCCUAAAAAUAAUGUCGGCUCUCCAAAAAUUAGAAGGAUUUAGGGUACGCAUUUUUGCGCGCCCUAAAAUAAGUGUUACAUUAAAAAAAAACACGGAGGGCACAUAACAUAAAACGCGCGUCCACUAAGUAUGUCGCUUUAUAUUUUUUAAAUGAAAUGCGGGUCACAUUUUUUAGGGAAAACGAAAUUCCAAAAAGUUUGAAAGGCCCGCCAUGUUCCUACCUUCUUUCCACCGUUCUUCUCUCCCUUACUCAAAAUACCCAAAAAAAACCCUAAUAUACUCAUCGCUCCUCUUUUCUCCCAUAACAAACUCGCACCAUCACCAAAUCUCUGAUCUCCCACCAGCAAAAGGUCUCCUACCGAUGUCUCCACCUACUCUCUGCCCUCUCACUAUUUCUCUCAAUUAAAAACGCUAGAUCUCUCAAUCAGAGAACCAUGGCUACUUCUCCUUUCUCCCACACCAGUUGGCAAAAAGUGAGGAGUCUCGAGCCUAGCAGUUGAUAUUCACAUGCCCUCUUAAAUUGAAGGAAUCAGAACAUUGUCGACAUCAAUUCGUUAAUCAUCACUAGAGAAAUCAGAUACGCCAUCUGGUUGAUGAGUCAAGAGAAAUCACAUAUGUCAUCGCUUCAGCAAUCAUCCCUCCUUUUAACCGUAAGUUUUCAAUCUUACACUUUACAAAUAUCAUAUAAACAUCUCUCUCUCUCUCUCUCUCUCUCUUUCUCUCUCCUGCUAUACCUUGAUGAAUUAUCGCAUACAUAUGGAGGAACUGCUUUCUAAAAGCCAGCUAUCGGGAGAGUCAACAGGGUCAAUUGGGUGUUCAAAAGGUGCUUCGAUAUCAUCUUCCCGCCAGCAAAUCUCUGUUAAAGUUGUCACAGAGUAAUCCAUUUGAGUUUGGGCAUAUAUUUUUUGUUAUUAAUUUAGGGGGAGACUGUGUUCCAUGAUUUUGGUCAUGCAUUUCUUCAGCACACGCUAACAAGACAAGAUGAAGGGCUUGUUGUUGGUAUUCGUGGCAUAGAGUGGAUGCUGUUGAGUUACCUUUCCAGUUCAUGGAAAAUUGGUGCUACCGUAGGUAGGUAUAUAUAUCUCCAAUUUCAAGAUGUUGUUCAACUGCUGCAGGAACGAGGUGAGGGUGGCUGAUGAGAAUUUGUGACAGGAACUAUCCGAUUGGGGAUUCCAGCUCAAGUGGGGCAGUUGGCGCAUCAGAUCCAGCAGAAUCAGAAGAUAAUGAGGCCUUUAUUGCAAUUCUCUUCUUUUGAAUAUGAAAAGAUGCACUUUUCAGUCCUAAUCUGGGAUGUGAAAAUGAAAGGAACCCCUGUUUAGCCAACAAAACAAAGUAAAAUUCAGUUACAACACUUACCCAAAUAUAGCAUUCUACCUUUAAUUUUUCUCAUCAAGACAAAAUUGAAUCAGUUAUGAAACCGACCACAUAAAAGGCUGUUUUUCUAGAGUUGCAAUGUUAGGAAUAAAAGUCACAAUGGUAUGUGGUCGGUUUCAUAACUGAUUCAAUUUUGAUGAGUAAACAGGUUAGAUUUCAUAUGGUUGUUUGUUCAGAUUGGUAUUCAUCCUGAUUUUCCUUCAAUUAUGCAACAACUAUGCUGGAAUUUGCUAUGUUCCAUACUCGGAUUUUGAAUUUAUCGGAAAAUUGAAUAAUUAAUCUGGAAAAAUACCAUCUUUGAAUGAUUUUUUUGUCAUCUGUAGAUAAGGAAUACCAUCUUUGGGUAAUUAGUUUAUCUAGUCUACAUGAUUAAAUUAAUGGACAUAUAAUUCUCUAUUGAUAGAACAAAAAACAUUGCUUUGUAGUGAAGAUAAGGAAUACCAUAUUUGGGUAAUUAGUUUAUCCAUACUCGGAUUAUGAAUUUAGCCCACCAUCAGCAGGGGAUUGCUGAGUUUUAUGUGACCAUAAUGCCCUUUCGGUUUGUAGUGAAGAUCCAAGCAUGUAAUUAAUAACACCUCUAAUUAAUUAAUUAAUUAAUCCCCUAAAACUAACUAUGGUUAAAUUAAACUGGUGGUAGGUGCCAGUGUACAUAGGGGCACAUAUGGUCAAAUAUGUUUUAAUUAUUAGUCUAAUAUCUUUUGAUACUUAUCAAUAACAACAAAAUAAUGUAAAAUCGUGUGAAUACAAUUCAAGGGUAUAAUGGUCUAGACAGAGAUUAUUUUUAUUAAAGAUAUUUAUUUAUUAAUCAUCAGAGAAGAAGGAAUUAAUAUGAAAGAAUCACUUACUGCAAAAUAAUCUUCAAAUGUAAAAUCAACAUAGCCUAAGCCCUGAUUUUUAUUUCACCACAGGUUGGCGAGCUGGCGGGAAUAGCUUUGGGAGCAACUGUCAUGCUUAAUAUUCUUAUAGUUGUGUACGUUAUGGUCAAAAUAGUUCAGCAAGAACCUCUGUUGAAAUGAUAUAGGCCACUAAUUAUUUAAAACUAUCACUGGCUCCUCAUUAUGGUCAAAAUAGUUGGUCUGUUAAAAAUUGUGACUAUGAGCAAUUUGCCACUUCUAAAUGGGUUCUUUGUAGUUUUCCUUUCUAUAAUUCAGGAAAUAGGAUCAUAUUUUACUCUUGCAGAAAUAGUUAUGGUCUGUGAGCAUUCUUCCAGAUUGUAAGAACGUAAUUUUCAACACAACAAAGGUGAAAUUAUAUCUAUGUUUUCUUGUGUAUUUAACUUCACAGGAGCUGAAACAUGAUCUAAUUUUUUUUAUCUAUUGGUUAUGUUGAAUAUGGAUAAAAGGUUGUGGCUCAGAAAAGUGUUGGUGAUGCUUCUACAUUUGUUGAGAGUGAAUUUUCACUGUCAAAUUCAAGUUGGAUUUGGUAUGUAGAAAAAGUGUGUGUUUAGAGUAAGGACUUUUUCCUUGUUGGACUGUAAUAGUAGACCAAUAUGAUUCGUUUUAUAAAACCCUUAGACAGAUCACAGUUGGUUCUGCAAUUGCAUGGUCAGGUAAACAUUCUAAACACAUUUUCAAUUUAUUUUGUGAUAUUUAAUUUCUCCCAUAUUCUUUUAAAUUAUAUUAUAAUAUGCUUAUAAACACUACUUUCCUUUCAUGUAGCCAAAAAAUUGUCCCAAAGUUGACUGAGGUACUUUGGACAAAAAUACAAUGUUAGCUUACAUCUUUAUUAGUUAAUAUAAUCAAAUUUCUAAUUUUAGGUGCUAACUGAUACGCGUCCGCAAGUUCAGUCUGCAUGGCAGACAACACUCCAGCAGGUUUGACUAUAUUCUUAUGGGUUGUGGCAUUCACAUUCCCAUAGUGAUCUUGAUAAAGUUGCUUCUAUUUCCAUGCUAAGUUGGCUUUUAUUUGUAAUAUAGGAGGUCCAAAAUCUUGCAAAGAAGGCUGCAGAAACUGUGGUGUUGGUAAUUGAUGAUGAAGGGACUGAGUAUUUGAUAUCAGAACUUCUCAAGUUGCUUCUAUUUCCAUGCUAAGUUGGAUUUUAUUUAUCUUACUGUUUAUUAUCAUUUUUUAUAUAAAAUUUCAUCAUUUAUAUUAUAUAUAUAGUACAUUAUAGACUUUGCAUCAUAAUUUGUUGAAUGUUACAAGAUAUAAUUCAAAAUUCAAUUUCCUCAUGUUGUUGCUGAAAUGACAGCAAUUGGUUUUGGCCUACCAAAGAAUGCAUUCACCGCUUUAAUGAAGAAUGUAAGUGUUUAUUUUUCUUUUCUGUUUGGUGAAAAUCAUCAAAUGACAAUCUCAUUAUAUAUCUUAGGAUCUUAUCAGUUAAUAAACUUGAUCGUGGGUAUGAUCAAGCAUAGGUUUACAUUUAUACCCCUGCUUUUAUCUUUUAUCUUUUAUGUUAUAUAAUUAUAUUCCCCCUUUUUUUAUCAGGUUAAUUUGGUGGUUAAUUAUGAUCUUCCUAUAAGACAUGAUCAUCAAUCUCACUACAAGAAAAAUACCCUUUUACGACGCGCAAAACACGACGCUCUUUGAUUUAUGUUACGCAUUAGAGAGCGACAUUAAAAAAGUGUCAUCUCUUAAAAAAUUUUAAGGAUUUAGGUCGCGCAUUACUGAGUGCCCUUAAAUUAGUGUCUCAUGUAAAAAUAUUAAAAACACGGAAGGCACUUGUGCGUCGUCUGUGAAUGUCGUUUUAUAUUUUUUUUUAAGAAACACGCGUCUCGGAGGGAAAAUGAAAUCCCCAAAUUUUUUAAACCCCCACCUUUUUCUCCCUCGUCUCCACCCCUCAUCCACAUCCACUACCUCCGAUCCUCAUUUCCUCUUCUAGCCUCAAACUACGGCGAUGCACCUUCCUUCUCGAAGAAUGCUUCAUUUACCACCAUCGUCCGAUUAUGUGAGCCCAAGGAAUUGACCAAGACGAAGAAGAUAAUGGAUCAAUUGCUUCACAUCAUGUUUAAGGUUAAGGGUUUGAGUUAGUCCGCAACAGGUAAUCGAAUUUUGCCUAAUAUAUAUUUCUACUCUCAAACUGUUUAUUCGUCCGAUUGGAUGCAUAUUUACUAUUAAAUUUGGGGAUUUUCUUUUAAAACCCCCGCGCCUCUUCUUGUUUGUAGCUAAACAACCGUGAAUUUGUUAGAGUGAUUGGAAGAGGAAAAAUAGAAGAUAGAAGAAAAAGAAGAAGAAGAAAAGCGAACAAACGGGAUUUCUUGACCUGAUGUGUUAAUCCGUGAUCAGGUCUUCUGAGCGAAGAGAAGAUCUGAGGCUCAAUUGAAGAAAUAUGAGCGCUUCUAGAUUUAUAAAGUGCAUCACAGUCGGUGAUGGCGCUGUCGGGAAGACUUGUCUCUUGAUUUCCUACACCCGUAACACCUUCCCCACGGUAAUCAUCUCUUCAUCAACCGCCUUCAGUUUCUGCCCAACUAAAGCACGGUUACACACUUAUUUCUCUUCGGACGUUUCUGUGGCUUCCAUGGGAACGGAGGAGGAUGAUAUAAAUGAGGCAACAACUUCAUUCGCUACAUGUUUGAACCUUAAAUUGAAGGGAUUAUAUAUUGAAAUUUGAAUCUACAACUUCGAAUUUCAGUCAUCUCUCUUCUCUUCUACAUCUCACCUGAUUCUCUAUUGAAAUUUCUAGGGUUUUUAAUUGAACCUACAUCUUCAUCUUAAUCUUCUUUUCUGAAGUUAGGGCUUUUUUCUUAAGAACAACUAAUUUUUUGCAGUAAGUAAACCUCUAAUUUUUUCAUUUCUCAUUUCCUUAGACCUCUCCCCUUUCCAUCUCAUAUCGAGGCAAAAUCAAUUUCACUUUGGUGGCUUCGAUUUCCUAGCACAUAUUAUGUUAUUAUAUGGAUUUGUAGGAAAUUAGAAAUCAUGUUAGAAUGUUUGAUGUUCUGUAUGUUCAUAAAAGUACAUCUAAAACAAAAAUCUUAGAUUAAACAAAACUGAAGCAUUUAAUGAGAUGUAAUUACUAACUUUUGUUGGAGAUGCAAAUGCUAAAUAAAGAAAACUGAAGCAUUAAAUGAGAACCUUUAUAAUUCGAUUUCAUUCAGAUCUUCGGUGGAUAUUUAGGGCUAACAAAGAAAACUGAAGCAUUUAAUGAGAUGUAAUUACUAACUUUCGUUCAAGGUAACCCCUGUUAUGAAUACAUGUAAGAAUUUAUUUAUCUUUUUCUCUCACCACUUGCUAUCCAUGUGCUGCUCUCUCAUAGUUGAUAUCUAACAACAAAGACCUGAUCAGUCUAGUUUGCUUGUUUUUUUUCUUUUUCUUAUAAUUCUUGAAUACGUGCAGAUUUUUUAAGACUUCUAGUUUUGUUUUUUGUUCAGUGAUAUUGAUGAUGAGGCAAGUUUAUCAACACUAUGGGAGAGAUAUCAAAGUGUCUCUGAAAAGGUAUUGCGAUAUCAAAGCAUAAAUUAUUUAUGGAUUAAAAUGGGAAAAUGACUUAUAUGGGUAAGAAAGUUUUAAAAACUUUUAAAAAUGACUAUCAAAGUAUUGUUUGUAUAAAAAACACCAACCAAGUUUACCAUUUUGUCAAAUCUAACAGGUUGGUAACCUGCAUCUGCCGGUCAAAAAAAAUUACCUGAUCAUUUUAAAAACUGAAAUUAUAAAUGACAUGGCAUCCUUUUUUAGUCUUACGUGGAUUAAUUGCAAGGGAAGAUCCAUUUUCUCAGCGUUCUUUCUCAAAAUCAGGAGGGAGUCAACACAGAACCCUCUCUAGGGUUAGUUUCUGCCCCUGUAUACAGUUAUUUUUGUUUAAAUUGACUGAUUUUAACAGUUGACGAAUAUGCUCCUGCUUUGGGCUAAUCACACAUAUGUCUUUUUUAUGACCAAAUUGCCCCUGUAUAUAGUUUUUUUUUGUUACAAUUGACUGAUUUUACCAGUCAAUUAAGGUGUUGUUUAGAAACUGUUAGUAUCCAAGACCAUUUACAUGCUCGUGCACAAAGACGAAUUUGCCCUUGAUUGUGACCAAACUGCCCCUGUAUACAUAUUUUUUAUUACUAAAAACACCCCCUGUCCUAGAAAAAUAUGACACUUCUAUACAAAAGCUAAUACCAAUUUCUCACUACAAAUCAACUAAUAAGAAAAGAAGUGGGCAACUCUCUAAAAUGACCAAAAUUUGAAUUGCAGUGUCACAAAUUGACAAUUUUUUAAAGCUAUAAUGAAAUAAUGCUUUGUUUUGUAAAAUAUACAAAAUCCGUUUGUUGUUGUGUGCAACUAAUCCACAAACAUUUACAUAAUUCUCGUUAGUGUACUUUGCAAAGUGGUGCUGAAGUAAUUUGGGCAACAAAAGUACAUAUAACUAUAUUAAUAUUCUCUAAAUAAUCAUAUAUAAUGAAAUAAUGGUUUGUUUUGUAAAAUAUACAACCCAUACUGUAUUUUUGAUAAAAAAAAAUAAUGAUUUUAAGAGAUUUUGUCCGAAAUACCCUUAUAUACUCUUUUUUUUGGUAAAAAAUUAAUGAUGUAAUAGUUUUUGACUAAAAUGCCCGUAUAUACUAUUUAACAGGUUUGACCCCAUCUGAAUUAUGAUUCAGCUUAAAAUUGAAUGCCAUUUUGACAAUUUUAUUGCUUUUAAGACUAUUUACUGCUGAAAAUAUGUCAAAUUUGUUACAUUUUGCUGCUAUAAAUAGUCAAAAAAUAACUAAAAGUCUACAAAGAUUCAAGGUAACAGUAAAUAAUACUGGCAUUUCCAGCAGCAAAUCUUCAAUUGCAGGGACUAAACUUUGUCAUUUUUAGCAGAAAACUUUAUCAACCAACAAAAAGAGGUUAAUAAAGAAUCUAAAUGGCAUUCCAUUGUAACAGCAUCAAAACACGACCUGCACUCAAAACCCUCCAAAAUAGCCCCUACACUCAAUUGUAACAGCCCCUCUGUUGUGAUUCCUUUAACUGUGACCAAAUUGCCCCUCUAUUGUGAUUCCUUUAGAUUCAAGGUAACAUUGUUUUAAGUGAAAAGAUCAUUUCAUAACUUGUUUACAUAAAUUCUUUCUUAGCUUGUUUACAUAAAUUCUUUUUCUGUCAAUUCCUUUCAAGACAAAAAGAAAGAAAGCAGGAACUUAUAGCCAUGCAAGUAAUUUCAUUAUUUUUCUCAUUAACGAUUGUACUUCCUUUGCUCUUUCUUGCAUAAUAAUAAACAGAUUUAAAGAGGAGUGGAGCCAUAUGACCACCUGAUGCCCCCAAAUCAAUUUAUUUGAGCUAGAUUUGAACGAUUUACAAGGAGAAGAAGAAAAUCAAUUGUCAAGAGGAGAGGAGAUGUAUGACCACCCACCUGAUGCCCUAAAUCGAUUUAUAAUAUGUAUUUUUCAUUUAAUGCUGAGUAGAUGUGCAACACACUACCUAAAUAUGCCAACUAAUCAUUACUUUUGCCAACUCAGCCGUUCACCUGGAGAUCCGGUUACCACCGGGUCAUAUUUGAACAAAAGAUAAACUUCGUUGGUAUUUUUUGUACGACGCCUAUAGUUAAAUGGUAUUUUUGAACAACUAAAACUUCAAUGGUUUUUUUUGAAUGUUUUUGAAACUUUCUUACCCUUAUAAGUCAUUUUCUCGAUUAAAAUUGAACUUUUUUCAUACAUUACCUAACAUUGACUUGUCUUAAUUUGCAGGCAGAAAUACAAAAGGCUUUUCAUAUAUUUCUUAAACAAUUUUUUGUAAUAUACAAGAAUUGGGAGCCAUUAGAUUUAGAUAAUUCCAUAGAACCUUUCAUUGAUUCAAGGGAUCCUCUUUCUGAAAAAAAGAUUGCAGUGGCAUCAGAAGGCAGUCAUAUCAGUGAUGGAAGCUGGUGGUCUUAAUUGGUUAGUAGGUAAGGUAUGCAUCUUCAGAUUUAAUUUCUAUUGAGAACUAAACACAUUUGAAUAUCUGAGAACUAAACACACUUGAAUAUUUAUAAAUGAUGCACACAUCCAAAGGGAUAAUAGCAAUGUUUCUAAUGGCGUCAAAUAGACCUGAUUGUGACCACUAAUGGUUCAUCAGGUUUGUUGAUUUUUAUUUUAUUUUAUUUGAAGUGCAUUAUCUGGUUUAAUAUGAAAUGAUUCAUGUUGAAAUUGGUUUCUUUUGUUACUCCAUAAUACUUGAUAUCUUAUUUUUUGCAUGCAGGUGCUAACAAAUAUGGUGUCAUUAUCAUUGUUGUUGUUGUUGUUGGAUACGGAUAUGUUUGGUGGAAGGUAAAUAUAAGCUCAUAUAUUAAUAUUAUUACUUUUUACAGUUAACUUGUACAUAGUUUUUCUUCAACUAACAGAAAUGGUAUCAUUAACAGGGUUGGAAACUUCCUGAUAUGAUGUUUGCUACAAAAUGAAGUUUAUCUGAUGCCACAUAUGCUUUAGCUAAAUAGAUUGACACUGUUUACUCAUCACUUGCAGUAAGUUAUUUAAAAACUUUGUUAUUUUUUUGUUAUUAAUUUGGGUUGUUUAUUAUGUUGUUUAGGCUACCAAGAGACAUUUAUCUACAAGGAUUGACCGUGUUGAUAGUAGUUUAGAUGAGGUUGCAGAAAUUACUGCUGCUAAAAAAGAGGAGGUAUGACAAGAUAAAGGUUGUUCUAGAUGUUUAAUCUAUACAUAAUGCGGUUUACACCCUGGUGUGGUUCUUUUCCAUUUUGUCUUGUGACUUUGAUAUUGUUUUCUGAGUUGGAUAUGUGGUAUGAUAAAUUAUUUUUACAUGAGAGUAGGCUGAGUAGGGUUGAAUUGAAAUAGGUACUGAAUAUUACCGUUUGACAUGCGAUUUUUUCUAGCUUAAUGAGAUAUUUAUAACAAAUAAUUUUGAAUUUUUGUUGUCUUUUGUAGGGAAAUCCAUCAAGUUCAUCAAGGCCAGCUCUUGAAUUACCAUAGAGAGUAAACUUCUAAUCUUAUACAAAUACAAUGAUUUGCUAAAUUCAAGAAAUAACAAUGCACUUUUAUUUAUUACUUUUAUUAAAACAUCCUAGUUUAAUUUCUAGCUUAAUGAGACAUUUAUUACUUUUAGCAGAGAUCGAUAUAUAUAUGAGCUUUUUGCUUUCAAACAUUGUUGGGGAAGAAUGUUGAAACUUGCUCUUUGUGAAGGUAAUUUUUUUUCUUAAUGCAUUAUCCUCUAUAUUCUUGAUAUUUUUCCCACUUUUUAAAUCUUUUAUCAAAUUCUCACUUUUGGAUACAGUGCUUGAUGAGAGAAUGUGUGACCUAAAUCUUUUAUCAAAUUCUCACUUUUGGAGUUGGCCAUAAGAAAAUGUAGGCAAAGGGUAAUUUGUUAUAGUUCAGGUUGACAAGGUGCUGUAUUUUUCACAUAAUUGACAAGGAGCUGUUGUAUCUAUUCAGACUAGACUUAGAGCAAUGGUUGCAAGAGAUGAGUUCAGCAGAAAAAGAAACAAGGCUGCAACUAUAGUUAAGGUACUAUGGAUGAAUUAUGUUUGUAAAGUAUUUAAGAAAAUGAUUAUAAACAAGGGUGAAUUUGUACAAAUUAGUUAGCUACUUGCANUGAGUAUUUGAUAUCAAAACUUCUCAAGUUGCUUCUAUUUCCAUGCUAAGUUGGCUUUUAUUUAUCUUACUGUUUAUUAUCAUUUUUUAUAUAAAACUUCAUCAUUUAUAUUAUAUAUAAUACAUUAUAGACUUUGCAUCAUAAUUUGUUCAAUGUUACAGGAUACAAUUCAAAAUUCAAUUUCCUCAUGUUGUUGCUGAAAUGACAGCAAUUGGUUUUGGCCUACCAAAGAAUGCAUUCACCGCUCUAAUGAAGAAUGUAAGUGUUUAUUUUUCUUUUCUGUUUGGUGAAAAUCAUCAAAUGAAAAUCUCAUUAUAUAUCUUAGGAUCUUAUCAGUUAAUGAACUUGAUCGUGGGUAUGAUCAAGCAUAGAUUUACAUUUCUACCCCUGUUUUUAUCUUUUAUCUUUUGUGUCAUAUAAUUAUAUUUCCCUUUUUUUAUCAGGUUAAUUUGGUGGUUAAUUAUGAUCUUCCUAUAAGACAUGAUCAUCAAUCUCAACCUGACCAUGAAGUGUAGUUGCACUGAAUCGGAAGAGCAGGGUGAUUAUGGGAGAUGUUAAGUAGUUAUAGGGCUUUAGAUGCUUUCCCUUUGGGUAGGAAAUGUUUUUAAGACAUGAUCAUCAUUCUCUACCCCUGCUUUCCCUCUGGUGUUUAUCUCCCAUAAAACCCUAAAAUGUGGAUGUGCUAAAACUGAAGAAAUUAGAAGACACAUACUGGAUUUUAGCAAGUCGGGUAAGUUUAAAAAUAUCUUAAUACGAUAUUGAUUAGAUUACACAACAUGUAAUGUAGAAAAUAUCAUGAAUAUUUAUGAUCAAUAUUCAACUUUUGAAAAUGUAUCCAGUUUGAUGUUUAUCUAUUUGACAUUUUUUUGAUAGAAAAUGAGAAUACCGGAGAAGAUGAACCACAAAUUUACAUUGAAAUGAUCAAUGGAAUUAUCAAAUCCCUUCAGGUAUCAUCUCAUAUCACUUGCUUAUGAAAUUUAUUCAUCUAUACUUGAAAAGAUAUAUUUAUUUUUGUGUUGUUUCCAGGCUAUCCUUGAUGCAGUUCUCAGCACAACAAUUAUGAUUUUAUGAUGUUAGGCUAAACUAUAAAGCAAUCAUUCUUUGUUUUAGGAAACGUUUCAGAGCUUCUUUAGGCAGCUUAAUGAUGAGUUAUUGAAACAAAAUGGUGCCCCUUUAUAGCAAUGUAGUAUUAGGUUAUAUAGAUAGGAAAAACCUCUUAAUAACAACGUACAAUUAGAUCCCCUUAAUAUCAAUGUAUUACAAUUUUAUGACAUGAUGUUAUUGAAUGAAAUUGAUUGUGUAAUGGAUUGUAUUUUUUGUAUAUGGUAUUUUAUUUUCUAUUAUGAGACAUGAAAUGCAAAUUUAAUUUGAAAAUUAGUAAAUCUAUAAAUAAUUUUUAAAAAAAAUAAAAUAAAAAUUAUGAUACGCAAAAAUGUGUGUCAUCUUCAUUUAUGACAUGGCCUUUCUUGACAGUGGCUUUAAUGAUACGCAUUGCGUGUCAUAAAUACGUGUCGUCUAUAGACGACGCGCAAAAGCGCGUCGUCUCUCGUUAUGACAGGGCCUUCCUUGACGCGCAUGCGCGUCGUCUGACCGUUUUACGACUCGCAAUGAGCGUCGUAAAAGGCAUUUUUUCUAGUAGUGUUUGAGACAAGAAAUCAGAACCAAUGUACCUUCCGAGCUCGCUACUUGGCGCGUUAGACCGAGCUCGUUUGGAAUUUUCAUUCCUCAAAGUAUUAUAAAGCCUAAUUGUUUCGUUAUUUUAGUGAAAAGUGGAUCCGGGUGCCCCCAUAUUUUGCAUCACGUCAUGAAUGUUUGUUGAACCAUAUUUUGUUAAAUAAACUUCAAAUAAAUUUUGAAAAACUUUGUUAAAUUUUGAAACUUCCUUUGAUGCAUAAUCAAUGUCAUCAUCCAAUAAACCCAAAUCGUAACAAAUAUUUUCAAUUAAAGUCUCAACCCCCCCAACAUUUAGAGUUGGAUUCAAAGUGGCGGAACAAGUAAUAAUGGGAGCCAUUUCUUGAAAAUAUUUUUUUAACUUUGCUUUCAUCGGUUUCAUCAUAUUAGCAAACAUUGUGCUCCUCAUUUCAAACUCAUUUAUUUUCGCACACAUUAAAAAAAUUUGGUUUAAAACUAAACAACUUGUAGGAUAAUAAACCCCCGAUAAAAAAGUGGUUGUUUUUUUUUUAAAAAAACAUCAAGCAUGUCUGUAACAAGUUUGAUAGUAUCCCAACUUGAUUCCGGAUAAGCCGUAACCUUAUUACGGUCCGAAGGUUGUCAUGUAACAUUUUUAAAGUAUGUUUUUGACGUAAGGCACAUUCAAAAAUUUUGCAAGUGGAGUCCCAUCGGGUAUUAUUUUCCCAAUUCAGACCUAAAAAGAGGGCAUUCGCAUCGACACAAAAUUGCAUAUAAUUAUGAUAUCGAGCGUUACUAGAACUAAAAAUAUCUUUUAGCAUGUCUUUGAAACCAUCUUUUAUAGUUUCAAUGUGAGUUAGUCCAUCUUGCACAACCAAAUUAAUCAUAUGUGCAACACAUCGACUAUGAAAAAUAAACACCAUCACAAAUUGGUUUAUAUUUUAGUUUUAGUUGUCCAACCGCGACGGUGUUGUUUGAAGCAUUAUCAAAAGAUAUAGAAAAAAUCUUUCCUUCAAGUUUAUAAGUUUUGAUCACACAAUCUAAAAUUUUAAAUAAAUUUCUAUCGGUGUGCGGGUACUCAAACAAUUCAAACGUAAUCGUAUGCUUUAUCAUUACCCAAUUAGUUGGAUUAAUCCAAUGAGCGGUAACACAAAGGUACGCAUCCGGUGAACCGUCAGGAGCCGUCCAAACAUCACAAGUUAAAUUCACACCGGUUUCUAAAGAUUGAAAUCCUAAAAUCAAUUCAUUUUUUGCAAGUUUCCACAUUUCAAUACAAUCGCGUCUAAUAGAAGUACGACUCACAUGGCAAUAUCGUGGUUGGAGAGUAUCUUGGAUGAGUGAAGUCAAUCGUUUGUUGUCGAAGUGGUCAAAAGGCAAGCAUUCUUGAAUCACGAACUUCGUCAUCCUAUCCCGAACUUUAGCCAUAUCGUAACUCCACAAUGUUGCAUCAUUCGUCAUUCUUGUUUGAAUAUGUCCCGACCCAAAUUUCACCGUGGGGCAUCUUUUGGUCAUAUGAUUUUUCAAUGUCGAAUUCUCAUCUUCAUUAAAAAAAGCACCACAUUUCUUGCAUUGCGCUUUUUUAUACCGUUCGACAUUACACACAAAUCGUAGUUGCACAAAAUAGCCGGAUUUCUAUUUGUUUCUUUGAUGCUAACAACGGUAAGAGUGUUUGAUGAAUCUCGAACACCAACGGAAGCCGAAUCCAUUGUUUGAAUUAAGAGUGGUUUUUGAACUAAGAGAGGUUUGCGGUUUUUGAACUAAGAGAGGUUUUUUGAGGUUUGGUUAAGGUAAAGUUGAGACCUAAAAAUGUAAUACAUAUAUAUAUACUAUAAGGAAUAGUUAAUAUGGUAAAAAAGAAGCAAAAAUCGAGUCUUGAACAGCCUCAAACGACUAUAUAGCCGUUAGGAAAAGACAAAAAAACGGUAACAUUACAAAAACCGGUUCACCAACGGCACUUUCGAAAUCUGGUUCAAAACUGGUUCAUCACACCUGUUCAGAAUAAACCAGUUCCAAACCGGUCUCCAGGGUAAAACAUGCGAACUGGUAACAUCCGAUGGUUCGGUUCACUAUGGGUUCGGUUCUUAUGUGAACCGGUUCAAGGCUAAACCGGUUUCCGGUUCACCAACCGGUUCGGUUCCUAAACCAGUUUUUUUGCCCACGCCUACCACUAGCUAGUCUAGGUGGGCUUUUAGUACGGGGGUUUUCAUGAGGAAUAGGUUGAAAGGAGUGUUGGCAUCUCACUGCCGUCAUCUGUUACCAUUUCAUAAGGAGUGGUAGCAUUCCUAGCACAUUAGAUUUUUUUUUUUUGAUUUUUUUUUUUGAACUUAAAUAAAUUAUAUUUUUAUAAAACACAAACAAUUCAAUAUUAAUCAAGAAACUAACUACAUUUUAUAGAUAAAUUUACCUUAUUUAAACAAGGAUUAAUAGAAAGGUCAAAUAAAAUUUAAAUGGUUAACGACAUGCUUAAAAUUUUACAAAUAUAUUGAUUUUGUAACGACACAAUUUUCUACUCUAUCAAGGUAAAGAAACAUUUAUGUUAAUAAUAAAGUGACACUUUAAUAUAUAUCUUCAAAUAAUUAUUAAAAAUAAAUAAUACUAUAAAAAAUUACCAAUACUAUCUAGAAACAAAAACCACUCACAGCACGGAAUUUACAAAACAACCAUCCAACUUCCUUAUUUUUUUGAAAGAGCUUUUACGAUCUCCAUUUCCAUUUCCUUUUUUUCUUAAAAUUACAUCUUACAUCUUCCAAUUUGCUAUUAUCAUUUCUUAAGUUUGUGAAAGUAGACUAUUCCACAAAACUACUCCUCCAAUUGUGUGAAACACGAAGCAAAAGCGAGACCUUUGAGCUUUUUCUUAAAAAAUAAUCCUUGUUUGAGAUGGAGACCACACCAUUGAUGGGAGAAAUGAAGGUUCUAGAGAACGAUUGUAAGAGGAAGAUUAUUGUAUCCACAGGCCAAUAUCCAACAAAUCUCUUUCUCUUUCUUCUCGCUAUGGUGUUGACGAGCCAUGGCUGGCGACUUCCUUGGCGCAAGCCAGGGGGCGGCCUUCAGCGCCCUUGGCGACCGGUGGCGACCUCCAUAGCGAGGCCCACUCCCUAAAGCCUUAUAACACACCAUUUAUUGACCAAGUUUACCCAACAAUGCAUCCCAAUUCAUUAGAUUUGUCUUAUCAUUAUACUUUUUAUACAAUUUCAUCAUUUUUCUAUAAUAUAUUAAAACUCUAUGAAAAUUCAAAAGAAUAUACUUUUGAAUUUUCAUAGAAUUUUAUUAUAUUAUAGAAAUAUGGUGAGAAUCCUAGAUGCUUUUAUCUCUCUUUCAGACUUAAAAGCCAGUAUGCGUUCAAUAAGUACGUGGCCAACUCCGGACCUAGCUUUUGCGAACGUGGGACGUUCACUUCGGAUAGCCUCGAAAUGAGUACCUCUUACUUUAAAAAUUUAUAACUUUGGCAUACGAGCUCCGUUUUCGACAUUCACUUUCAUUUAGACUCUGUUUGCUAAUUUUGAUUUUUAUUUUUAAAUUUAUAUUUUUUAACAGGCCGGGACUGGAAAAGCCCGUUAAAAAUUCAUAACUUCUUCAUCCGACGUUCGUUUUCGUAUGACUUUUUACCAUUAAACUACUAUCGACGAGAUUUUUGAUUCUCAUUUACAUUGUGUUGGAUAAAAAUCGCUCGAUCUAUACUUCGAACUACGGGCUGCACAAUGUUAUGCCAAAUCUUAGAAAAUUCAUAACUUCCUCAUACGAAGCUAGAUUUGGAUUUCUUUUUUAUGCACGCUCUUGGUUUAACGUAUACUACGAUUUUCAUUUAGAUUGCUAAGGCUAAAAAACACUUUAUCGUAAACUCACUUUUCACGUCACACAAUGUCAUGUCAGUUUUGUCGCGAAACUUCGAUAUGUCAUAAAUUCUUCGUGAUCAGGGCCGAUCUUGAAAAAUGAAAUAUUCUUGGAGCCCCAGGACGAGCAAGAAAAAAAUGGCCCUUAUCUUUAUUAUAAUUUUGUAAUUUUAAAUAAAAAUAUAUAAUGAAAAAAAUUAGGCCAUGUGCAGCUGCCCACUUUGCCUCCUUCUAAGCCCCCAUUGUUCAUGAUAACUCGGAUUUCAGCGUUCUUUAUAUUUCUGGAGUCCUUGUCACGACCACUACAACUUUCUUCAUAGAUAUCGGGUUUAUAUAACAUUUUAUUUUUGACGCUUAUUUUUAUUCUUAAUUAAUUAUAUCAUUAUAAACAAGUAUAUAAUCACAUAAAAUCACGUAAUUCACAUAAUACUCAAGUAAUUCAUCUUUAUUACAUUAAAAUAGGUUACAAUGGUUGACCUUGACUAUUACAUCAUCAUACUAAUGUGAAACAACCUAAAAUACGACCCAAUUUUUUUUUUGUUAAAAUAAUACUAAAGAUAUCAACCAUCAUAAUAUAUCAUGAAAUCGUACGUCAUAAAUCCCCAAAAAGUUAUAAUAGAUAUGUCAUGACAAAAGAGUUGUAUCAACAUACCAUAGUAUCUAAAAUAAACUCCCAGGACAAAAGUUGAAACUGUGGUGUGUGCAAUGUCAUCAUCCUGAGCUCUUUCCUUUGCUUGCGGAAAUACCUGAAACCAAAACUGAAACUGUAAGCACAAAGCUUAAUGAGCUCCCCCAAACUACCACAUACCAUACAAUAGCAUAUACAACACAUACUAGGCCUUGCCCACUGCAUCGGACCGAAGUCCGGAAAUUGCAUCGGACCGAAGUCCAGAACUAACCAAGGCCUUGCCCUCUGCAUCGGACCGAAGUCCGGAACUACAUCAGACCGAAGUCCGGAAACUAACCAGGGCCUUGCCCUCUGCAUCGGACCGAAGUCCGGAACUAACUGCAUCGGACUGAAGUCCGGAACUGACUGCAUCGGACCGAAGUCCGAAAUUGUCUGAACAUAACAUAUCAUAAACAUCUCAACCAGUAUGAACACAUAAACUGCAUAUCGCAUCAGACCGAAGUACGAAACACAUAACACAAAUACAUGCUUGAAUCACAAAGACAUCAAGCAUUCUAAGUACUGCAACGGACGGAGGUCCGAAACUUCUGCUAACUAAACCGACCGGCAUUGUAGCCGUAGACCCGUUCCUACUGGAAGGAAAACUCACCUCGUAAUGCUGGCUGCUGAGAUGCUAACUCUAAAAGUGACUGACCGCUGCUUCGGAACUGUCCGACUACAAAUCCCAGAAACACUAGAUUAGUUACUUGCAUAUACCCUCAGGGUAAGAUGACUAUUUUGCCCCUGGUCAAAGUCAACUUCUAGUUGACCGGACUCGCCGACUAUGGGCGCAGAACCGCCGAGUCCCUCCUUUACUAACUCUGACUUUAACUCACCGAGUCCCUUUCCCACUCACUGACUCUCUCUGAACUCGUAGGUCGAAGAAAAAAGGGGACUCACGACUCGACUCGUCGAGUCUGAAGAACAACUCGCCGAGUCCUGCCGUGCAUAUUCCAAACAAACGAAUUCAAAACUAUUCCAGAGCAUCUGACUUGAAGAUCUGAGCCCUUGGAACUAUCUAAACACGUGAAGUUUCUAACUUUACGUGCAACUAAGAAGGAAUGAAGCUAUUUCACUCAAACACUACUUUUCUUGGGAAAACUCAUCCGACUCGCCGAGUUGUAUGAACAACUCGUCGAGUCUAAGGUGAUCUUCAUCGGACUCGCAGAGUUGCUCAUCAAACUCGUCGAGUCUACGACUAUCUUCAUAUGACUCGCCAAGUCACACAUGCGACUCGCCAAGUCCAUUCAGUCCCUUUUUCCAUACAGACCUGAUUUGGGCCAUGCAGUGGCUCCAAAUCACAGAUCCAAGAUUCUAGGGCAUGCUUAUCACGUAAAUUUGCAAACUUUACGUGCAUGCAUGGCUUUAAAGGCUUCAAAUGCCAACCCUAAGCUCUUAAUGGGGUUCCAAGCUCAAGAGGGACCUCAAUCACGACCAUAACCGAAACUUUACUCUUCUAGAAUGCAAUGAGAGUCUAGAUCUGAUGUUUCCAUAAAAGGGGAAGUCCAUCUCUCAAGUUUGAACCAUAAGAGGCUCCAAAGAGGGCAUAACAAGCAUAUAUGAGGUUAUAAUGGGGGAAUGCACAAGGUCAUAACUUCAUUACCUGAAUGAAAAACAGAUGUAAGCUAACUCCUAGAUUUUCCUUCCCUUCUAUGGACCUUCCUUCCUUCCCAAAGCUUCCAAGCUAUCACAAAUACCCUCAAACUCAACAAUGGGGCUAGGGUUUACAAGGGAAAUGUUAUGAGAGUGAUAGAGGCGAGGUUGGGGGCGCAUAAGUGUGUUUAAAUAGGGUGAAAACCCUUAAAAUUAGGGCUUCAUCCAGACAGGCGGACUCGCCGAGUCCAACGUAUGGACUAGUCGAGUAGCCAUCUCAAAACGCGUGAUCGUCCCGUCUCUACUUGACGAGUCAGGCUACAGACUCGUCGAGUACCCCUUCAGAAAUGAAAAUACUUUAUUUGAAUUACAUACCAGAAAUGGGGCGUUACAACUCUCCCCCACUUAUCUUAGACUUUGUCCUCGUAGUCUGCUGCUGCUGCUGAAAAUAACUCUGGGUAAUGCUCCCUCAUCUCCUACUCGGACUCCCACGUCCACUCUGAACCCUUUCGGUGCUGCCACAACACCUUCACUAGCUGAACCACCUUGUUCCUCAAGGUCUUCGUCUUCCAAUCUAUGAUCGCAACUGGUCUCUCGAUAUAAUUCAGGCUGCUAUCAACCUGAAUAUCCUCCAAGGGUACAACUGCUGACUUGUCCACCAAACACUUUCGCAACUGGGAAACAUAGAAAGUGUUGUGGAUCUGGCUAAGCUCUACCGGAAGAUCCAACCGAUAAGCAACCCGACCCACCCGGACCAAAACCCUAAAAGGGCCAAUGAACCUGGGACCCAGCUUGCCUCUCUUCCGAAACUUGAUAACACCCUUCCAAGGUGAUACCUUCAGGAGGACCAUAUCGCCCACCUGAAACUCCAAGUCCGAACGCCUCUUGUCGGUGUAACUCUUCUGCCUACUCUGUGCAGUCUGCAGUCUACUACGAACCUGCUGGAUCAACUCUGUGGUCUUGAGCACCAUUUCAGUGCUCCCAAUGACUCACUGACCAACCUCGCCCCAACAAAUCGGAGUCCUGCACUUCCUUCCGUAUAGCAUCUCGAAAGGAGGACGUUUAAUACUAGUGUGGUAACUAUUGUUAUACGGAAAUUCCGCUAGUGGGAGAUACGUAUCCCAACUACCACCGAAGUCUAGAACACAUGCCCGGAGUAUGUCCUCGAGAGUCUGAAUUGUCCUCUCACUCUGCCCGUCCGUCUGGGGGUGGAAGGCGGUGCUAAAAUGAAGACGAGUCCCCAUCUCGUCAUGAAACUGCUUCCAAAAUCUGGAAGUAAAACGGACGUCUCGGUCUGACACUACCGAAACAGGCACUCCGUGCUGUGCUACUACCUCGCGUACAUAGAUGUGGGCUAGCUUCUUAGCCGAUAUGCUCUCCUAGAUCGGUAUAAAAUGUGCGCUCUUGGUCAGCCGAUCCAUUAUGACCCAAAUCGAAUCCACUCCCCGUGCGGUCCUGGGAAGCUUGGUGACAAAAUCCAUGGUAAUGUCCUCCCAUUUCCAUAUGGGAAUAUCUAACGGCAGCAUCUUGCCGUGGGGUCUCUGGUGCUCUGCCUUGACCUUCCUGCAGGUCAGGCAUCUCCCCACAUUCCAGGCGACAUCCUGCUUCAUGCAGGGCCACCAAUAGUCGGGUCGAAGAUCUCUGUAGAUCUUCGUUGCCCCUGGGUGGAUGGAAAAUCAAGAAUUAUGAGCCUCGUCCAUCAAUACCUGCCAUACUCCGCCCCAGUACAGUACCCAAACCCUCCCAUGGAGGGUCAACAAUCGUUAACUGUCAUAAUCAAAGGAAGCUACUCGGUCCACGAUUCUCUCACACUUCUGCCUCUCCUCCUUGAGGCCCUCGACGUGUGCCUCCCUGAUCUGCUCCAACAAGGGAGUAAUCACUGUCAUCCUCAAGCAUACAUCCCUGAUCGGGGCCGCUGCCGUCUUGUGGCUCAGGGCGUCGGCCACUACGUUGGCCUUCCCCGGGUGAUAAAGGAUCUCACAGUCGUAAUCCUUCACCACAUCUAACCACCGACGCUGCCGCAUGUUAAGAUUCGGCUGGUCCAUGAGGUACUUCAGACUCUUGUGAUCCGUGUAGAUGGUGCAACGGACCCCAUAGAGGUAGUGUCUCCAAAUCUUGAGGGCGAACACCACUGCCCCCAACUCCAAAUCAUGCAUCGGAUAGUUAGCCUCGUGAGACUUCAACUGUCUGGAGGCAUAAGCUAUCACAUGCCCCCGUUGCAUCAACACUGCCCCCAUAUCUGCGAUCGAGGCAUCACAGUAGACUACAAAAUCAUCCACUCUCUCCGGCAAGGUCAGAAUCGGUGCCUCGCACAAUCGCUGUCUGAGAGUCUCGAAAGUCGCCUGCUGCUCAGGCCCCUAACGAAACACCACCGACUUCUUGGUUAGUCGGGUGAGUGGAACUGCUAUCUUGGAGAAAUACUGAAUGAAUCUCCUGUAGUACCCUGCCAAACCUAGGAAGCUCUGAAUCUAUGAUGGAGACUUUGGGACCUCCCACUGCAUCAUGGCCUCUAUCUUGGCCGGAUCUACCAGUAUACCCUUCUGGUUGAUGAGGUGCCUAAGGAAUUGCACCUCGCGCAACUAGAACUCGCACUUGGAGAACUUUGCUAAAAGUUUCUCCCUCCUCAAGACCUCUAGCACCUCCCUUAGGUGCUCCUCGUGCUGCUCCUGAGUCUUGGAAUAAACCAAGAUGUCAUCGAUGAAUACAAUCACAGACCGGUCCAACAUCGGCAUGCACACGCGGUUCAUGAGUUCCAUGAACGCGGAUGGAGCGUUGGUGAGCCCAAACGACAUCACCACAAACUCAUAAUGACCAUAACGGGUCCUAAAAGUUGUCUUCUGAACAUCCUCACCCCUGACCCGCAUCUGAUGAUAACCGGAGCGCAAAUCAAUCUUGGAAAACCAAGACGCUCCUUGAAGCUAAUCGAACAAGGCAUCUAUCCUCGGAAGUGGGUAACGGUUAUUCACCGUUACCUUGUUCAACUCCCAGUAGUCUAUGCACAUACGGUGCGACCCAUCCUUCUUCUUCACAAACAAGAUUGGGGCUCCCCAUGGAGAACUAAUUAGUCUAAUGAAACCCUUGUCUAGCAGCUCCUGCAGCUGCGUAUACAACUCCUGCAUUUCUGGAGGAGCCAACCGAUACGGCGCCUUGGCUAUCGGAGCCGCACCAGGAACCAAGUCAAUCUUGAACUCAACCUGUCUCUCUGAAGGUAUCCCAGGUAAUUCCUCUGGGAAUGAGUCCGGGUACUCUCGCACCACUGCUACAUCAUCUACUGUCAUCGUACUCUUAUCCCGGGUAUCCAUCACAUAUGUGACAUAACCUGCUUAACCCUGUUGGAAGUAGCGCCUCACUCUCACUGCUGAACAAAGAAUCGGUCCGCGUUGUGGGCUCUCGCCCUGAAUCACUAACUCUCCCCCGUUGGGAGUGCGAACCCUCACUAGCUGCAAUUCGCAAUCAAUCAUCGCCCCAUUGGGGCUCAACCAAUCCAUGCUUACUAUGGCCUUGUUCCCUCGCAAAGGAAUAGGGACCAUGUCCACCGAAAACUGCUCAUCGAAUAACUGCAGUGAGCAUGCCUUAUGCACCCUCGUGACCCUGACGGUCCUAUCAUCGGCUAUCUCCACCUCGAGUGGACAAUCCAGCUCCCUAGGAUCUCUGCUAAACCUCUUGCUAAGUGCAAGAGAGACAAACGAUCGGGUAGCCCCUGAAUCAAAUGACACUGUAGCUGAAAUGUCGUUCACUAAGAACGACCCUAUACAUAAACAUAUAACAUUAGAAACAAUCAAUAAUCAAUGCAUAGAUAAAAGGAAAAUACAUACCCGUCACCACGUCAGGAGUCGCUCGCGCCUCCUCUGCUGUUAUCUGAAAAGCUCUACUCUUCGCCACUGGCACCUCGGCCCGCCCCUGACGACCGUUCGUAAUCCUCAAUGUAGCAGGGGCAGGUGCCGACACCUUCCCUGCUGCUGCUAAGCUUGGGCACUGGGACUUUUUAUGUCCCCUCUGAUUGCAAUGGAAGCAAAUCAGAUCUGAUGCUGCGGUAGCUGUGGUAGAAACUGUACAAUCUCUGCUCAUAUGCCUAGUCCAACCGUACUUGUAGCAGCCGGAACUCCCUGCCUUGCACGCCCCAUCGUGUAAUCUCCCACACUUGCCACACCGACUGUGGCUCUGCUGACCUCUGGACCUAUGAUCCGAAACCUUGGGCUUCUUGCCCAAACUCCCUGUACCCGAAGCCGCCUCCGCCUUCCUCUUAUUCUCCAUCUCAAGAUCAAUCUCUCUCUCUCUCUCUCUCUCUCUCGCCCUUGCAAUCAUAUCAUCCAGCAUCUUACAGCUGGAUCGGCUCACAAACUGGCGGAUAUCACUCCGCAGCGUCUCAUGAUAACGGGCCUUCUUCAUUUCCUCGUCAGCUGCGUACUGAGGAACAAGAAGAGCCCUCUCCCUGAACUUGGCGGUAAUCUCCGCCACUGUCUCUAUAGUCUGAGUAAGGUCUUGAAACUCUCUAGCUAACUGUUGCACCUCAAUAGUCGGUGCGAACUCGGCUCUGAACCUGGUGGUAAAAUCAGCCUAAGUCAUAGUAUCAAGUGCUAUGUCAUCCCUGAUACCAUGCCCAACCUCCUCCCACCAGUCACAUGCCCUAUCCUUCAGGAGACAGGAUGCUAAUCUGACCUUGUCCCCUUCGGGACAUCUGCUAGUGCGGAACACGUUGGCAACAUCUGCCAACCACCUAGUGCUCGCAAUGAGGUCCCGCACCCCAUGAUAGCCUGGAGCUCCACAAGCCCGAAACUCCCUGAAGGUGAGUGUGCGCGACCCCAUCAUGGCCGCCAUCUCAGCACGAAAUGUGCUCAACUUCUCAUCCAUCAACUCCAAGAUACCCUCCUUGAUCGAACCGAAGAUCACAGGACUCUGCUCAAGUAUGAUACGGGUAACCUCUGAAGUGAAAAACUCCCUAGUUUGCUCAUCCAACUGCUCGGCCCCCCAGCCUGAUCCUGAUCCUUCCUCGGCACCUGAGCUGCCGACUGCUGGCCUAGGGCGUAAAACCACCAUUCUGAAAACACAUCAUGAUAAACGUCAAAAACACUGAUAUAUCUCUAGGGAUCGCUACUACUAUAGGUUUCCUGGUCUCGCCUCUGCCUUCCUUGAUUCAAGUACAAAUCCUCAACAAAAACCAGUCCUCAACUGCUGAAGGCCUCCUUGUAAUGCCAAUUAGUCAUCACCUGAAUAUCAUCACAUGUGACGAGACUCAGAUAAUCCUUCGAGUAAAAGACUCAUUCCUACAACGGAUGGACUCAAACAAGAGCUGCGCAGUAGAGCCAAAUCCAGCACUCUGAGAUUAUUCAACCCUGAUCUCAGGCGAUGUGUCGUAUUCACCUAAUGGUUAACUCUCAUUACCCGGAGUCUCAUAAAGCACAAAGCAAGCAGCAUUCGGACACAGGAAACUAAUCAAGCCACUCUAUUCUCAUAACAAGAAAUUGUACUAGCAUACAAUGUUAAGCUCGUACUGUCAGGCAUAACCUAAACAGGCUAUCCUACUGCUGUCUACUCAAUACUAGCAUGCAGUUCUCAUAAAGCUGAAGCACAUAUAGCAUGCACAUAAGGCAUCCUGCUAGAUCCUUAGUCCUAUUCUAGCAUGCUGUUCUACUGAAACUAAAACUGAUAAUCAUAACAUAAACUUGUAUGGGUAAUUUAGGGGUACUUACUUGAGCUCGACUGAUCGCAUGCACCACACCCUUUUCUCGUUUUCAAAACUCUUUUCUUUUUAAGUCUCUUUCUCAAAAGUUCUUUUGAACACAUUUUUCUUUCGAAAAUCUUUUUUCUAUUUCCUCAGUUUGAGUUCAGUUACACCCGUAAGUGUGUCUGAAUCCCUCAAACCAAGGCUCAGAUACCAACUUGAAAUAACCCAAAAUACAACCCAAUUUUUUUUUGUUAAAAAAAUACUAAAGAUAUCAACCAUCAUAAUAUAUCAUGAAAUCGUACGUCAUAAAUCCCCAAAAAGUUAUAAUAGAUGUGUCAUGACAAAAGAGUUGUAUCAACAUAACAUAGUAUCUAAAAUAAACUCCCAUGACAAAAGCUGAAACUGUGGUGUGUGCAAUGCCGUCAUCCCGAGCUCUUCCCUUUGCUUGCGGAAGUACCUGAAACCAAAACUGAAACUGUAAGCACAAAGCUUAGUGAGCUCCCCCAAACUACCACAUACCAUACAAUCAUAUAAAACACAUAUUGGGCCUUGCCCACUGCAUCGGACCGAAGUCUAGAAAAUGCAUCGGACCGAAGUCCGGAACUAACCAGGGCCUUGCCCUCUGCAUCGGACCAAAGUCCAGAACUGCAUCGGACCGAAGUCUGGAAACUAACCAGGGCCUCGCCCUCUGCAUCGGACCGAAGUUCGGAACUAACUGCAUCCAACCGAAGUCCGGAAUUGUCUGAACAUAACAUAUCAUAAACAUCUCAACUAGCAUGAACACAUAAACUGCAUACCGCAUCGGACCGAAGUCCGAAACACAUAACACAAAUACAUGCUUGAAUCACAAAGACAUCAAGCAUUCUAACUACUGCAACGGACAGAGGUCCGGAACUUCUGCUAACUAAACGGGCCGGCAUUGUGGCCGUAGACCCGUUCCUACUGGAAGGAAAACUCACCUCGUAAUGUUGGCUGCUGAGAUGCAAACUCUAAAAGUGGCUGACCGCUGCUCCGGAACUGUCCGACUACAAAUCCCAGAAACACUAGAUUAGUUACUUGCAUAUACCCUCAGGGUAAGAUGACUAUUUUGCCCCCGGUCAAAGUCAACUUCUAGUUGACCGGACUCACCGAGUCAGGGCGCAGACUCGCCGAGUCCCUCCUUUACUAACUCUGACUUUAAUUCACAGAGUCCCUUUCCCACUCACUGACUCUCUCUGAACUCGUAGGUCGAAGAAAAAAGGGGACUCACGACUCGACUCGUCGAGUCUGAAGAACAACUCGCCGAGUCCUGCCGUGCAUAUUCCAAACAAACGAAUUCAAAACUAUUCCAGAGCAUCUGACUUGAAGAUCUGAGCCCUUGGAACUAUCUAAACACGUGAAGUUUCUAACUUUACGUGCAACUAAGAAGGAAUGAAGCUAUUUCACUCAAACACUACUUUUCUUGGGAAAACUCAUCCGACUCGCCGAGUUGUAUGAACAACUCGUCGAGUCUAAGGCGAUCUUCAUCAGACUCGCCGAGUUGCUCAUCCAACUCGUCAAGUCUACGGCUAUCUUCAUAUGACUCUCUGAGUCACGCAUGCGACUCGCCGAGUCCAUUUAGUCCCUUUUUCCAUACAGACCUGAUUUGGGCCAUGCAUUGGCUCCAAAUCACAGAUCUAAGCUUCUAGGGCAUUCUUAUCACGUAAAUUUGCAAACUUUACGUGCAUGCAUGGCUUUAAAGGCUUCAAAUGCUAACCCUAAGCUCUUAAUGGGGCUCCAAGCUCAAGAGAGACCUCAAUCAUGACCAUAACAGAAACUUUACUCUUCUAGAAUGCAAUAAGAGUCCAGAUCUAAUGUUUCCAUAAAAAGGGGAAGUCCAUCUCUCAAGUUUGAACCAUAAGAGGCUCCAAAGAGGGCAUAACAAGCAUAAAGGAGGUUAUAAUGGGGGAAUGCACAAGUUCAUAACUUCAUUACCUGAAUGAAAAAUAGAUGUAAGCUAACUCCUGGAUCUUCCUUCCCUUUUAUGGACCUUCCUUCCUUCCCAAUGCUUCCAUGCUAUCACAAAUACCCUCAAACUCAACAAUGGGGCUAGGGUUUACAGGGGAAAUGUUCUGAGAGUGAUAGAGGCGAGGUUGGGGGCGCAUAAGUGUGUUUAAAUAGGGUGCAAACCCUUAAAAUUAGGGCUUCAUCCAGACAGGCGGACUUGCCGAGUCCAGCGUAUGGACUCGUCGAGUAGCCAGCUCAAAACGUGUGAUUGUCUCGUCUCUACUCGACGAUUCGGGCUACAGACUCAUCGAGUACCCCUUAAUAAAUGAAAAUACUUUAUUUGAAUUACAUACCAAAAAUGGGGCAUUACAUAAUGCUUAGCCCAGAAACACGGACGUUACACUUCUCUCCUCCUUAGGAUGAUGCCAUCCCCAGAAUCAUACAUCAACAAACUAAUGCGGAUAGCGACUCAUCAUGUCACUCUCCAUUUCCUAGGUGAGAUUUGACUCAUUCGUAUGUUUCCGUCGCACAAGUAGUAAGUCAACCAUCUUGUGACGCAACUUCUUCGUCUUAUGGUCAACAAUCGCCUCCGGUUCUUCAACUAGCCUCUUAUUUUCAUCCAUCCUUAGCUCAUAAAUUAGAAUUAUGUCAGGAACUUCUCCCAUGAAUUUCCUCAAAUAACUCACAUGGAAAGUGUUAUGAAUAAUGUCUAGUUCUUCUGGUAGUUCUAGCUUGUAGGCUUGGUUCCCAAUCCUCUGAAGAACUUUGAACGGUCCAAUGAAUCUUGGACUUAACUUCCCUUUUUCCCGAAUCUUAUAAGUUCCUUGUAGCACCUGGUUCCUGGUAUGUAAUUUAUUUAAAUAUUUUGCAUUUUUGGCCUUGGACUCGGCAAGUUGAAGGACCAACUUGCCGAGUAGAAGCGGGAUGGGACGUGGGAUUUAAGUGAUGGACACGUCGAGUCGGGUCCCGGACUCGACGAGUAGGCUCUGACUGAAAAACCCUAAUCCGAGGGUUUGCACCCUAUUUAAUCAUCUCAUUUUCCCCUAAUGCUCCCAGAAACCCUCCCUAGUAAACCCUAAGUGUUUUGGUGCAAGAUCUAAGGCUUUUGAGUGAUUUUUGUGGGUUUUGACCUCAAGGAAUAAGGAAGAGCAUAGAAGGAUCAAGAGGAGACUGAAGGAUUAGAGUUUGGUGCAUCAUUUUCAGUCCUUGAAAGGUAUAAAUUAUGUACCUUGCUUGUUCAUUUGUUAGAUCCUUUUUUGGGGAAGAUUUAGGGCUUCUUAAGUCAUAUGAGGUGGCCAAACAUGGUUGGGGGUCAAGACUUCGGAUCUAAGUCUUGGAAGGAGUCCCAAAGCAGAUUUGGGUUGCUUUUGCACCCAAGGAAGGUCCCAUGCAACAUAAGAGCCAUUUUAGAGCCUUUUUGGGUCAAAAGUCCCAUGCAUGCACGUAAAGUUCGAAACUUUACGUUCUAGAUCGAGCUUAGGGCUUGGAUCUAUCUUUUUGUCAAAGGUUGUACAUCAGAAAUCGAGGAUUUAGGGUGUGGAUGUUAUCGAAUCGGCGAGUCAGUUCUUGGGACACGACGAGUCCAAAGCAUAGGGUCUGUUAUCUGUUGAGGGUCAAAAGAACCCAGUUGGGUGUUAGAAGGGUUGUAGAAGGUCCGAGAGAGUGACCCAACGUGUUGGACUUAGCCUUAGACUUGGAAUUCAUGGGACUCGUCGAGUGCUAGAACAGACUCGGCGAGUCCAAGGCAAUCUCCUUAUCGAUGAAGAUGAACUCGACGAGUUGUUCAUACAACUCGGCGAGUCGGGGUCAGGACUUGUUCAUCAGAUGAAGGUGAACUCGACAAGUGUUCAUCCGACUCGGCGAGUCGGAUGAAGGUUCAUUGAUGUUCGUAAAGAAAGGGAACUCGUCGACUUGUUGCCAAACUCGACGAGACGAGUCGUGGAUAAGGACGAGUAAAGGAAAGGGACUCGACGAGUUNAACUCGGGGAGUCGGGUCAACUGGAAGUUGACUUUGACUUGGACUUGGUUGGGGGUAAAAUAGUCAUUUUACCCCAAGAGUAGAUAUUAGUUUUCUGACUGAGUAUUUUGUGGGGAUUAUAGCCGGAGGAUUUCCGAAGCAACAGCAGGCAGAGGUUUCCUGCACAUAUUAUCAGCAGCUACUUGUUCGAGGUGGGUUGCCUACCAGUAGCGGUGGGUCUACGACCACAAUGUCGGCCCACCAAUAGGAGUUGUAUAAUUAUAUGAUUGUCUUUGUGAUAUCAUCUAGGUUGCUUCUACCUGAUAUGUUAUAUGCUGGCAUGAUAUGUUAUAUGUGAUAGUAGUAGAGUUCGGUUGUUAGGACCGAAGGGUAGGUCAAACACCCCAGAUAUGUAUGACAGUAUGUGAUGAUAUGUUUAUAUGCCGACAUGACAUGUUAUAUGGGAUAGUGGUAGUAGGAGGGGAACAGUCCCCAAGUUCGGUUGUUAGAACCGAAGGGUAGUUCAGACACCCCAGAUAUGUCUGAUAGUAUGUUUAUGUUAUGAUAUAUGUGAUAGUAGUGGUACGUGUGGAAUAGUCCCCGAGGGUCGGUCUUUAGGACUGACGGGUAGGUCAGCACCCCAAAAAGACUUGACAGGGGUAGGACGACACCCCAGAAUGGCCGCACGGGUAGGUCGGCACCCCAGAAUGGCCGUACCGGGUAGGCCGGGCACCCUAGAAUUGCCUGGCAGUAUGUAUGCUAUGUGAUUGUAUGGUAUGUGGUACGAUGGGGGAACUUACUAAGCUUCCUGCUUACAGUUUACAGUUUUGGUUUCAGGUACCUCUUCAACAAAGGGGAAGGAGCUGGCGCGGUAGCGGCACAUCAUACACACAUGUUGGUUUCCGCACUAGUGUUUCUUGGGUCGUUACAAGUUGGUAUCAAAGCCCUGAUCUGAGGGAUUCGGACACACCUUGGGGGUGUCUGGACUCAAAUCGAGGGAUUAAAAGACUUUUACAAGAAAAAUGGUUUCUUAAAAGCUAAGAUAAAAGAGUUUUGGGAAAGAACAAAGUGUGUGAUGUGCGCGACCGGCCGAGCUCAAGUAAGUAUUCCCCAAAGUACCCAUACAAGUUUAUGUUAUGUUUAUCAGUUUCAGUAGAAUAGCAUGCUAGAAUAGGACUGAAGAUCUAGGAAUGAUGGCUUAUGUGUCUGCUUUAUGUGCUCCAGCUUAUGAGAAUUGCAUGCUAGUAUUAAGUAGAAAAUAAUAGGAUAGUCUGUUUAGGUUAUGCCUGGUAUUAUGAGCUCAGCAUUGUAUGAUGGUACAACUUCUCGUUAGGAGAAUAGAGUUGUUUGAGUAGUUUCCUGUGUCCGAAUGAUGCUUGCUCAGUGCUUGUAGGACUCUGAAUGAUGGCCGUUAGCCAUUAGGUGAGUACGUCGCGUCGCAUGUCAUUAGGAUUGAAUAAUCUCAGAGUGCUGGAUUUGGCCCUAUUGCGCGGCUCUCGUUUGAGUCUAACCGUUGUAGGGACGAGUCUUUUACUUGAAGGAUUAUCUGAGCCUUGUUACAUGUGAUGGUAUUUAGGUGAUGGCUAAUUGAUAUCACAAGGAGGCCUUCAACAGCCGAGGACCGGUUUGGGUAGAGUCAGAGAUUUUCCCUAGGGUAAGCCUACGAUGAGAGUAGCAGAGAUCAGCAGUGGAAAAAGGGACUUGGUGGAGUCGAGGCCGUCCUUGAGGAAAGUACGGAUAGAUAUGGAAGGUAGUAUGGGCCCGUACUACAGAAAGCAGAGGAUCCGUACUCGAAUUAAGGAAGGCUAAGGCAAGACCAAGGAACUUGUGAUGGGUGUGAUCCCUAUAGAUGUACUAGUAUCACUGACGGAUGUCAUGAUGUAUUGCGGAAUGGUGGUACUAAGGCCAAGGCCAGCAGUGGGUAGCUCAGGAGAGGGAUCGGGUUCGGGUUCAGGCUCCGAACCAGUGGACGAGAGGCUACGCGAGUUCAUCGCGUCUAAGAUCACUAUAGGCAUCCUUGAUGCGACCCCGAUCAUCUUUGGGUCGAUCAAGGAAGGGAUUGUUGAGCUGAUGGAGGAUCGCCUUAGGGCGCUCAGGAGUGACAUGGCGACCAGCCAGUCAGGAUCCCGCAUACUAUCCUUUAAGGACUUCAGGGGCAGUGGCGCGCCGGACUUCCACGGGGAAAAGGACCCCAUUUCUGCUAGACGAUGGAUUGCGGACAUGGAGUCUGCACAGCUGACAAGCUUCUGCCCCGAGGGGCCGAAGGUGAGAUAUGCAGCAGGGUGUUUGAGAGACAGAGCUAGAGAUUAGUGGGAGUCUGUUGUUGACUCCUUGGGAGCCUCGGCUGUUGAGGCUAUGACCUGGUUAGACUUUGUGACCAGAUUCAGGGCGGAGUUUGCGCCAGCUGUAGAGCUUCAGCAGCUGGCCAGAGAGUUUUUGGAUAUGAGACAGACUACGGAGACUGUGGCGGAGAUCACCGCCAACUUCUGGGAGAGGGCAUUGCUUGUGCCCCAGUAUGCGGGAGAUGAGGACAUGAGGAUGACCCGCUAUCAUGACAUGCAGCGAGCCGAAAUUCGGGAGCAUGUUAGUUUUUCAGCUUGCCCUACCCUAGAUUCCAUGAUUUCCAGAUCAAGGGAGAGGGAGAUCGAUCUAGAACAUGUCCAGAAGAGGAAGGUAGAGGAGGGGCAGACGAUUGGGGCUUCGGAGAAGAAGCCUAAGGGAUCAGAUGGUAGGCCGAAAGGCCAGUCAGGACCAGGCCACUGCAGGAAAUGCGGCAGGCCACAUGAGGGGGCGUGUAGAUUGGGAUUGUCGGGCUGCUACAAGUUCGACAAGACGGGGCAAUUCAGCAGAGAUUGUACCGCCCCUACACCAGUUAUUCAGACGUCUGAGUUGCUGUGUUUUCAAUGCAACCAGAGGGGCCACAAGAAAGACAACUGCCCCCAGUUAACAGCAGCAACAGUGCCAGUGAAGGCGCCAGGUCUAGCGACCCUGCGAAUUACUGAUGACUGGAAGGCCAAGGCUGAGGCUCCAGUGGUGAGGAGUCGGGCCUUCCAGUUGACUACCGAGGAGGCACGCGCUGCACCCGAUGUGGUAACAGGUAUGACUUCUUGUUUAUGCUUUUAUGAUAUGCUGCUGUGAUUUUGAUAUGUUAUGUAUGUGCUCUGUUUAGGAUCGUUCCAUGUGAACGGUAUCCCAGUUCAAGUAUUGUUUGAUUCGGGUGCUACCCGAUCAUUUGUCUCUCUUGCGCUUAGCAAGAAGUUUCCUGAGUCUUCGGGCAUGUUGGAUUGCCCUUUAGAGGUUGAGAUUGUAGACGACAGGUCGGUACGAGCAUUAGAGGUCUUCCGAGAUUGUGUUUUGAGGUUGUUCGAGGAGCGUUACAUGGUAGACUUGAUUCCCAUACCCUUGCGGGGGAACAAGGUUAUUAUCGACAUGGAUUGGUGGAGCCCCAAUAGGGCGGUGAUAGAUUGCGCACAAUAGUUGGUGCGAGUCAGGACCCCAGGAGGGGGAGAUUUAGUGAUUUAGGGUGAGAGCCACAGCGAGGGCCAACCUUAUGUUCGGCAACGAGGACAAGGCGUUACCUUCAGCAGGGUUGCGCCGGAUAUGUCGCUUAUGUCAUGGACACCCGGGAGGAGGGAAAGGCGACAGUGGGCAAUGUGCCUGUGGUACGAGAGUUUGCGGACGUAUUCCCCGAGGAGUUGCCUGGGAUACCUCUGGAACGAUAGGUGGAGUUUAGGAUCGACCUAGUCCUUGGUGCGGCUCCGAUAGCCAAGGCACCGUAUCGGUUGGCUCCUCUUGAGAUGCAGGAGUUGUCUACACAGCCGCAGAAAGUAUUAGACAAGUGAUUCAUUAGACCUAGUAGUUCUCCCUGGGGAGCCCCGAUUCUGUUUGUGAAGAAGAAGGACGGGUCGCAUCGGAUGUGUAUAGAUUAUCGGGAGCUGAAUAAGUUAACGGUGAAGAACCGUUACCCACUCCCGAGGAUUGAUGACCUCUUUGACCAGCUACAGGGAGCAUCUUGGUUCUCCAAGAUUGAUCUGCGUUCAGGGUAUCAUAAGAUGAGGGUCAGAGAGGGGGAUGUACAGAAGAUAGCGUUCCGGACGCGCUAUGGCCAAUAUGAGUUCGUGGUGAUGCCUUUCGGGCUCACCAAUGCUCUUGCCGCAUUCAUGGAUCUCAUGAACCACGUGUGCAGACCAAUGUUGGAUCGGUCCGUGAUAGUUUUCAUCGAUGAUAUCUUGGUUUACUCCAAGACACAGGAGGAGCACGAGGAGUAUCUGCAAGAGGUUCUAGAGACUUUGAGAAGGGAGAACUUGUAUGUUAAGUUCUCCAAGUGUGAGUUCUGGUUGCGCGAGGUGCAAUUUCUCAGACACCUUGUCAACCAGAACGGGAUAUCGGUGGACUCGGCCAAAGUGGAGGCCGUGAUGAGAUGGGAGGUUCCAAGGUCUCCAUCCGAGAUUCAGAGUUUCCUAGGAUUAGUCGGCUACUAUCGGAGAUUCAUCCAUGAUUUCUCCAAGAUAGUCAUACCCCUGACCAGGCUAACGAGGAAAGUCGUGGUUUUUCGUUGGGGGCCUGAGCAGCAGGCCGCAUUCGAGACAUUGAGACAGAGAUUGUGUGAGGCACCAAUCUUAGCCCUAUCGGAGGGCAUAGAGAAUUUUGUUGUGUACUAUGACACGCCCAUUUCAGGUUUGGGCGCGGUACUGAUGCAGAGAGGGCAUGUCAUUGCCUACGCUUCGAGGCAGCUGAAGCUUCACGAGGCGAACUACCCGACGCAUGAUUUGGAGCUGGGGGCUGUUGUGUUCGCCCUUAAGAUUUGGCGUCAUUACCUCAAUAGGGUUCGCUAUACUAUCUACAUAAACCACAAGAGUUUGAUGUACCUCAUGGAUCAGCCGAAUCUAAACAUGAGGCAGCGUCGGUGGUUAGACGUGGUGAAGGAUUACGAUUACGAAAUCCUUUACCACCCGGGGAAGGCCAAUGUGGUGGCCGACGCACUUAGCCGCAAGGCAGCGCCGAUCAGGGAUAUUUGUCUGAGGAUGAUAGUGGUGACCCCGCUGUUGGAGCGGAUUCGGGAGGCCCAACGGGAGGCCAUGAAGGAGGAACAUCGGAAGAGCGAGCGGAUUGUGGGGCAAGUUUCCUCCUUCGAUUAUGAUAGCCGAGAGCUGUUGACACUACACCGUAGGGUGUGGGUGCCGUACCACGGGGGUGUACGCCAGGUUCUGAUGAAGGAGGCGCACAAAUCUCGAUUCUCCAUUCAUCCCGGGGCGACGAAGAUGUACAAGGACCUUCUUUUGGACUAUUGGUGGCCCUGCAUGAAGCUGGAUGUAGCAUGGUAUGUGGAGUGGUGCUUGACCUGUAGGAAGGUCAAGGCCAAGCACCAGAGGCCACAUGGAAAGAUGCAGCCGUUGGAUAUCCUGCUGUGGAAAUGGGAAGACAUUACGAUGGAUUUUAUCAUAAAGCUUCCUAGGAUCGCUCGGGGAGUGGAUUCGAUAUGGGUCAUCGUCGAUCGAUUAACCAAAGAGCGCCCAUUUUAUUCCGAUCCAGGAGGGAAUUUUGGCCGAAAAGUUGGCCAACAUCUAUAUCAGGGAGGUGGUGGUGCGGCACAGGGUGCCGGUAUCGGUGAUUUCAGACAGGGACGUGCGGUUCACUUCCAGGUUUUGGAGGAAGUUUCAUGACGAGCUGGGUACUCGUCUGUAUUUUAGCACCGCCUUUCACCCACAGACGGAUGGUCAGAGCGAUCGGACCAUCUAGACAUUAGAGGAUAUGCUGCGAGCAUGUGUUUUAGACUUCGGAGGUAGCUGGGAUACCUACCUUCUGUUGGCGGAAUUCUCGUAUAAUAAUAGCUAUCAUACGAGUAUUAACCGUCCUCCCUUCAAGAUGUUAUACGGGAGGAAGUGCAGAACCCCAAUAUGUUCGGGUGAGGUUGGCCAGAGGGUCAUGAGGAGCAUCGAGGUGGUGCUCAAGAUGACAGAGAGGAUUCAGCAGGUCCGGAGCAGACUUCAGACUGCUCAGAGUCGGCAUAAAAGUAAUCUUGAUAAGCGCCGAUCAGACCUGGAGUUCCAGCUCAAGGAUAUGGUUCUCCUAAAGCUGUCGCCAUGGAAGGGCGUCAUCCGAUUUAGGAAACAGGACAAGUUGGGCGCCACGUACAUUGGACCGUUCAGAUUCUUAGCCCGGGUGGGCAAGGUAGCAUACAGGUUGGAUCUGCCAGCCGAACUCAGCCAGAUCCACAACACUUUCCACGUCUCCCAGCUGCAGAAGUUUCUGGUGGACGACUCAGCAGCGGUACCCUUAAAAGAUAUUCAGGUCGAUGACAGCUUGAAUUACAUUGAGCGGCCAGUAGCGAUCCUCAACCGGAAGUCGAAGGAACUGAGGAACAAGAGGGUUGAACUAGUGAAGGUGCAAUGGCAACAUCGGAAGGGCUCAGAAUGGACUUGGGAGCCAGGGGAGGAGAUGAUCGAGCAUUACCCAGAGUUGUUCCAGGAACGAACAGCAGACUUCGAGGACGAAGUCUAAAAUAAGUGGGGGAGAUUUGUAGCACCUGGUUCCUGGUAUGUAAUUUAUUUAAAUAUUUUGCAUUUUUGGCCUUGGACUCGGCGAGUUCAAGGACCAACUCACCAAGUAGAAGCGGGAUGGGACGCGAGAUUUAAGUUAUGGACUCAUCGAGUCAGGUCCUGGACUCGACGAGUAGGCUCUGACUGGACAAAAACCCUAAUCUGAGGGUUUGCACCCUAUUUAAUCAUCUCAUUCAGCCACCACUCUACCCUAAUGCUCCCAGAAACCCUCCCUAGUAAACCCUAAGUGUUUUGGUGCAAGAUCUAAGGCUUUUUGAGUGAUUUUUGUGGGUUUUGACCUCAAGGAAGAAGGAAGAGCAUAGAAGGAUCAAGAGGAGACUGAACAAUUCGAGUUUGGUGCAUCAUUUUCUGUCCUUGAAAGGUAUAAAGUCUGUACCUUGCUUGUUCAUUUGUUAGAUCCCUUUUUGGGGAAGAUUUAGGGUUUUUUAAGUCAUAUGAGGUGGCCAACCAUGAUUGCAAACAUGGUUGGGGGUCAAGACUUCGGAUCUAAGUCUUGGAAGGAGUCCCAAAGCAUAUUUGGGUUGCUUUUGCACCCAAGGAAGGUCCCAUGCAACAUAAGAGCCAUUUAGAGCCUUUUUGGGUCAAAAGUCCCAUGCAUGCACAUAAAGUUCGAAACUUUAUGUGCUAGAUCGAGCUUAGGGCUUGGAUCUAUCUUUUUGUCAAUGGUUGUACAUCAGAAAUCAAGGAUUUAGGGUGUGGACGUUAUCGACUCGGCGAUUCCGUUCUUGGGACUCGACAAUUCCAAGGCAUAGAGUCCGUUAUCUGUUGAGGGUCAAAAGAACCCAGUUGGGUGUUAGAAGGGUUGUAGAAGGUCCGAGGGAGUAACCCAACGUGUUGGACUUAGCCUUAGACUCGGAAUUCAUGGGACUCGUCGAGUGCUAGAAUAGACUCGGCGAGUCCAAUGCAAUCUCCUUAUGGAUGAAGAUGAACUCGACGAGUUGUUUAUACAACUCGACGAGUCGGGGUCAGGACUUGUUCAUCAGAUGAAGGUGAACUCGACAAGUGUUCAUCCAACUUGGCAAGUCGGAUGAAAGUUCAUUGAUGUUCGUAAAGAAGGGGAACUCGUCGACUCGUUGCCAAACUCGACGAGUCGAGUCGUGGAUAAGGACGAGUAAAGGAAAGGGACUCGACAAGUAGAUGACCCAACUCGGUGAGUUGGGUCAACUGGAAGUUGACUUUGACUUGGACUUGGUUGGGGGUAAAAUAGUCAUUUUACCUCAAGAGUAGAUAUCAGUUUCUGACUGAGUGUUUUGUGGGGAUUAUAGCCGGAGGAUUUCCGGUGCAGCAGCAGGCAGAGGUUUUCCAAACAGAUUAUUAGCAACUACUUGUUCGAGGUGAGUUACCUACCAAUAGCGGUGGGUCUACGGCCACAAUGUCGGCCCACCAAUAGGCACUACUAGAAAAAAGGCGUUUUACGAUGCUCAUUGCGCGUCGUAAAACGCUCAGACAACGCGAAAAUGCGUGUCAAGGAAGGCCCUGUCAUAACGAGAGACGACACGCAUUUACGACACGCAUUUACGACGCUCAUUUACGACACGCAAUGCGUAUCAAGGAAGGCCAUGUCAUAAAGGAUGACGACACGCAUUUGAGUGUCGUAACCUUACGACACGCGUUUAGGACAUGCAUUGUGUAUCAUUAAAGCCCCUGUCAUAAAUGAAGAUGACACGCAUUUGCGUGUCAUAAUCUUCAGCAACCAUUUACGAUAUGCAUUUACGACACGUCUUUACGAUACACAUUUACGCAAAAUACAAAAAUAUGGAAAUAAAUAUAUAACAAAACAAUCAAUUUCAUUCAUUAACAUCAUGUCAAAAAAUUGUAAUACAUAGCGGAAGUAUUUGUUGAGAGCCCAAAAAGUUACAUAAAUCAAUGAAAGUAAAAUUCAUAACUUUUCUAGUUUUCAUAAUCCUAACAAUAGCUGCAUCAACCUGCGAUAUAUUUAUAAAAAAAAUGUGAUUAUAAAUUUAUAAUUACAAAAAAAAAUAAAGCAAAAAAAAAUUGGACCUGAUAUUGACGAUCUUGGGAAACUCUCUCUGUGGUGCUUGCGUUUUCUUCCACAGUUUCCUUCAGCUGGAUAUCAUUCACAUGUACAUGGAAUGGAAUGGAAUAAUGAAAUAAGCAAAGGAAUGGAAUGAGUCAUUCCAUUCCAAUUUCAUAUGAACUUCACAUUAUAAAAAAUUAAUUGAUCUCACCUUUAUACGAUAAAGAGGAGCAGUAAAUACAUCAUUAAACAUGAAGGAAUCAUUGUCAUCCACAUCAGUUUGAACCUAUUCUUUUGUCUCCUUUUCUUCUUUCUCUUUCCCUUGUUCUUUUUUGUCUUGUAUCUUUUCAAGUGGUUGGUACAACAAUAGAGGUAACGGGACAUGUGCCAGUAUUGGGUCCUGAAGAUCUUGUUGCUUUUGUGCUAAGUGUUUUGUGAUUGAGAAGCAAAUGGUCACAAAUUGCAUAUGGGUUCUGGACAUGCAAAUAAACUUAACUAUCGAUCACAUAACAAAAGCAAAUGAAAGUAUGAUGUUAUAAUAAACAAUUCAAAUGCUAAUACCUUUGACAUGUUUGUAUCUACAACAUUUUGGGAGCUUUCGAUGCUUCGAAGAAUUAAAAGUAUUGAAAUAACCUCUUCCUUCUUUAGACUAUUAUGAGGCUUCCCAUCUUCACAAUCACCACCAAUUGCCAACAUAGAAAGAAAUAAAUACAAUUUUCCGGAAAAUAAUAAAAAUUCAUAUAUAUUUUUUUCAUUCAAAGAAUCAAAAUCAACAGGUAUAGUAUGCAUUCAAUUUAUAUUUCAGGAAAAAAAAACUAAUAGUAUACCUACCUGUAUGUGGGUUCAUAGCAAGUUUUCUCUCUUGGAUAAAACAUUAUUUUUUUAUUUUAUUUAUACUAAAUGUUUUUUUUUAUAUUUUGAUAUAAUACAAAUUAAUUUAUGUUUUAGAUAAGCUCUCUUUUACUUNCCUGUCUUUUACUUAUUUACAUUGAAAAUUGACAAAUAGUUCUUUUUCCACAAAAACAGACAAACUAUCUACAAUGAGUUUUUUGCCCUUUGCCACUAUUUAAUCACCUUACCUUAGUUUUACACACAAAAUCCAAUAAUGGAAUAAUGCAUUGAACAUUACACAUUUGCAAAUAAGAUACACAUUAGCAAAAAAUGGUCUUAGCACUAACUUUCACCACCCACCCACCCGAUAACAAAAGAAAAUAUAAUCCGCCCACUCAGUUUCACUUUAUUUGCAAGUAAGUAUAAACAAUAAUAUUGCAGGGUUUUUUUUUCAGUAUGAAUGAGUAUUCAGUCACUAUUCAUCCAUACCUCUUUAAGUAGUUGAUACCAAAUGCUACCAUUAUUCAAUCUCCAUCUAGGGGUAGGGCUAGGUGUUGGUGUUGUUGGAGCAGAAGAAGCAUCAAUGAUAUUGAUAACAAUGAAAGGGGAACUCAAAUCAUCAAGUUCAUCAUCACUUGUGUUUGACUUUCUCAACACUGAUGAUCCAGUGCGACCCAAGUGUUUUAUACAUACAGCCACUCCCUCUCCUCCAACCAAAAUGGUUUUUAUUAUUGAUGAUGCUGAUGGCGGAUCAUAAACAACCGAACCAGCUACACAUGGGACACUGCUCACACAGUCUUCGCCACCCUCUGUAGAAUAUAAAGCCAAAAGAAACCUGUGUUUGUUUACUACUCAAAAUGAAGACAUAAAAGAAGAAAGGAAUAUGCAUUGUAUUGGAAAAAUGAAGACUAAAAACCUCUUAUAUUAUCCAUAUCAAUAAAGCUAUAUUUAUAGCUUCUUAGACACCCACGAUGAAGUAUGAAAACAAUCCAUGCUCUUGACUCCACCUAAUUAGCUUAAGAAUUAACUAUUAUAUAAAACAUAAAACACAAAACAAUAAUAAUUAUCAAAUCUAAAGUUUCAGCCAUGCACGUGAGCUAUGACUAACAAACCGAUUAACCCAACACCUUCCACCCCCAAAUCCUUAGCAUAUAUAAACAAACACCCUCUAAAUGCAUGUUAUUAGACAUACCAAAAUAUCUUUAAUUGGUUGGCUUGUGUGUCCUUCACAUCAACAUAAUUACUUAAUUAAUUAAUUAUACUGAACUCACCUCUGAGUCUAAGGCUUCAAGCACAACUUCAGGAAUAGCAUCUGGACAAAACUCAUCUGGAACAAAACUAUCUAGUAUCCCUUUUAUUAAUGCUACACCAAAACUCAAACAUACCUUCAAAAAAUUUUAAAUAACUUUAGCUUUGUGGAUAACUACACUACUAUAAAAGAAAAAGAGCCCAAUUUUAGAGACCUCUUUUCUGAUUGUGCUAUCUAACAACAUAUCCUUAGGAAGCAUCAUCAGGUCACUUAAUGCAUUCAGGAGAUGAAAAGAUUUGAAUGAUGAAUCAUCAGCAUCUAUAUCAAAUAAAUCAGUCAGCCACCUCGACCAAUUUUCAAUUUGCACAUUGCCAAAUGAACNNNNNNNNNNUAUAUAUAUAUAUAUAUAUAUAUAUAAAGGAUCACUUGCCAUGGGAAUUGGUCGCCUAUGAUUCAGAUCAGAGGCCUGGAAUCGUCAAGGUAGAAAACACAAGUCAAGAAAAAAAAUAAAAUAAGAGACUUUUAGGCAUAAAUGGUAUAUACCCUGUAAUAGGGAUAACAAACUCCUUGAGUGCUUUUUCACUUGUUACUCCAAUUAAUUCGCCAAGACCUUGAGCAUCCUGUUCUCUCAAUUCUGCAGACCUGCUUAUUAGGCCCUGAAGAUAUAUGGGAAGCAAUGGUUGAAGAGCCUUUGGGAGACAUAACCUGGGUAUAACAAUUGGUCCACCCUAUAUGUCCAUCAACAAAUAUUUAAAUAAGAUAAACCUUAAUCACUACUAAAUGCUGAUUAAAAUACACAUAGUUGCCCCUCGAGUUCCAAAACAUUAAAACAACUCUAUUUUGUGCUUAGAUUCCAAAAUAGGACCAAAACAAAAUUCAUACGCAAGUGCUCAAUGGAUGAAAAAACUCAUAUGUACAAAUUCUAAGCCAAAAUACAAGAAUACAUUAGUUCUACAUAAACCCUAUCAACUCGAAAAUAAAAUUUUCUCGUAUAAUAAUUACAUAACCAAAUUAUGUAGUGAAAUCACACAUUAAAGCAAAUGUCUUUGUUAUUGUGAAUUUUGAUACAUCAUAUAUUAUUAUAUUUUUACCUUUAUUAUAGAUUGGUUACCCAACUUUACAUGCAUUUGUUGAGUUUAUUUCUGGAUUUGACAUGCCUUCUGACAUUCACUCAAAGAAGAAAGACAACAUUCUUCUAGAAACUGGGAAACCUUUUCGAUGGCUCUCUUCCAUGAUGAGUUAUCGUUGCCACUAGCUCAUAUCUUCGACCGUAUUUAUUAUAAUUUUUUUUAUAAAUUAAUAAAAAGAUGAAAAUGAUAUAUANNNNNNNNNNNNNNNNNNNNNNNNNUAUAUAUAUAUUAUAUAAAUACAUACCUCUGGUGAUGAUAAAAAAAGGAAAUCACGAUUCAGAGUAAGGUGAAGAGGAAUGUGGAUUGGUUUGAGUAAUUUUGUGCUUCCUUGACUUACAUAGCUAAACCUCAUUAAGUGUAGUAUUAUUAUCUCUGGAAGCUCUAAUAUUUCACUGAUUUACUUGCACAUACUAAUUCACAUAAUAAUAAAAAGAAGUAUACAUUUCCUGCUGAUGAAGCACGAUACCCUUCAAGUGUCUCUGGAGCUGAAAAAAGAUGAAGUGCAUCUUCUAUUGUAUGCAUAGGAUCUGGACAUAUAUUCAAAUGGAGCAAAAGAAAUGGCUGAAUAGUUGCAGAUGCUUUGUUACCUAUUUUUGUUUUACAUUAAAAAUAUAUAAAUGAUGAAUUAAUGAUAUCAUGUUAUUGAGAUGAGUGAAAAAUGUUAAAAGAUUAAAAAAAAAUACCUCUUGCUUUCAUUACACUUUUUAUUUGGCCUUCGAAGAUCUGACUUAAUUUUGAAGGAAUAAAACUUUGUGUUCUUGUGAUUGUAGUUUUGUUCUUUGGUCCAACUGUUUCCCAAAUAUCAUCAUCAUCUUCAUCACUUAAAGAUGAAACCAGUGAAACUUUUCCACCAUUAAAAUUACAAACUUCUCCUUCAAGUUUAAGAAGUUCAUCAUGCAUUUGGUGCAUUACAAAGCUUAAAAACACCUGAGCAUCUUCUUGCCUUUUUAAAAAACAAACUUCAACUCAGCAUCCGAAAUUCCAAACAUAACAUAUAUAAAAUUUGUUGAUUAAUUUUAUAACAUUAACACAAACCUUGGUCUUCCAGAGAAGCUAUUUGGCAUAUCUGGAGAGAAAUUGUUGAGAACAGAUUCAAACAUGAUAGGUCGAAAAGGUUUCCCAGUUUCUAGAAGAAUGUUGUAUUUCUUCUUUGAGUGAAUGUCAGAAGGCAUGUCAAAUCCAGAAAUAAACUCAACAAAUGCAUGUAAAGUUGGGUAACCAAUUUGUAAUAUAGGUAAAAAUAUAAUAAUGUAUGAUGUAUCACAAUUCACGAUAACAAAGACAAUUGAGUCCAACUCCAUCGGCGUUUGCUUUUGAAUGAAUUCCUUGGGAUAAACCUUCCAUAUACGCUCUGCUCCCUUUCCUUUUGGAACAAAACACCAUAGCAAGACUCCAAAUAUGUAAUAAUAAUCGAUCGAUAAAGUUUCUACAUAAGUUGCAGGUGAUCAAAAAUGGCGGAAAUCAGGAAAUGUAAAUUGUACCUUUAGCGAGAUUAGGGUAAAGCCAUCACAAGUUAGAGCCAUCAUCACCUGUGGGAGACCUAGGGGAAGUUGAUCGCCUCUAUCCACCUGCCAAAAAAGUGAAUCGUCUUCCCAUAAGUUUUCGUCACUUUCUCUCGAUCUUGCCGCUCAACCGGACCAAGGACGCCGGGAAGGAAAAGGACGUCCCUCUUCACCUCAUACUCGUGGAUGUGCCACAUUGGCUUUUCUGAAUCCGGCAAGGUGAAGAACAAUUUUUAUGUUACGAUGUUUUCAACUCCGAUUAAAAAAGCCCUAGAAAUUAUCCCAGUGAUUUUGUGAUAUAUGAGUUGUUGAGGUAUACAGCAGAGGUGGUAUCGUGAUUAGGGUUUGCAGAGAAAAGGGGGAAGAAGAGAAUGAAGGGGAUCAAGCGGGGUAUUAAAAAAUUUAAGAUUUUUGAGAGGAUUUCAUUUCCCCCUUUCAAGAAGGCGCGUUUUAGUAAAAAUUAUAAAGCGACAAUCACAGAGGACGCAUAUUUUAGAUAAAGUGCCCUCCGUGUUUUUAUUUUUUUUACAUUCGACACUAAUUUAAGGGCAUGCAAUAAUGCGUGACCUAAAUCCUCAAAUUUUUUGAAGAGACGACACUUUUUUAUUGUCACUCUCGUUUGCGUAACAUAAAUCAAUAAGUGUCGUGAUUUGCACAUCGUAAAAGGGUCUUUUUCUUGUAGUGAGGAGUUGUAUGAUUAGAUGAUUGUCUUUGUGAUAUCAUCUAGGUUGCUGCUACCUGAUAUGUUAUAUGCUGGUAUGAUAUGUUAUUUGUGAUAGUAGUAGAGUUCGGUUGUUUGGACCGAAGGGUAGGUCAGACACCCCAGAUAUGUCUGACAGUAUGUGAUGAUAUGUUUAUAUGCUGGCAUGAUACGUUAUAUGGGAUAGUGGUAGUAGGAGGGGAACAAUCUCCAAGUUCGGUUGUUAGAGCCGAAGGGUAGUUCGGACACCCUAGAUAUGUCUGAUAGUAUGUUUAUGUUAUGAUAUAUGUGAUAGUAGUGGUAGGGGUGGAAUAGUCCAAGAGGGUCGGUUUUUAGGACUGACGGGUAGGUCAGCACCCCAGAAAGGCUUGACACGGGUAGGACGAUACCCCAGAAUGGCCGCAUGGGUAGGUCGGCACCCUAGAAUGGCCGCACGGGUACCUAGAAUGGCCGCACGGGUAGGUCGGCACCCCAGAAUGGCCGUACCGGGUAGGUCAGGCACCCCAGAAUUGCCUGGCAGUAUGUAUGCUAUGUGAUUGUAUGUUAUGUGGCACGAUGGGGGAACUCACUAAGCUUCGUGCUUGCAGUUUACAGUUUUUGUUUCAGGUACCUCUUCAGCAAAGGGGAUGGAGCUGGCGCGGUAGUGGCACAUCAUGAAUGGUUUUCCGCACUAGUGUUUCUUGGUAUUGUACUAUGACAUUAUUCUUAUUUUUGUGAAUGGUUUUCAGACAUGAGAUGUGGUUUUAUGAAAAGUUAUGAUUAGAUGGUGUUUUCUUAUAAAUGUUUUUACAAGUCAAUUUUAAAAAUGAAAUUUUUGGACUUGUAAAUUGGGUCGUUACAUUCCUUCCAUGGUAAGACUUUAAGCAAAACCAAAUCUCCAACUUCGAAUGCCAUCAGUCGUCUUUUCUUGUCAGCAUAGCUCUUUUUACAAUCCUGAGCUGCUAACAUCCUUUCCCUAAUCACUCUUAACUUUUCAACAGUCUGAUGGACUAUCUCGGGGCCCAUAAACUGCCUUUGUUCAACUUCAAGCCAACAUGACGGCGUACGACACUUUUUUCCGUACAAAGCUUAAUAAGGUGCCAUCUUGAUGCUUAAGUGGAAACUAUUAUUGUAGGAAAACUCUACCAGAGGUAAGUGUUCAUCCCAGUUACCUUGGAAUUCUAGGGUACACACUCUUAGCAUUACUAUAGUGUUUGAAUCGUCCUUUUUCUCUAACCAUCGGUCUGUAGAUGGUAGGCUAUACUUAAACACAGCUUCGUACCCAAUUCUUCUUGUAGACUCCUCCAAAACCUUGACGUGAAACGGCUAUCAUGGUGUAACGCCCAUGUUUCUAGGCUAGGCAUUAAUGAUAAUGUAAUAGUCUAGGUUAACCUUUGUAACCCGUCUUGAAAUAAUAAAAAUGUAUUAUUUGAGUAUUAUGUGUUUUGUGCUUAAUUGUGUGACUUAAAUGAAUUAAGGAUAAAAAUAAGCAUCAAAAUGAAAUGUUAGAUAAACUCGAUAUCUAUGAAGGAUGUGGUAGUGGUCGUGGCAAGGUUUCCAAAUAUAUAAAGAAUGCCAAAAUCUGAGUUAUAACGAAAAAGUUAUGAUCUGUCGAAGUUUCGUUACAGAACCGGCACGGCACUGCGUGACGUAAAUAGUGAAUUUACGAUAGAGCGAUAUUUAGUCUUAGUGAUCUAAACAGAAGUUGUAGAAUAAGUUUAACCGAGAGCGUGCAUAAGAAGAACGUCUAAAUUUGACUUCGUAUGAGGAAGUUAUGAUUUUUCGAAGUUUCGAUUUAGCAGUAUGCAACCCAAAUCUCGAAUUACAGAUCGAGUGAUACUUGGCCGAAACAAUCUAAACGGGAAUCGAAGAUCUCGUCGAUAGUAGUCCAAAAGUGAAAAGACAUACGAAAACGGACGUCGGAUGAAGAAGUUAUGAAUUUCUAACGGAGUUUUCCUGUCCGACCUGCUAAAAAUAAUAUAAUAAAAAUAAGUUCAAAAUUAGCCGACGCAGUCUAAACGAAAGUUGUAGAGCAUAGUCUCACCUAUGUGUGGAUAUAAAGAACAUAAAAAAUGGAGCUCGUAUGAGGAAGAUAUGAUAUUAUGAAGUUUUUAAAUAAUUAAAAUAUAUAAAUUUUAUUAUAUAUUCGGAUAAUAUCCGAAUCCAUGACUCAGCCGAUCUGAUCCGAAGAUUACGCCCAACGUACUGCUUGUAGAGGCAUUACGCCCAGCAUAAUCAGGAUUUACGCCCAACGUAAAUCGAGGUUUCAUCCCCUAUAAAUAGAAGUCGUGGGCAGCCGAGUUUUGUUGCUCAUUUCUUCCUCUCUCUCCCGUUUUACCUCGUUUUACGUGCAAGCUUUACCCCCGAAGCCGCGGUAUCAUUCCCGAGACCCGAAGCCCCGGGGAUCCCGAGAAGUAAAGUUUCUGAGCCGAAACUCUGCCCGUGUAAAGCCCGGUUUUGGAGAAAACGUCCUGGUUUUAUCGGAAAAUAUUAUUUUAAUAUAUGAGGUGAUGUCCGAUCAUCUUCUUAUCAAGUGAGUGUAUAUUCCCUUUCUUCUAACACAUAGAUAUGAAGUAUCUACUUUAGAAUAUGUGUUACAUGUGUAUAAAUAUACGUGUAUAUAUAUGUUAUCUGUUUAUUUGGAAUGAGUAUCUUAUUAGUUUUUAAGUUACAUAUGAAUGCAUAUGUAUGUUGUUAUCUACAAAAUGUUGGGUAGAACUUGUGUAGAUAGUUGAUGUGUGAUAAACUGAUGAGAUGCCUCGAUGUGAUUGUGAUCUAGUCAUUCAACAGAAUAUGGGUGACGACCACGGACUCUUUCUAGACUGUCCCGUGGAAUGCUGGCAGGCUCAUAACCUGUAGGUGUUGGUGAACUUGGGUGUUCAUUUGUUGUAUUCUAUCCCCCUCAUGGUUGCCUUAGGACAUUCAUUGUUGAGAAAACCCCUCUGCAGUAGUGUCCGUCCUGAUGAAAAUCCUAGAUUAGGUCCCUUGUAAUAGUUAUUGUCAUAGUGACGUAAAGUGAGGAUAACAGGAAUGGGUAAUCAGGUUAUUGUUGGUUGGUGAAAUUAAAUAUAAUUAGUUAUUGUGGGUUGAAAACCCUAUAUGCUCACCAGGCUCCCAAGCUUGACCCACUCAGUUUUUUUGUAUUACAGGUAGUGGUGCGAGGGCAUAAGUUGGAGAACUUAUGAAGAUGUUUUUGUUUAUAGACCAGUAGUUGUAUAUAACAGUGUAAGGUCUAUGUUUUACUGUUUAUGCUUUUGUGUCUGUAUCGGAACAUGACAUCCUGAGUUUUGAUAUAUAAUGAAAAUACAUUUCUUUAAGAAAUGUUUUGAUAAACUUUAUUUUAUCAUGUUUUGUUUUAGGGACAAAUUCUGCAACUCUUUUAAAUCAAUGGAUUUACUCUGAAAUUAUUUUAAAAACAUAAAUGAAACCGGCCUUUUCUGGCCGUGAUUUUGGGGAUUUCACACAUGGUCUGAUACUAUCUUUAAAGGAACACCAUGAAGUCUUACUACCUCCUUCACGUAAGCAUUUGCAAGCUUAUCUGUAGACCAUCUUGUUGGAUUAGUGUCUAAGUCCAUAACUAUUUUGGUAUGUACUUGACCCGAUGGUGCAUGGUCCUUUUGGGUUGCCUUCACCAAAGCAACUUGAUUGGAGAAAUAAAUAAAGAGAGAGAGGUUAUUAUGAUUUAUUAAUAUGUUAUAAGAAUAAUAUAUUAAAGGAGAAAUCAUAUUUGUUUAAUUAAUAUUGGUCAAUAAUUAAUUAAGAAUUAAUUUUGUGAUCAAGUGUAAUUAAUUAAACUAGAGGGGCUGAAUUGUAAUUAUGUGAUAGUUACAAAAUAAGGUAAGGAUUAUCUUAAAUAUAGGGUGAACGAAUUUAAGGAGAUAAUGCCUUAGAAUUCGACUAGGAUAAGGGUUUCUAAGACUUAUCUUAUGGUUGCUUGGUGGGCAAGCAACUAGAUAAGGAUAAGGACUAAAACCCUAAUCUUUACACCUAUAUAAACCCCCUAAGGCUCAUGAAUUCGUCUAAGCCUUCCCAAGAAGUCCUAAGGACGAAUUCCUACCUCUAUCCUCUCUCUUUAUACCUUCUCCAUUUGCUCUUGGUGUUUGUGAGCCAUUAGAGGAGUGACACUUGUGACUCUAAGCCUUCCAAAGUCAAUUCAUGGAGAAUUGGGAUUGUUAUUACUACAUAACAAUCAAGGUAACAUCUUAAACCUAAUUAUAUGUUAAUAUUGAUUUCCAUAUGCUAGAAUUAGGGUUUAUAGUCUUGGAUUCAUUGCAUGUACAAUAGAGAAACCUAGAUCCAAGCAUUAGGGUUUGUAUGAGCACAUAGGAUGUCUUAUGACCAAAACCCAUCAGUGGUAUCAGAGCCUAGCUUGGUUUCAAUUGUAUUGAUGCAUUGUAUAACUGGAAAAUUCGUUUUUUGGGUUUCUGGAGGCUGGACUCGCCGAGUCCAUAGAUGAACUCGCCGAGUCCAUGCUGACUCGACGAGUCCAUGCCUGACUCGGCGAGUCGGCUCGUCAGAAGGAGGGAAAACCGGGAUUUCUUGCUGUUUUUGCUUAAGGAUAGUUGCCUUAUCAUAUUAGAUCAAUAUAAAUCCGAUUUUAUGAUAUAUUUGACUAUAUUCUUGAUCUAAUUGAAGAUAUUUAUCAAUUAAUAAAAUAUUUGUUUCCUUAUGUGAUAAUUGAUUAAUUAUUUUGAUUAAAUUGAUAAAUUGUUUUGCAAGAAAUCAUUAAAUAAAUCAAAUAUGGAUAAUUAUGUGAUUAAAUGUUAAUUUAGAUUAUUUGUUAUUUGAUCCUUGUUGUUAUGAAAAGUUUCAUAUUUUCCCCUUUAGGUUUUAUAGUUUAAAUUUGAACCCAAAAGUUUUGUUGUUUUGAAAUUUAAAUAGUUGAAACCCUAAUGUUUUGAAAAAGGUUUCAAAACUUGCCCUCAAGUUUUGGAAUUUAAAUUUUGAUUAAAUAGUUUAAUUUUGAUGUAUAUUUAAAUUCUAAACCCUAAUGUGUUGAAAUGUUUCAAAACUUGCCCUCAAGUUUUGGAAUUUAAAAGUUGAUUAAAAGUUUAAUUAGGAAUGUUAAAUUCUAAAACUCUAGUAUUGUUUUGAAAAAGUUCAAAUCACACCCUUAUGGUUUUAUUAAUUAAUUAAGGUGUAUAAUUAAAAGAGGUUUAAUAAAUCCAUAAAAGUUUUGGUUUACAAUUUAAUUGAAUUAAAAGUAUAAUUGUUAAAUUUGACCACCUAGUAUUUUAAAAGUGUAAAAUACACCCUAUACUAUAUAUAACAUUAAAAGUCUAACAUUAUAUAUAUGUAUGAGUAAAAGUCAGUCUUACCGUUAGUAGGCCUCAUUCACGAAGCUGGUCUAUAAGGGGUGUUUAAGGAAAUUGCCUAUAAAAUGGCGAUUGAAUGGGUAUCCACUCUUACCCACCGCACUCUUGACUAGUGGAGGGUCGUUAGCCGAACGGGUAGGAUAGGACGAAACCUUCCAUUAUAAGUAUAAUGAAGUAUAAAAGUAACUAAAUGUUUUCAUAAAAUUCCCAAUCUUAGUUACUUAGGCAAAAGUGAAUUGAUGCAAUUCCAUGAAAUUACACUUUGUGCCCUUGCGAAGACGUUAGUGGAGCGUGUGUGGUUUACCGGCACACUAAAUGGUUCUAAGCAAAGGUAGCAAAGGGUGACUCAAUGUUUGUCAUAGUUCGGUGGAGCGUGUGUGGUUUACCGGCACAUCGAAUAGGUGACUGUAACAUGUGAGGGCACCAUGUAAGUUUGCAUGGUUAUUCACACCCGCUUUGUGAUCCUCGGCAUCCCAGUCACAAACAAGAGGGGCAUAUCGAGAUUUAAACAUGCCAUUGAAAUGUUCAAUGAAUCUCAAAGGAUCUAGGAGUUUUCAUAGAUUUAAAACUUAAAUUUCUUUUUCGUUUUUCAUGGUGGAAAUUAGUGAAUCGUCAUUCACUUACCUUCAAAUGUUCUGCAAUUUGGGUUACGGCAUCCCUCUCCCGAGUUGUAGAAUAUUGUGUUGGGUCCUAGCCUUAGUAUCUCAUUUGGGUGAUUUACUAAGGACUCAAUCAAUCAACUAACUUGAAUUCUUUUUCUCCCGUUUUGUAGAUGUCAAAGUUCGACAACUAUGGUCUUCCCAAAUCCCGUGGAACAAGCAUUCCACAUGAAGAUGAUAUUCCACGAUUCGAUCGAGGAACAAGAAAUCAUGCUUCACUUCCUCCACCUCCUCCAAUUAUUCUCCCUAACCCACAAGUUCAAAGGCUUGAAAAGUUCAAGAUCACUCAAGCCCUUUUGGCAAGUAAACAUAAAGAAGGAAAGUCGGUGUGUGCACACGUCCUAGGGAUGAAGUCACACAUUGAUAGGUUAAGAAUGUUGGGAUCCGUUGUCUGUGAGGAAAUGGCUGUUGAUUGGGUUCUUCAGUCACUUCCUAACUCAUAUAGUGAGUUCGUAAGAGAGUACUAUAUGAUGAACCGCGACGUGACCCUUAUAGAUCUCACCUAUAUGCUUAUUGCUGCUGAAUCAGCAAUGGUUUGGCGCAAUAGAAAAGCAAAGUUGAUUGGUGAAUCUGCCUUCAAGACCUCUAUGGAUAUAGACAAUGGCAACGAAAGACAUGCUAUGAUCGAAAAGUUUGAUCAUAAGAGAAAGGCAAUGUCUGAAGUAGUUCCAUGUCAUGUUCCAAAAGAGUCAAUUUGCUUUUAUUGCCAAGAGAAAGGGCAUUGGAGACGAAGCUGCCCCAUUUACCUAAGAGAUCUAAGAGAUGGGAGAGUCGAAACGUAUGGCUCUAAUAUAGGUAAAAUCCAUUAACUAACUCUUUUAAGCUUCUAUUCUAGAUUCUUAAUACAUAAUGUGAUAAGAUUACAAUUGAUGUUUUGUAGGAUCGAAGAAAAGAAAGGAAGCUUAAGGGAAGAAGUGAGCAGAAUCUAACCGUGAAGGAAUGGAUUUCGAUCGCAUUUCUCGAAGAUUAGAUUCUUGAGCUACUACUUAGAGUUAGAAUUAGAUUGCUAAGAAAGAUGUAUUAGCAUAGUUUUUCAAUGAAUUGCAUUGUAAGGACAAAUUUUUCCGCAAUAAAAUAAAUUUUGAUUUUAAAUUUUAUUUAUUUAUCCUUACAAUGGCGUGUAUGAAAAAUUGAUGUUAAAAUGUUUCUAUUAUUAGCAAUAAUGGAUUUGGUUCUUAUUAUGUUAUUUAUGGAAAGUCGAGAAUUUACCAAAUAGGGAGAGUUUCUCAUCGCCCAAGUUUCAAUUGGACAGAAACUUGGAAUCAUGCAACUUGGUUGCACGAUGAAUGAGAAAUUUCAUAUUUGGAAAUUAGACUAAUUCAUUGACAAAGUGUCAAGUGAAGGACUAGGAGAUCGAGUACACAAAGUUGCGUGUUGAUCAAGUCCACCAUAAGAGUAACAAAGAUAUUCGUCAUGAUUUACUAAAGGUUUAGUAAAUAUGAUUAUACUUAUAAGAUUAAGUGUAAUUCUGAAUUGAUUGAAAAGGUUUAAAUCAAUAGCAGAACGAAUAAGAAGAAUCAAGUAGGCAGAAAGAUAAAAGUUUCUCCAUUCUAAGAAGAAGGGAGAGUACCUUUUAUGCUUUAUGAUAGGUCUUAAUGAUUAAGAACCAUAUCUCAAUUGAUCCUCUAAGUGAGUCUUAGUACAAUUGUAUGUCUAAGAAGAGGAAUCAAGAAUUGAAGAAAUGGUUAAAUCAAGAAGUCAAUCAUACUUCGUUCCAAAACAAGUCUUAGAGUUAAGAUUGUGACAUUGAGUGAUAAGUAUAAAGAAGGUUUAUAACAUUCAUUAAAUGUGGAAAGUUGUGAUGUCUUGGAUAAGACAAAGACCAACUAGGACCAAUUUAUGAAGUGUUUUGAUAAAAGCUACACUAACUCUUGAAUAUUUGUUUGUCAAGAAAUGGUUAUUGACAAGAGAAUCUUAUAUGUCAAGGAGUCAGUGGGAGUCUUAAUGGUCUUGAAAGGUUUCAAGAACAAAUCAAAUAAACCUUAUCGAUCAUCACUAGCACACGAGUUGAGGUUUACAACCUAUCGUGUUGACAUUAUUUUGAUUCUGUGCCAAUCCAAUCGAGUUAAUUAUGCAUGUGAGUUCUAUGAGUUCUCAUUUUGAACGCAUAAAAGGCAAAGCACCUUAAUCAAUGAAAGGUACAUUGAUAGGAAAGGGUGAGCUGCUUAACUACUUGGAAGACAUGGUGGGCAGCUGUGCUACCAUAAAGGCAAGAAAUCGAGAUCAAGAAAGUUCGAUCCAUAAGAGUUUGAAUUUGUCGUAAACUUUGGUUUUGACAAAUUCACAUGGAUAGGAACAAAUACACCGUUUAAAUCUAAGUGUCAUAAGAUUUCCUCCUUCAUGAAAAUGAUUGUGAGGAAAUGCUUUCACUAAGACAGAUUUUAAGAAGAUAGUGAUUGUAAAAUUGCAUUCUCGAAUUCAAUUAUGGUUACGGCAUCCCUUUCCAUAAUUUGAAUUGUGAGGUUUGGCAAUUAGUCUUAAUUGUUUAGACACACAUAUGAACUAUCGAAGGCAAAGGUGUAUAAGUUCAAGAAGCCUUGAUAAAAGAUUAUCAAAGCACUAAGUAUUAGAAACAUGAACUUAAGAAAUUCAAUAAGCAUUUUUUUUCUGAAAGUUAAGAUGUUUAUGAAUACAUGUCGAAGCUAGUGGGAGCAUAAGUGUUAUGUUUUAUAAUAAUCAUCAAGAUAGUGGGAGCAUAAAAGUUAUGAUUGUAUGAUUAUUAAGGAAAGUAUUGCAAGGUUAGCAAUAUUAAUUAUAGAAAACAAGAGUCAUACUUUGCAAAGUCGCAAUAGUUGAAGAGUUGUUUUGCUAUAAUUAAGGGAGAGAAUAUUAUGCUUCAUUUCAAAUCUAAAGGUUUAGGUUGAGAAAUGUUAAUAAAAUUUAGUCAAAGGUACAAAGUGUGUUCUUAAAAUUUCGAUUAUGAUUACGGCAUCCCUCUUCACAAUUCGAAUUUUGAGAACAUAGCAAAUAAAACAUUAUGCGUCGUGUCCCAUACGCUUCGGGUAUAGGAUCGAUUGCAAAUGCUUUAAUGUUUGACCAUUCUAAAAUUUUCCAAAUGUCGAGCGCAUUUAGAGGGAAAAGGGACUAGAAUUGGUUUUGACUAAAAUAAUUAAACAACUAUCAAAGGACAAUCCAAAGUUCGACGAGGAUUGGUCGCUUGUGAGUAGUUGGAAGUAUAGUAUUGGAAAAUAUGGAAAUGUUUCCAUAUUGGAUGGACCAUAUCGACAUCAUUACGAAUAGAUAAGAUUCUAUUAAGAAUGAGUUGUCAUAUGGAACAUAUGGAAGUGUGUCCAUAUUGGGAAUUGAAUAUUGAGAAAUCUAUGACUAGAUUAGAAACUUCUAUGCAAAAGGAUGUUCAAAGAAUGUACUUUGAGUGAGAGACAUCACAUCUAUGGAAUUGUCUUGUAACAAUCUCCGAUAGAGGACUUUGUAAUAUCAUUGGCAAUAGUCUUUGUGACUUUGGUGCAGUGACAUUACGAAAGGAUCGUUGCAUAAAAUGUUAGAAUCUAGCAUAUUCUAUAAGUAGCAAGAAUUUGAUAUUCUUUCACUUAUGAAAAGGAUUUGGAGUUGUGAAAUGAGAAUGAUUGGAAAUGUGUUCAAUUUGAUCUAUUUCACAAAGUAAGAACCAUAGGUAAACAUUGUGUGCAUGCUAGGAGCAUGGGACAAGUGUAAUAAUUCAAGUAAGAAGUUGAUUACCCGAAACGACAAAUAAUGAGUAAUCGAUAUGGUGAUAAAUAAAAGGUGUUUUAUUUAUACUCAAAGGUUUGAGGCCAUAUGGGAUUAGUAUUAUUCUUGUGUUUCACAUUUGCAUGUUUUGACUUCCAGAAUAAUUGAGUUUAUUAAGAAUAAUCGAAUUAUUCGAACGGGCCACAGUCGUUCAUAUGUUGGAAGUAGAUAUGAAUGAAGACUGUCGUGAAUUGGUGUGUGGAUUGUCUAAAAGAGUAUUAGACAUAAGCAAAUGUUUGCUGCAACGUUCAUGAGUGCUUAUGAAUAUGAUUUGAGCAUUGGAUUAAACCCACGCUCACUUGGAUCACUCCAUGAAUUGUAUCACGAGUGAUUGGUGAGACGAUAACAUCUUAUAUUCUUGAAACCGAGAUGUGUGAGUUGUAUCUUGCGAAUCGGUUGCACAUUGAUAAUAUGUAAACGCACUAGUAACUUGGUGUUAUAAAACAUAUUGUUGUGUGUGAUUUGGUUAGUAAGUGCAAGCAAGCAUUGUAUCAAAGUUUAUCCGUUCCUUUUAUCCAAAGUAGGAUAAAAGCGAUAUCUUUGGGCCCCUCGAUGAUUUAGUGAUGACAAACGUAAAUGCUCGGCCGGGCUAGGGCUAAUUUGAUUUGUUCAAUUAGUCAGUCGUCAUAAAUCGGGAAUCGAGAUAUAGUACAAAGAGAAUGAUUUGAAAUCAUAUCUCAUAUGAUAUCUAGAAUGGAGGAAUAUAUGAUCCCUUAUCUAAGGACACGCGUAUCUGAUAUGAUCAGAGUUGACAGCGGCUUUGGAAAGCUACGAUUGCAGAUCAGGAUCUGAAGUCAUACGCAGAAUAGUUGUUAGACUUAUCCAAGUGGGAGACUGUUGGAUUAGUGUCUAAGUCCAUAACUAUUUUGGUAUGUACUUGACCCGAUGGUGCAUGGUCCUUUUGGGUUGCCUUCACCAAAGCAACUUGAUUGGAGAAAUAAAGAGAGAGAGAGGUUAUUAUGAUUUAUUAAUAUGUUAUAAGAAUAAUAUAUUAAAGGAGAAAUCAUAUUUGUUUAAUUAAUAUUGGUCAAUAAUUAAUUAAGAAUUAAUUUGUGAUCAAGUGUAAUUAAUUAAACUAGAGGGGUUGAAUUGUAAUUAUGUGAUAGUUACAAAAUAAGGUAAGGAUUAUCUUAAAUAUAGGGUGAACGAAUUUAAGGAGAUAAUGCCUUAGAAUUCGACUAGGAUAAGGGUUUCUAAGACUUAUCUUAUGGUUGCUUGGUGGGCAAGCAACUAGAUAAGGAUAAGGACUAAAACCCUAAUCUUUACACCUAUAUAAACCCCCUAAGGCUCAUGAAUUCGUCUAAGCCUUACCAAGAAGUCCUAAGGACGAAUUCCUACCUCUAUCCUCUCUCUUUAUACCUUCUCCAUUUGCUCUUGGUGUUUGUGAGCCAUUAGAGGAGUGACACUUGUGACUCUAAGCCUUCCAAAGUCAAUUCAUGGAGAAUUGGGAUUGUUAUUACUACAUAACAAUCAAGGUAACAUCUUAAACCUAAUUAUAUGUUAAUAUCGAUUUCCAUAUGCUAGAAUUAGGGUUUAUAGUCUUGGAUUCAAAGCAUGUACAAUAGAGAAACCUAGAUCCAAGCAUUAGGGUUUGUAUGAGCACAUAGGAUGUCUUAUGACCAAAACCCAUCACAUCUUUCAUUGGCUACUAUGAAGUGUGCACUCUUAGUAAACCGAUCAACGACCACCCAAAUCAUGUCGUGACCGUCCUUCGUUCUGGGCAGUUUAGUGACAAAAUCCAUGGUAAUGUCUUACCACUUAUCCAUGGUUACACAUAAAGGUUCUAAAAUCCUAUAUGGUUUCUGAUGUUGUGCCUUAACUCUCACAUAGGUCACACACUUGGCCACAUACUUUGCAAUGUUGAGCUUCAUCUUCGGCCACUAGUAGUAGGGUUUCAGAUCCCUAUACAUUUUUGUGCUGCCGAGAUGAAUCGAGUACAUGGUCUUGUGAGCUUCUUCCAUCAGAAGAUCUCUUACUUCGCCCAUCUUGGAAUACCUUUAAUCCUUGAUUAUUUGUACCGAAAACCAAGUUUUUGCUUAAACAUUCUUCCUUUUGGUCAUUCUCCUCUAAAACUUCCUCCCAAGCUUUGUUGAUGCUUUCCACAAUCAUUGUGACAACCUCUAUUGAUUGUUUUGAUUAUAUUUCUCUUCAAUCUUCUGUCCUAACUCAGAUGCUACAUGAAACUUGGUUCUCUGAACCAUGUAACAUACUCAUCUUAGUUGGACUCGAUAUGAUACGACCACUAGGGUCAGAAUCAGAAUCAUCUUCUUAGUCAUUACCAAAACGAUGGUAAUGAAGAACUUGAACAAAACAGAAUCAAUUACUAGCUUCUUAGUAACCUUGCGACUUUCACUGAUCCAAGUGCAAGUCCUGUGCUUCCGGUAGUAUAGGCCUCUACUACCAUUCACACCUACUCAUACUCGUUCAAGGUGCUAUCUCACAGUUUUCCAAGUCAUCAUUCAAGAGUUUCACAUAAUCAUUUAACACAUCAGAUAACAAAAUCAAGGUUUUAUAUUAUUUCUUGAAAUGAUUACAUAAAUGUUCAACUUCGUCCUAUACUAUGCCUCUAAUAAGUUGCGCUACAUGAUGCUAUCCACAUGGCCACUUCAUAACUUGAUCUUCGGAUAUCAGUCCUCACUCCUGCUUCCUUGCAUUGUCAGCUGCUUCGUUAAGGAUCAUUUGGAAUGCCCUUGGCUGGGGCGGUGCGUUUGGCCUUGCCGCUUUAUUCUUCCUUGGGCGGUUCUUCAAAAUAUGCCAUCCUUCAUUGCAUUCAUAGCACACCCUCUUGCGGGAUGUACACUCAUUGGCGUAGUGCCCAGGAUUUUCACACUUAAAACAAGUGACCUCCCGUCACAUUUCCCAUGGUGCUUCUUUUUGUACUUUUCACACCAUUUCGCUUCAACUCCUCCUCCUCUCGAACCAGACUUCGAGAAAUUACUUUUCUUGUUGGAUUUCGAAGAUCCAUCAAACUUCCUUUUCUUACCAACCUCUGCCCUCUCCAGACCCUUCUCCCUUAUCCGUGUCUCAACAAUCUUCAUAGCUCUAACGACUGCCUUCAACGUGCUUGCCAUUUUGACUAUUGGGCCAAAGUCUGAUGGCAAUCCGUUAGCAAAUUUCUCUAUCUUGGCGAGUUCAGUCGACACCAAGUAUGGAAAUAACUUCAUCUUCUCAGUGAAUGCAGUAGCAUAAUAAUCAAUGCUUAUUCUCCGUUCUUCAAUUUCUGGAACUCAUUGUUUAGAUCUAUCAUAUCUAUUUCGGAGCAGUACUGCAUUUUCAACUGCAUUAUGAACUCUUCCUUAGACAUUUUCAGAGCUUUUCCUCGUGGCAUCGUAUCCGUUAAUAACUUCGACCAGCUUAAAACUUUGGUCUUUACUUGUUUGACCGCAAAGACAAUUUUUUGUUUGUCGCUAUAGUUGCAGCUUUCAAAUACCAUCUCUAUUUCGACAUGAUCUUCAUUGUGAUUUGACGAAACAUAUUUGGACGGUUAUGCUUUUCAUGGCCAAUUUUCGAAGAAGUACUUCUUUUAAAUUGACGAGUGUGACAUCCACCAUUUUCACGGUCAGAAAAGACUGAUUUUGUUUAUGCUUUAUAAUAAAAUCAGAGUAACCUUUUUAAAGAAAAGUGUUGUGGAAUUUGUUCCUAAAAUAAAAUAUGAUAAAGAUUUAUCAAAACAUUUCCAAAGAAAUGUAUUUCAUUGUAUUAAAACCUUGGGAUGUCAUUAUUAAUACAAAUCAGAAACAUAAGCAGUACAACAUAGGCGUUACAACAUUUAUUUAAAUCUACUAGCCUAUAAACCAUAAUCCUCUCGUCAAGUCAUCCAACUAUGCUCUUGCCACUACCUAUAAUACAAGAAACUGAGCCGGUCAGGCUUGGGAGCCUGGUGAGCACAUAGGGUUUUCAACCCACAAUAAAUAAUUUUGUUAAUUUCAACAAAUGAAAUAAACCAGAUUACCCGUUUCUAUUUAUCCUCACAUUACGUCCCUAAAACAUCUAAUAUAAGGGACAUAGCCUAAGGAUUAUUGUAGCACCUGGUUCCUAGUACGUAAUCCUUGUAAUUAAUAUUUCUUAAUUUUGCAUUUUUGCCUUGGACUUGGCGAGUUGAAGAACCGACUCGUCGAGUAGAAGCGGGAUGAGAAGCGGGGUCUGAGCUUUGGACUCGGCGAGUAGACCCUGUUUGGGCAAAAACCCUAACCAAAGUGUUUGCACCCUAUUUAAACGCUCUAACUUGGCCUCCUUUGUCCCGAACACUCCCAGAGAGCUGAAGAGCGAAACCCUAGCCCCCAUUUUGUUCUUGAGAGUGAUUUUUGGCUUUGUGAAGAAGGUUUGGAGCUUAGAAGAAGAAGAAAUAGGUUGUAGUGUGCAAAGAGGGGAAGUAGAUCCGGAAUCUACACUACAAGAGGCUUCCAUUCAGCCGGAGGAUUACCGAUUCAGCAGUCAGGCGCUUAGCAAGCAGAUUUUCAGCAGCUACUUUUCGAGGUGAGUUACCUUCCAGUAGCGGUGGGUCUAAGGCCACAAUGUCGGCCCACCAGUAGGAGACGUAUGAUAGAUGAGUGUCUUUGUGAUAUCAUCUAGGUUUGUUACUACCUGAUAUGUUAUAUGCUAGCUUGAUGUGUUAUAGUAGUAGAGUUCGGUUGUUAGGACCGAAGGGUAGUCAGAUACCCCAGAUACGUCUGACAGUAUGUGAUGAUAUGUUUGCAUGUUGGCUUGUUAUGUUAUAUGCGAUAGAGGUAGUAGGGGGUGAAAUAGUCCCCGAGGUUCGGUUGUUAGGACCGACGGGUAGUCAGCACCCCAGAAUGGCUUGACAUAGGGAGGGCGGCACCCCAGAAUGGCCGUACAGGUAGGUCGGCACCCCAGAAAUGCCUAGCAGUAUGUAUGUGAUAUGAUUGUAUGGUAUGUGGUACGAUGGGGGGGACUCACUAAGCUUUGUGCUUACAGUUUUCAGUUCUGGUGUCAGGUACCUCUUCAGCGAAGGGGAAGGAGCUGGCGCGGUAGCGGUACAUCAUACACACACAUUGGAUUUCCGCAUUAUGAGAUGUCCUGGGAUUGUACUCUGACAUUAUUAUUAUUUUCAUGUUUUGGGUUUUCAGACACGAGAUUUGUUUUAUGACAUGAUAUGAUCGGAUGAUGUUUUACUGCAAAUGUUUUACAAACCACUUAUUUUAAGUGAAAUUUUUGGGCGUGAAAAUUGGGUCGUUGCAAUUAUCAUCGGGGUAACAACAUUGCUUAGGGGAUACUGUGACAUCCCCAAAAUCUUGGCCAGAAAAGACCGAUUUUCAUUUAUGCUUUUAAAAUAUUUUCAGAGUAAAUCCUUUUGAUUUGAAAGAGUUGCGGAAUUUGUUCCCAAAAACAAAACAUGAUAAAACAAUGUUUACCAAAGCAUUUCAUAAAAGAAAUGUAUUUUCAUUAUAAUCAAAACUCGGGGUGUCAUGUUCCGAUACAGACCAAUAAGCAUAAACGAAUACAUUACAAGUCAUAUAACAAAUAUAAACAUAUGCAGACUUGUAAACAAAACAACUUGAUGGUUCAUCCAUCUCAUGCCCUUCCGCCACUACCUGUAAUACAAUUUAAAACUGAGUGGGUCAGGCUUGGGAGCCUGGUGAGCAUAUAGGGUUUUCAACCCACAAUAAAUAUCAUAUUUAAUUUUCACCAACCAACAAUAACCCAAUUACCCAUUCCCGUUAUUCUCACUUUAAUGUCCCUAAAACAACUAACAUAAGGGACCUAGUCUAAGAAUAUUUCAUCGGGGCGACAACACAUGCUUCGGGGGUACCUCAGCAAUAUAAGUCAAAUAAGGCAACCAUGAGGGGGAUGGAGUACAGCGAAUGAACACCCAAGUUCAUUAACACCUACAGGUGGCGAACCUGCUAAUGUUUCCACAAGACUAUCUAGAAAAGUCCGUGGUCGUCAUCUAAACUCCGCUAGAUGACUAAAUCAAACAACAACGAGGCCUCUCAUCUGUUUAUUACACACCAACUAUCUACCCAUGUUCUACCCAACAUAUUAGUAGAUAAAAAUAUACAUUUUUAUACAUAGUUUAAAAACCUGUAUAGCAUGCUUUAAUCAACACAUAUUUCACAUAACAGAUGAGGCACACACACACAUAACACGUAUCUCAUAGAGAAUAAAUCAUAUCUAUGAGAUAGAAGAAAGUGAAUACACAUUCACACACAUAACCACAAAAUUAUACACAUAAUACGUAUUCCGUAUAAAAUACUUCAUAAUUAUGCGUUAGAAGAAAGUAACUACACACUCACUUGAUCAGAAGAUGAUCGGACAGCACUACGACUUGCAGAAGUAGUAAUCCUCAGCAGAUCUGGAAGAUCUUCACAAAAAUCGAACUUCUCGCGGGCAGAGCUUCGGCUCGGGAACCGCACUUCUCGGGAUCUUCGGGAUCUCGGGACUUGCCUCGGGGCUCGAGUAUGAUACCGGGGCUUCGGGGUAUUUCUGGCACGCAAAACGAUGCAAAACGGGAGAGAGAAGAGAGAAAAUGAACAAAAGAAUCGGCUGCCUUCGGAUCCUAUUUAUAGGAGGCUGAAGCCUCGGAGUACGCGAGGUGUACUGGUCCGAAAAACGUCACUGCUUACGUAUCCGAAGACUCGAGUGCGAAUGUCGACAUCCCUCGGUGUACGCGGGGCGUACUUCGGAUCGGAUUGCUGACUCCCCUUCGGAUAAUACCGGAUUUUCUAAUAAAAAUUAAAUACAAAUUAUUUAAUAAACUUCGGAAAUUCAUCUCUUCUUCAUACGAACUCCGUUUUCGACGUUCUUUAUAUCCACGCGAAGGUGAGACUACGCUCUACAACUUUCGUUUAGACUCCGUCGGCUAAUUUUAACUUUAUUUUUAUUAUUUAUUUUUAAUAGGCCGGGACAGAAAAACUUCGUUAUAAAUUCAUAACUUCUUCGUUUGACGUCCGUUCUCGCCUAACUUUUUAUCGCUUCGAGACCAACAACGAGACCUUCGAUCCUCGUUUAGGUUGCUUCGGCUCAAAACCGCUCGAUCUCAAAUCGAGUAUUUCGGGCUGCACACCGCUAAACCGAAACUUCGAUAAAUCAUAACUUCCUCAUACGAAGUCAGAUUUGGGCGUUCUAUAUAUACAUUCGUAAACCUCGUUUCAACUACUACAUCAUCAACCAAAGAUAUCAAGUUUAUUUUACACUUUAAUUUUGACGCUUAUUUUUAUUCUUAAUUAAUCAAACCACAUAAUUAAGCAAUUAAGCACAAAACACAUAAUACUCAAAUAAUACAAUCAUAUUAUUUCAAAACGGGUUACAAAGGUUAACUUAGACUAUUACAUUGCUAAAAAUGGCAAGCCCGGAAACACAGGCGUUACAGAUACCUCAACAUUUUAUGUCAAAUAAGGCAACCAUGAGGGGGAUGGAGUACACCUGGUGAACACUGAGUCCAAAUAAACACCUACAGGUUGCGAGCCUGCUAGCGUCCCAUUGGACUGUCUAGAAAAGUCUAUGGUCGUCAUCUAUACUCCGCUAGAUGACUAGAUCAUCGUCAAUAUCGAGGCCUCUCAUCAUUUUAUUUCAUCACACGCCAACUAUUUCAUCUACCCACGUUUUACCCAACAUAUUUGUAGACAUAAAUUACAUAUACAAUUCAGAUCUAAAAAACAAAAUNUAUAUAUAUAGUUUAGAUCUGAAAAGAAAAGUCUAGAUCUGAAAUGAGAAAGUUUGGAUUUGAAGGAAACAGUUCAGAUCUGAAAGAAAGAGUUUAGAUUUGAAAGAAAAGUUCAUAUCUAAAAAGAAAAAGGUUUAGAUCUUUCUUCCAACAUAGAUCUCAGGUAAACAGAUAAUAUAUAUACACAUAACACGUAAUUUAUAUAAAAUAGUUUAGAUCUGAAAAGAAAAGUCUAGAUCUGAAAUGAGAAAGUUUGGAUUUGAAGGAAACAGUUCAGAUCUGAAAGAAAGAGUUUAGAUUUGAAAGAAAAGUUCAUAUCUAAAAAGAAAAAGGUUUAGAUCUUUCUUCCAACAUAGAUCUCAGGUAAACAGAUAAUAUAUAUACACAUAACACGUAAUUUAUAUAAAAUAUUUCAUAUUUAUGUGUAAGAAGAAAGUAAAUACACACUCACAUGAUAAGGUGGCGAUUCGGACAACGUUUUGCUUCUUAAAAUAAUCUCCAUUGAUGAAACCGGGAAGUUUGGUUGAAAACCGGGCUCUGCGGGGGGGCAAAGUUUCUAAACCGAAAAACUCUUUUUCUCGGAGACUUCGGGCGCUCCGGGGCUUUCUUCUAGUGCUAAGGAGGUCCCCUAGGCUUCGGGGGUGUUUAGGGUGGAUAGAGAGAGAAAGAGAGAGAGAGAGAGAGAGAGAGAGAGAGUAGAGUAGAGAGUGAAAGAAGUGUGAAAUAUGUGAGAAAACAUGGCUAGCCUCGCAUCCUAUUUAUAGUCAGGAGGUCUCGCAUUACGUUGGGCGUUCCUCGGUCUACAUGGGGUGUUCCUCGGUACGCAGGGCGUACCCUCGUACGCGGUACGGUUUGCGAGGUUCGGAUUUGUCACCCUUCAGAUGGAGCUAUGUGGCCAAUUCCGGACCUAGCCUUUGCGAACGCGGGGUGUUCUCUUCGGAUAGCCUCGAAAUAUGUACCUCUUACUUCAAAAAUUCAUAUAUUUUGCAUACGAGCUCCGUUUUCGACGUUAUUUAUAUCCACGCGUAGGCAGGACCGUACUCUACAACUUUUGUUUAGACUCAGUUGGCUAAAUUUGACUUUAUUUUUAAAGUUAUAUUUUUAACAGGCCGGGACAGGAAAAGUCUAUUAAAAAUUCAUAACUUCUUCAUCCGACGUCCGUUUUCGUUUUUCUUUUAACCGUUGAACUACUAUUGACGAGAUCUUCGAUUCUUGUUUAGGUUGUGUCGGAUAAAAAUCCCUCGAUUAUAAUUCGAGCUACGGGCUGCACACUGCUAUGCUAAAUCUUAGAAAAUUCAUAACUUCCUCGUACCAAGUCAGAUUUGGACCUUCUUUUUAUGCACGCUCUUGAUUUAACGUAUACUAGGAUUUUCAUUUAGAUCGCUAAGGCUAAAAUGCACUUUAUCGUAAACUCACUUUUUACGUCACGCAAUAUCGUGCUAGUUUUGUCGUGAAACUUUAACAGGUCAUAACUUUUUUGUGAUAACUUGGAUUUCGGCAUUCUUUAUAUGUCCGAAAUCCUUGUCACGACCACUACAACUUUCUUCAUAGAUAUCAGAUUUAUAUAACAUUUUAUUUUUGAUGCUUAUUUUCAUUCUUAAUUUAUUAUAUCAUUAUAAAUAAGUAUAUAAUCACAUAAAAUCACGUAAUUCACAUAAUAUUCAAGUAAUUCAUCUUUAUUACUUUAAAAUAGGUUACAAUAGUUGACCUUGACUAUUACAUCAUCAUACUAAUGUUUAGCCCAGAAACAAGGGCAUUAGAACGAGUAUGUUACUAGGGAGAAGAGAAAGAAAAAGAGAAACGGAAAACAUGAAGGUUUCACGAGAACUUCUCACUGAUAUCACUAUUCCCGUCGGUAACGUCAUGGACAUUGCCGGUGAUAAGGUUACCUCGUUACCAGAGGCAUUUUCGGUGAAAAACGACAUGAGUGAAGCUUUUCAUCGGAGUUGAUAGAGAGAAAAAGAGUAACACGGAAGAGGGAAGAAUGAAGUCGCUAAGGGUAUUAUUCGUGUCACACUUUAGCAACGAUACCAUUUAGUGGUGUCGAAAGACAUUUGUGGCAACUCGAAACGUAAUAGUCGCGACACACUUUUGAGGGAAUAAUUGGCAGAGGGUUCGAGUAUUAGCGGUGACACCGUUGCUGGUAUUAGUUAGUGGUGUGUAUGGGGCGGUUUGGUUCGGUUAUUGGUUAAAACCGAACCAUAACGAUUAUGAUUGGUUAAUGCAUUUUGGUAGCCAUUGGGUAUGGUUAAUAUUGGUUAUGGUUAGUAGUUUUUAUCGGUUAACGGUUUUGGUUAAUGGUUAAUAUUGGUUAACCAUAAUGUUCAAAAUAAUAUAAACGACGAAAGUAUUUUGGCAUGAAAAAUGAAAAUAAAAUACCAAAAAGUCCUCGACGCCGAUGUUUGUAACCUAACUUAUAGUAAUAUAAUAAAAUGUGUAUCUGUAAUACUUAGAGUGAGAUAACACAUAGUCACAUUUAAAAUCAAAAAUAUUUAAUAAAAAUAUAAAACAUUAAAAAAAUUGACAUUAAUAAUUUCAUAUAUUGAUAAUUGAUAUUAAUAUUAAAAUAAAGUCAAACAUUCAUACACGUUCAAUACGAUUAAAUUAAAACUAUUAAAUAAAAAAGCCAAACAUUCAUAUUCUGUGUUAUUAGAUAUAAAAAAAAAAAAAAGUCAAUCACUCAUCUACAUUCAAUGUGAUUAAGUCAAAAACACUAAAAAAAUUCAAAAAAUUAAAAAAAAAUACAUUCUUAAUAUAUCACAUAGUUAAAAAGAACCAAAAACUUAACUUACCUAGAAGUCUUGAGUAUAAAGUCAAAAAAAUCCUUCGAAUAGGACUAUAAAGUCCAAACAAUCUUUGAUUAUGAUUAACGGUGUGAGAAGCCUUCGAUUAGGAUUAUGAGUGUGAAGAUUAAACUAAUUGUGAAUAAUGUUUACAAAUUGUAGAAUUAGCCGAUUAUGAAUUACAACAUUAAUUAAUAAUCUAACUCAAUGUAUGAUUGGAAGAUUAUGUGUGUCUGAGUGAUCAGUCUUUGAUGAUUUGAUUGCUCGUUCGUCUCCUGGUAAGUGAAGAUUAAUAGAUUAUAUUUUCAAAAUUUUAAUGGAUCUUAAAUAAGUUUGACUAUAUNUCUCUUUCUCUCUCUCUCUCUCUAUAUAUAUAUAUAUAUAUAUAUAUAUAUAUUAAAAUAUAAAGUUAGCGGUUCGGUUAAUAAUGGUUCGGUUAACCUAUAAAACCAUAACCGAACCGUUAGUUAUUGGUUAACAAAAAUUAGAAACCGAACCAACGGUUUUUAAAAUGGUUCGGUUAUAACGGUUAAUUUGGUUUUGGUUCGGCUUUUCGGUUAUUAUGCUCACCCCUAGUAUUAGUUUCGCCGUUAUUGUUAUGUACGAAAUCAUUUUUCAAGUGUUGGAUUAUGACAAAAUCGACGAAUAGGGUUUAACCUCAGAUUUUGACGCGGAUCGGGGUUGAUGAGUUUCGCCUUUAGCGGUGACAACCACCAUUACAACGAGACCUAAUCUAAAUGUUGGGUAUCGCUUGUAAUGGUGGUUGUCGCAACUAAAGGAUUCGCCACUGAAGUCCUAUAUUGUUGUAGUGAUAAAUGUUAAACCUAAACACCAAUUUAAACACACCAACCACUAGAAAUUGGUGGCGACAAGUUCAUGGCAUUAAGAGCGAUAACAAAUGGUGUAUAAAUCCAUUAUGAUCUUCGUUGCGAUUUAACAGAACAUAUUUGGACGGUUAAUGAUUUUGAAGCUCAAUUUUGGAACAAUUUUUUUUUUGAUCCAUCAUGUUAUUAAGUUUUAAGUUUUUAAUUUUUUGAGUUGUUAUGGUUUAGUUUCUUGUUGUGUAAUUUUUAUUUUGAUUUAAUAUAAAAUUUAGUUUUUAAAAAAUUAAUUGCUAAAAAAAGUACUGAUGUUAAAAAAAUGAUGUUAAUCCGCCUAACCUAAAUGUAAAUGGUAUGUUGAAGACGGUGUGUAGCAAAAUCAAAUAUAAGCUGCUGGUUGAUGCAUCGGGUAUUGUAUUACGUGAGGUUGAUAGUUUGAUUUGUUGAAAUUAUCUUUUGUGUGUUUGAGAAUUCUUUUAUGGAAGUCCCUAUAAAAAGGAGUUCAAACUCAAAUGUUGGUUGAAAUAUUGCGAGUACACUUCACUUAAUUUGAUUGCGGUUAGGAAGCAAUUUAAUUUCUCAAAAGAUUAAAUGCCACUAAUAAAUUAAAAAAAUAAACUAAAAAUCAACACCAAAUUAAUGCCAAAGCUUUAAACCAUAUAUUACUAAAUUAAUUCACAUACGCCAUCAAAAAAAAAUUCAUGUCACAAACCCAUACUCAUAAAACUCACUUUCCAGGUACAAAGUUUGUAGCAUAUGACCAUGCAUUGUUUGCAACAGGGUCAGCAAGGUGGUCAGCGAGGUUCUCCAAUGGUCCCUUUCCGGUAACAAUGGCUUGAACAAAGAAUCCAAACAUAGAGAACAUGGCUAGUCUACCGUUCUUGAGCUCCUUCACUUUCAGCUCAGCAAAUGCCUCUGGGUCAUCAGCCAGACCCAAUGGGUCGAAGCUACCACCAGGGUAAAGUGGGUCAACUACCUCACCAAGAGGUCCACCAGCAAUUCUGUAACCUUCAACUGCACCCAUCAAGAUCACUUGGGUAGCCCAGAUGGCUAAAAUGCUUUGUGCAUGGAUCAAACUUGGGUUCCCCAAGUAGUCAAGACCACCCUCACUAAAGAUCUGGGAUCCAGCCUUGAACCAUACAGCCUCACCAAACUUGACACCAUUACGCGCCAAGAGUUCGGGGAAGACGCACCCAAGAGCUCCGAGCAUGGCCCAUCUGCUGUGGAUGACCUCAAGCUCACGGUUCUUGGCGAAUGUUUCAGGAUCAGCAGAGAGCCCAGCAGUGUCCCAACCGUAGUCACCGGGGAACUCACCGGUCAGGUAAGAUGGGGCUUCGCCGGAGAAUGGGCCAAGGUACUUAACACGGUCGGGGCCGUACCAUGGACUUCCUGAUGGUGCGACUUUCUUGACUGCUGUCUUCCUCAUGGAAACCCUUCCAUUUCCGGUGAUUUCUGAACCAGAUGGUGUUAUUUUCACUGCUUGUCCGAUGAAUGAAGAAGAUACAGACAUAGUGGAAGCUGCCAUUCUGUUAAAUUUGGUUGAAAGAUGUUGUGGAGAUAGGAGAGUUUGAGUUAUGAAGAUGGGGAGAUCUGCAAGUUUAUUUAUAAGGUGGUUUUUUGGUCAGAUAGAUAUGAUCGAUGCUUAUCUAGAUACAAUCUUCACCUUCAUUUUGAUUGGCAAACAACAUUCUAGUUUUAUCUAAGGGUCAGUAAUCUGCGUGCUGUGAGUUCUCUGGUCCACCAGAGAUUUUUGAAGGGGCUGCGGUAUAUUCAUGGCUCUGGUUUAUUGAGGGAAUGUAAUGGCUCCCAUUCUCAGCCACAAGCUGUUCUUGGUGGGGUUUUUCAUCUUUAACCAUUUUACAUUUUCACAAAGUUACAUAAAUAGUCAUCAUGCUUUACAAAGUCACCGGUUCAGCAACAAACUUUUUUUCCAUGAUUAAAAAUUCAAAACGGUCCGUAUGGUUUUAAUAUUAUUAGUAAUCAUCUUAACAUUUCUAAUUUUUAAAGACAAAUAUUCAUAUAAAUGGUUAUGUGAUUUUCCAGAAUAUCAAGUGGAGCACAUCAUUUUUUCGGUCUUAUGGAAUGACUAUUUGGUUUCAAUUCCUAUCAUAAUUGAUCUUAGAGCAUCCACAAUAGGGGAGUUUAAUGGAAGAGUUGAAUGAGGUGUCAUGCCUACUUGUCAUUCAAUGGAUACAACUCCACCAUUGUGAAAUGCCACCUUGGCAUUCAAUGAAUUUGGAGUUCAAUGGUCAUUGAACUCUUCAAUGGGAAAAAGGAAAAUCUUUAAAUCUUUAAAUAAAUAUUUUUUAAUAUAUUCCAUUGAACUUGUAGAGUUUAAUGCAUUGUGGGAUAAAAAUGAAAAGAGUUGUAUGGAAUAAUGAAUGAUGACGUGACACUCCAUUGAACUCUAUAGAGUUCAAUGCAUUGUAGAUGCCCUUAGUCCCACAUAAAUAAACUUUUAUACCCUUCUAUAUUAUAAUUAGUUUAUUUAAUAUAUAAAUAGCUAUGUUUUAUAGUUAACAAUAAAUUUUGUUCAUNNNNNNNNNNNNNNNNNNNNNNNNNNNNNNNNNNNNNNNNNNNNNNNNNNNNNNNNNNNNNNNNNNNNNNCUCUCUCUCUCUCUCUCUCUCUCUCCCAUCACACCCUCCUAAUCUUUAUUUCUUUCACUCGAUCGGUCAACCUCUUUUCUUUCUACAUAAAAAUUAAUCCAAAAUGCAGCCUUUUCCCAUACUCUGUGCUUGCACCGCCACUUUACCUUCUUGAAACCAAAUUACUAACCAUACACAAGUCUACAAAUCUACUAAUGUGUCUUCCAUUUCUCAAAAUCGAAAAAUAGAGAAGGUGUAGAACAUUGAGCUCACUUCUGUGCAUCUCCCACCUCUUUUACACAAAUAUGAAAUUAAAAUUGAAGAACAACUUUGUGAAGAACCUAGAUUGUGGAGAUGAUGAUGAAUAAAGUCGAUAGUUGGUGGUGCUCGGUGAUGUUUGAUGUUAGCGGCAGUACACUAGUGUUGUGGUGAUCGCCUGUUCAGUUGGUUAUAUUCUGGUAGGGUGGACGAUGGUGACCGUAGAACAGUUCAUAUAUAUAUNNNNNNNNNNNNNNNNNNNNNNNNNNNNNNNNNNNNNNNNNNNNNNNNNNNNNNNNNNNNNNNNNNNNNNNNNNNNNNNNNNNNNNNNNNNNNNNNNUAUAUAUAUAUAUAUAUAUAUAUGUGUGUGUGUGUGUGUGUGUGUGUGUGUGUGUGUGUGCGCGCGCACACUACAAGAAAUUUAGGUGUUUAUCCACACACGUUAUAUGUGGCUAAAAGACCUUUAUGUGUAGUUAUCUUUAGCUACACACAGAUUAAGUGUCAUAAUGUAUUGACUCAUGCCUAUAGAUAUAUAUCAUUAACUAUACAUUCAUUAUGUGGAAGUAUAGUGCAAUUAGUACACACAUACAUGUGUGGUUAAAACUAGUAAGUAUGUGCAUAUAGAAAGGGAGCUGAUCCGUUCACAACAAUUUUUCUCCAUACACAAUAAUUGAUGCUUUAAAAUGUUGUAUUAUACAACUAUAUAAUGCAUGAAUUGUUGUGUAUGGCAAAAAACUGUUGUGUACGAAUCACUUCCCAUAUAGAAGUACUAAAAAUUGUUUGAGUUGUCAACGAUGUGGCUGAUGACAUGUCAAAUUAUGUGGCAAGCCCACACAAAGUGUUGGUGAUAUGUGUUAUUCGAUAUGUGUGGGUAAUAAUUGUUAUAUGUGUAGGUUAAGAUAAGAUAUAUGAAAUAUAUAAAACACAAUAAAUGAAAUAUAAAAUUUAACAACACAAAUUGUUAUUACUUUUAAUAAGGAGUUAACGAUAUAUAAAACUUCUUUUGGAAUGGAAGUAUGUAGCACCCAAAGUCAGAAAGGCCAAGAAAGGAAAGGAAACCCUAAGUUUAAGGGACGACUCAGCAAGUCCAAGGAGGUACUCGGCGAGUCCGAGCGGGAUCCGGGUCGAGGAGUAAAUGACCGACUCGGCGAGUCGGCCAAGGAGACUCGGUGAGUCUGGUCUGUACGAGGAAAUCCCUAAAUUCGGGACUUGGAGCCUAUUUAAGCGCCUCAUUCUCUUCUCUAGGGUUCCUCUACUGCCUCUCUAACCNCUCAACCCCACCCCCGCCCCGCCAUAUCCAUUGUUGAGCCAAUUAUUGCUUUGAAGAGUGCAUUAAAGCUUGGAGAAGGAAGAAGGACCUUGGAGGUGCAAGAAGGAGCUAUAGAUCUGGGCUUGGGAAGAUAUUUCUGAACAUUUGGAGGUAAUAAACUAGUUCUUGGACUCCUUUGCACCUAGAUCUAUGUGUGAGUUUUGGGGCUUUUGGCCAUGAUUGGUACCCAUUUAAGUUAGAAGCCAGAUCUAAAGUUGCUACUUCGGAUAUAAGCAUAUUAUGGGCUUGUGAAGCAUAAAGUAUCAGCCCUUGAGUUGAUUAUGGAGCCUCUUUGCAUUAAACCCUAUUUUAUGGUGUGUCUAGCCUAGAUCUCCUUCUCUACACGUAAAGUUUGCAACUUUACGUGAGGAAUAGGCUUGGGAAGGGUAGAUCUACAGUUUGGGGUCCAUGCAUGACUCAAAAGUCCUCUACAUGUAUGUAGAUCUGAAUGGACUCGGCGAGUCCUUUGAGUGGACUCGGGGAGUAGCAUGAAGAUUAGGAGGAACUCAACGAGUGGGAUGAACAGCUCAUCGAGUCGGAUGAAGUUGGGCAGGAACUCGGCGAGUUGGAAGAACAACUCGGAGAGUCGGUUGAAGAUUGCCUUGGACUAGGUGAGUCUGUUCUUGGACUCGGCGAGUCAGGUCGCGAAACCCUAAACCCUUCGACUUGAGACUCGAAUCAGUGAGUCGAGUGGAGACUCGGUAAGUUGGACAGGUCAGGACUCGGAAAUCGGUAGACUCGGCGAGUCAUGGACUGACUCGGUGAGUCGAGUCGCGAUUGGAAGGACUUAGAGCAUAUGAACUCGGCGAGUCAAUAGGUAGACUCGGCGAGUAGGGUUGACCUGGAAGAUUGACUUUGAACAGGACUUUGACUUUGACCAGAGUUGACUUAGUUGACUGUUGGGGGUCAGUUAGUCUAAGUGUUUCAUUGAUAUUGGUAGCUCGGGGAGCUAGUGGAGCAGGAGUUCAGAGAGUUUCCGGGCAGCAUCCAGAAGGUUAUCAGCAUGUUCAGCAAGUGCAUGUGAGUUUCCCUUUGUGCCAAUGGGUCUACGGUCACAAUGUCGGCCCAUGUAGUUAUGAGUAGAAGACCCGGGGGUUAGCCCUAGGCACAGUAUGCUAGUAUGAUAUUCAGGACGAGGUCCAAUGAUAGCGGGCGGGUGCCCAAGGAAUGGUUUAUGUGAUAGUUUAUACUUGUUGUAUGUGUGAUACUUGUAUGUGUCUGGUAGGGAGGUGAGUGUGGGCGAGGUCCCGUAUCUCACCAAUAGCAGAGUGUGGAUGGUGUUCCACAUCUCAGUAGCAGCAGAGCAGGGGCGAGGCCCAAGUUAGGGAAGGAGUGAGGGUGGGCUGGGCCCGUACCUCACUAUCAGCAGGAGUAUGGACGGGGUUCCAUGACUCAUCAGUAGCAGGACAAGGGCGGGGCCCAGAGAUAGGCGAGGCCUUAGGACAAGAUCCGUUAGUAUGUGUUUAGCUUAUGUGAUGUGAUGUGAUAUGUUUAUGUGCUAUUAUAUGUUAGUGGGCGAGGCCCUGUGACAGGCGAGGCCUAAGUGAAACAGAUCUGUAUCCGAGCGGGGCUCGAAGCCAGGCGGGGCCUGGAGCGGCGGGGCCGUUGUAGCGGGCGAGGCCCGAGGUAGGGGGGGAGGCCCAGGAUAGCGGGCGUGGCCCAGCGUGUGCAGUAUGUGGUUAUGCAUGGUAUGUGGUAGGGUGGGGAACUCACUAAGCUUCGUGCUUACGGUUUUCAGUUUUGGUUUCAGGUACUUCCGGUAGCGGAGGGAAGAGCUCGGGGGUGAUCGCAUGGCACACACCAUAGAUUAGACAGUCUGGGAAUGUUUUACUCUGACAAUGAACAUGUGUUUUGGAAAAUUAAUACUCUGAUUAUGUUUUGAAUUGGUGACCUUGCUUAAAGAAAUCUUUUAUUAAAAGAAAUUUUUAGUCAUGAAUUUUGGGACGUUACAAGUUGGUAUCAGAGCCUUGGUUUGAGGGAUUCGGGCAUACUCUCGGGUGUGCCUGAACUCAAACUAAGGGGUCGGAUAAAAAGUUUUCAAAAUGAAAAGACAGUUUUCUAAAAAGAGAGUUUUGGGAAAGAAAACAGUUUUAGAAAAGCAAAAAGAAUUCAGAAAGAAAAGAACUUUGAAAAGAAAAAAAUGGUGUGGUGCAUGCAAUCAGCUGGUCUUAAGUAAGUACCCCAAAUUACCCAUACAAGUUUAUGUUAUGAUUAUCAGUUAGUAGAACAGCAUGCUAGAUUAGGACUAAGGAUCUAGGGAGGAUGCCUUAUGUGCCUAUUAUAUGUGCUUUGAGUUGCAUGAUAGUGUUGAUUAGACAGUGGUAGGAUAGCCUGUUUAGGUUAUGCCUGAGUAUAUGAGUUUGUGUUGCAUGCUAGUUCAGAUUCUUGCUAUGUGGAUAUGAUUGCUUAUGUAUGUUAUGGUUAGAUUUUCCCCUUGUCUGAAUGCUGCCUGCUUUGUGCAAUAUGGGAUUCCGAGUGAUGGGAGUAACCAUUAGGUGGAUACGUCACGUCACAUGUGAUCAGGGUUGAAUAAUCUCAGAGUGCUAAAUUUGGCCCUAUUUCGCAGCUCUCGUUUGAGUCCAACCAUUGUAGGGAUGAGUCUUUUACUCGAAGAAUUAUCUGAGCCUUGUCACAUGUGAUGGUGUCCAGUUGAUGGCCAAUUGGCAUCACAAGGAGUCCUUCAGCAGCUGAGGCCUGGUUUGGUGUGAGUCAGAGGUUUCCUUAGGGUAAGCCUAGGAUGAGAUAGUGUUGGGAGCAGUAGUAGUGGAUAAGGGACCUGGUGGAGUCGAAGCAAUUCCNGAGGAAAGUACAGAUAGAUAUGGAUGGUAGUAUGGGCCCGUACUACUGAAAGCAGAGGAUCCGUACUCGAUUCGGGAAAGGCUGAGACAAGACCGAGAACCUAGUAGGGUGAGUGUGUGUCUGGUCUCACAGCAGUGAUAAGUAUUCUGAUAGAGGAUGUAUUAUAUAUUCAGCAUGGUGACAUUGCGAGAGAGACCAGUGGGUGGACCAGGCGCCGGAGAGGGAUCGCUCGGGGUCNAGCAGCUCGAGGAGCGGAUGAGGGAGUUGAUAUCAGCUGAGGUUACGCGCAGUAUUCUAGAUCAGACUCCUGUGAUCUUUGGCACGGUCAAGGAGGGUAUAUUGGAGAUUUUGGAUGAGAGGCUGGGAGCCUUCCGUACCGAGAUGAUGGCAUUGAUGGGAGCACGUACCUUGACAUUUCGAGAGUUCAGGGCUUGCGGGGCACCAGAUUAUCAUGGGGCUAGGGACCCCAUCGCUAGCAGCAGAUGGUUGGUUGAUGUUGCCAAUGCAUUCCGUACGAGCCGGUGUCCUGAGGGGGACAAGGUUAGGCUCGCUUCUUGUCUUCUGAAGAACAGAGCAAGGGAUUGGUGGGAGGAGAUUAGUCAUGCCUUGGGGGAUGAUGUCGCGUUGGAUGCGAUGACUUUGAGCGAUUUCUCGUCCAGGUUCAGGGCGGAGUUUUCGCCGAUUAUUGAGGUGCAGCAGUUGCCACAGGAGUUUCAGGAUUUGACGCAGACCACUGAGACUGUGGCGGAGAUCACCGCCAAGGUCAGGGAGAGGGCUCUUCUUGUACCGCAGUGUGUCGCGGAUGAGGAGAUGAAGAAGGCCCGAUACCAUGAGAUGUUGAGGGAUGAUAUCAGGGUGUUCGUGAUCAGGUCCAGCUGUAAGACGCUAGAAGAUAUGAUUUCUCGAGCUAGAGAGAGGGAAAUUGAUUUGGAGCAGAUCCGGAAGAGGAAGCCGGAUGAGGUUUAGGUAGCCACAGGUUCGGGCAAAAGGCCUAAGGGAUCAGAUUCGAGAUCGAGGGAUUAUCAGGACCGCAGUCGGUGCGGGAAGUGUGGCAGGGCGCACAGGGGUGCGUGUAGGAGUGGUAGCGGUGGUGAUUCUGGCUGCUUCAAGUGCGGUCGGACUGGUCAUUUCAGUAGAGAUUAUACUGUUACCACCACACAGGGAUCAGACUUGAUAUGUUUUCACUGCAAUCAGCGGGGCCACAAGAAGGCCCAGUGCCCCAGUUUGUUUUCAAUAGGACGGGUGAUGACACUUGCCCCUGCAACUUUGAGGAUCACAGACGGCCGUCAGGGCCGUGCAGAGGCGCCUGCGGUAGGAGGCAGGUCUUUUCAGAUGACUACCUUGGAGGCGCGAGCAGCACCGGACGUUGUAGGUAUGCGAUUUUGUUUUCAGUUCUUUUAUUUGUGCAUGAUUAUAUUGUUAUGGUUCUGGAUCAUCAUUGGUUUGAGUAUUUUAUUUUUUGAGCGGUUGAUUGUGAUCGAGUUAUAUGCCAUCUUAAUACCUUGGAUAUUUGAAUGGUAGUUAGGAGAUGUGCUCUAUUAGAGAAGGUUUCAUAGGAUGCAGUAAUUGUAGCAUGCCUGGGAGGGACUUGGUAUGUCUCGCUAGAUCGGAGUUGUAUAAUGUUAGAGAUGGAUUGGUUAGAUCCCUAGCUAUGGUGAGCUUGGGUUCCUCAGCAGCUUGAUUAUGGAAUGGUAGCAAGGAUUGGGAUUCUUUUGAGUAUUGAGCAGCAAGGGGUAAGCAGGAUCGAAGUGGGGGAGAAUCCUCCGAGUGUGCAAAGGUAGGAUCACGCAGACCCAAAAUGAGUGCGCGACCUCCGAGAAGGAAAAGAAGUAGUUCAGCGUUUGAUGGAUUGAGGAUUUCAGGGUUGGGAUUUUGAGAAACUCCCCAUCAGCUAGUGCGUGUGAUGGUGAUGGUUAGUAUGUGGUUGGGAAUUCAGGUUGUGGAUCGCCCGUAGGACUCGAGGGAGUCGGAAUGAGGAUCUUGAGAGCUAAUGGCACAUGGGUGCCUUCGUAUUAGCAGUCAGUGGUAGAAAGUGAUGUAAGACUACGGGGCAGCCGUAGCAUUCACUAACAGUUAGUGGUAGAAAGUGAUGUAAGACUACGGGGCAACUAUAACACUCACUAGUAGUCAGUGGUGGAAGUGUUGUAAGACUACGGGGCAACCAUAGCAUUCACUAGCAGUCAGUGAUGGAUGGUGAUGUAAGACUACUAGUAAGCCGUAGCAUUCCUUAGUAGCUUCGUUAGCGGAGUUGGGGCGAGGCCCUUAUCUCCUAGCGAUCAGAUAGGGAUCAGGAAUGGGUAGUGGAUGAAAGUGAUAGGAAGUUUGCUUGUAUAGCCCUAGAGAGGUGAGACCUUGGGAGAGGCCGCUCCAGGAUAUAGUUGGGUGAGGCCUGUGGGCGAGGCCCGUAUGAGAGUAGCGGUAUAGGUGAGACCUGAGAGUAGGGUUGCUCAGUAGUAUGGCCGGGUGAGACCCGUAGGCGAGGCCCGAGAGAGAGUGGUUAGACAAGUAGGACUAGAAGGAUAGAGGCGGGGGGGACCCGUGGGCGAGGCCCGUGUGUUUUAGCGGCAUAGGGGGGACCUGGUAAGGACCUUAGUGUCAAGAUAAGGGAUCGGGGAUCCAUGGAUUGUAGUGACUGAAUGGCAGAAUAGAUUGCGCAGUUAUAGGUGGUCAAAGUUCCUUCGAAAGUCGCUGGGAGCGACUAGGAGUAGUGUUGGGACUAGCGACCGGUGGGAUCCGGUAAUCCAGAUAUUGGUAGGACGGUAGGGAUUAGGGUGGUCUCAGUUCAUCCGGAAGGCAGAUAAGGAAUAGCAGAAUUUUCAGUCAGUAGUAGUGCGGGUAAGCAGUGUAUGGUGGAAUUCAGUUAGUUGUAUCGAGGGGUGCUCGACACCAAGUUUUGACAGAGAGGAGUGUCAGUGGUUACUGGCGGUGAUGACCUGUACUGGAAGUAGCGGGGGUGAUGGAGUUGGCGAAGGAUAUGACCUUCACAGUGACAGAGGAAAUAGUUGGUUAUGGAGCAUUGCCUUGGGAAGGCAAGGAAUUCGCACAAGGAAAGAAGGGGUGAACCCCUAUAGGUUCAGUACAGUACUCGGUGAGUACCGGAAGGAUUGUCGGUUGAGUAAGUUGUGUUUCCAGGAUGUUCAGGGUCAGGGUGACCUGAGUCUAUUAUCCGCAAGGAAUGAUGUUAGUCAGAAUGACCGGGCGGAAGACCAGCGAAGGUAGGCAGCUGGUGUUGGAAUGAUUAGUUGGGUAUUGAAAGCAUAUCGCAGGCAGUGGCCCAUAGCAAACUUCGAGGAUGAAGUUUAGUUUAAGUGGGGGAGAGUUGUAACACCCAAAGUCAGAAAGGCCAAGAAAGGAAAGGAAACCCUAAGUCUAAGGGAUGACUCAGUAAGUCCAAGGAGGAACUCGGCGAGUCCGAGCGGGAUCCGGGUCGAGGAAUAAGUGAACGACUCGGCGAGUCGGCCAAGGAGACUCGGUGAGUCUGGUCUGUACGAGGAAAUCCCUAAAUUUGGGACUUGGAGCCUAUUUAAGCGCCUCAUUCUCUUCCCUAGGGUUCCUCUACUGCCUCUCUAACCCAGAACACCAAACCCUAGCCGCCAUAUCCGUUGUUGAGCCAAUUAUUGCUUUGAAGAGUGCAUUAAAGCUUGGAGAAGGAAGAAGGGCCUUGGAGGUGCAAGAAGGAGCUAUAGAUCUGGGCUUGGGAAGAUAUUUCUGAACAUUUAAAGGUAAUAAACUAGUUCUUGGAAUCCUUUGCACCAAGAUCUAUGUUGAGUUUUGGGGCUUUUGGCCAUGAUUGGUAUCCAUUUGAGUUAGAAGCCAGAUCUAAAGUUGGAACUUCGGAUCUAAGCAUAUUUUGGCCUUGUGAAGCAUAAAGUAUCAGCCCUUGAGUUGAUUAUGGAGCCUCUUUGCAUUAAACCCUAUUUUAUGGUGUGUUUAGCCUAGAUCUCCUUCUCUACACGUAAAGUUUGCAACUUUACGUGAGGAAUAGGCUUGGGAAGGGUAGAUCUACAGUUUGGGGUCCAUGCAUGACUCAAAAGUCCUCUACAUGUAUGUAGAUCUGAAUGGACUCGACGAUUCCUUUGAGUGGACUCGGCGAGUAGCAUGAAGAUUAGGAGGAAUUUGACGAGUGGGAUAAACAGCUCGUCGAGUCAGAUGAAGUUGGGCAGGAACUCGGCGAGUUGGAAGAACAACUCGGCGAGUCAGUUGAAGAUUGCCUUGGACUUGGCGAGUCUGUUCUUGGACUCGGCGAUUCAGGUCACGAAACCCCAAACCCUUCGAGUUGAGACUCGAAUCAGUGAGUCGAGUGGAGACUCGGUGAGUUGGACAGGUCAGGACUCGGAAAUCGGUAGACUCGGCGAGUCGAGUCGCGAUUGGAAGGACUUUGAGCAUAUGAACUCGGCGAGUCAAUAGGUAGACUCGGCGAGUAGGGUUGACCUAGAAGAUUGACUUUGACCAGGACUUUGACUUUGACCAGAGUUGACUUAGUUGACUGUUGGGGGUCAGUUAGUCUAAGUGUUUCAUUGAUAUUGGUAGCUCGGGGAGCUAGUGGAGCAGGAGUUCAGAGAGUUUCUGGGCAGCAUCCAGAAGGUUAUCAGCAUGUUCAGCAAGUGCAUGUGAGUUUCCCUUUGUGCCAAUGGGUCUACGGUCACAAUGUCGGCCCAUGUAGUUAUGAGUAGNGGAAGGUUGACUUUGACCAGGACUUUGACUUUGACCAGAGUUGACUUAGUUGACUGUUGGGGGUCAGUUAGUCUAAGUGUUUCAUUGAUAUUGGUAGCUCGGGGAGCUAGUGGAGCAGGAGUUCAGAGAGUUUCUGGGCAGCAUCCAGAAGGUUAUCAGCAUGUUCAGCAAGUGCAUGUGAGUUUCCCUUUGUGCCAAUGGGUCUACGGUCACAAUGUCGGCCCAUGUAGUUAUGAGUAGAAGACCCGGGGGUUAGCCCUAGGCACAGUAUGCUAGUAUGAUAUUCGGGACGAGGUCCAAUGAUAGAGGGCGGGUGCCCAAGGAAUGGUUUAUGUGAUAGUUUAUACUUGUUGUCUGUGUGAUACUUGUAUGUGCCUGGUAGGGAGGUGAGUGUGGGCGAGGUCCCGUAUCUCACCAAUAGCAGAGUGUGGAUGGUGUUCCACAUCUCAGUAGCAGCAGAUCAGGGGCGAGGCCCAAGUUAGGGAAGGAGUGAGGGUGGGCUGGGCCCGUACCUCACUAUCAGCAGGAGUAUGGACGGGGUUCCAUGACUCAUCAGUAGCAGGACAAGGGCGGGGCCCAGAGAUAGGCGAGGCCUUAGGACAAGAUCCGUUAGUAUGUGUUUAGCUUAGGUUAUGUGAUGUGAUAUGUUUAUGUGCUAUUAUAUGUUAGUGGGCGAGGCCCUGUGACAGGCGAGGCCUAAGUGAAACAGAUCUGUAUCCGAGCGGGGCUCGAAGCCAGGCGGGGCCUGGAACGGUGAGGCCGUUAUAGCGGGCGAGGCCCGAGGUAGGGGCGAGGCCCAGGUUAGCGGGCGUGGCCCAGUAUGUGCAGUAUAUGGUUAUGCAUGGUAUGUGGUAGGGUGGGGAACUCACUAAGCUUCGUGCUUACGGUUUUCAGUUUUGGUUUCAGGUACUUCCGGUAGCGGAGGGAAGAGCUCGGGGGUGAUCGCAUGACACACACCAUAGAUUAGACAACCUGGGAAUGUUUUACUCUGAUAAUGAACAUGUGUUUUGGAAAAUUAAUACUCUGAUUAUGUUUUGAAUUGGUGACCUUGCUUAAAGAAAUGUUUUAUUAAAAGAAAUUUUUAGUCAUGAAUUUUGGGACGUUACAAAGUACAUUAAUCCUUGGUACAAAUAUUACAUCAACAAAAGUUAUCUCUAAGCUUUCAUGAAAUUGAAGACCUUAUGCCUAACACAACCAUUGUAUCUAGAUAAGAUUUUCCUACUUAUUUACUUUGUUGUGUGCAAAUAUUAAUACACUUGACUUAAGCAUCACCAACAUUUGGACAUAAUUGUUGACGUUGAGGUGGUUGGUUAGAGCAUUAGUCAACUUUAAUAUUCAAGUGAAGACGUAUCAAAUACAAGUGAUUGUAGUUCACUCCUAUAGCAACAAGAGGAGCAGAGGCUUUAAGUAGUUUAUCCAUUUCAACAUGAAACUCUUUUCACACAUGAACGAUCUUAUGACACCUGUCAAAUGCCUCUUAAAAUAUACAAUCAACACUUGGUCAGUAGCUUUCUUCUCUGUGGCCAGAACCAUGACCUCUUCAUUUCCCUAUAUUAAUGAUGACAGGUUCAUAAACUAAAAGGACUGUAAAGUCAAAAUAGUUGACAUUAUGUUGACAUACCUAGUGGUGUGAAGAGAAGAAUAAAUAGAAUGUUUGUAAUAAACCCGCUUUCUUGGGUGAGGAAACCAUGACACUUGUUCAGAAAUGAAACAUCCCAACUAGCACCUAACGACUUUUGCUACAUUGAGAUAUACUAGCAAACAACAUAAGCAAAUCACAUGGAAAAUUAUUACAAUUAAUAAAACUCAUAAAUAAAGUGGUAAAAACAGCCUUGCACACACUCUUGAUUAAAAAAAUAGUUUAUAUUAGUGUAACAUCCCGAUUUCUCGAUAUCAGUUUAAAGUUCUAGAGUCAUGUUUCAAAGACAACUCGACGAGUUGAUAGGCCAACUCGUUGAGUAGUGACCAAAUCAGCCAUGUGGAUUUUAGACCCUACUCGUCGAGUUGGAGGACCCGACUCGACGAGUAGGUGCUGGAAAGUGAAAACCAUAAUUUUUAGGGUUUGCACCCUAUUUAAAGGUCCUUAACUUUCCUCCUCAGCCUCCCUUGUCACCUUCACGUCCAAAAAAACCAACUAGUCUCUAUUCUUGAGUGUGUGAGACCAAAAGAGAGUGUAUUGGAGCAUUCUUAAGGAGUUAAGAGCUUUGAACAAGGGAUAGCUUGUAGAUCCAACUUUUCCAGUGUUGUGACAACAAUAUUGAGUUAUAAAGCUACCACCUUUAUAUUUCAUUGCUUAGAUCUUCCUUUUUGGUAAAGUAAUUGUCAUGUCUAGGGCAUGAUGGGGUCACACUCGGAUUUAAGCUUGCCACAAGGGCAUAGUUUUAGAACUUGACUUCUUAAGGCCUUAUGAACAUAAAUCCUUAAGCUUUAUGAAGCCCUAGCCCUCCUUCAUGUCCAAAACCUUCUCCUAAUGCUAAUUAUGAGUGUUUUAGCUUCAUAGAACCAUGCAUGCAUGUAAAGUUAGCAACUUUAUGUGAUAACAACACCCUAGGAGCAUAGAUCUACUGUUUGGAGCUUUGGAGCAGCUUAAAAUAGUCUGAAUGAGUGAUGGACUGAAGGAGACUCGACGAGUUUCAUGGUUGAAUCGAAGAGUCGGUUGAAGAUUGCCCAUAAUGGUUUUGCAUGGACUCGGCAAGUCAGUAAGAAGACUCGACGAGUCAGUUAGGGUUCUUCCUGACAUUUAGACACGCGUAGACUCGCCGAGUUGGUGGGGAAACUCUGCGAGUUGGCCCAGGGAUUUCACGGUUUUCUGAGUUUUGGAGGAACUCGAUAGGUCAGUAGUUGGACUCGACGAGUUGGGUCAACAUGGACUGUUGACCUUGACUGUUGACUUGGAGUUUGACCAGGGUUAACCAUGUUUGACUUUGGAGGGUAUUUGGUAAAUGGGUAUUUAAGGAAAUGGAUCAUGGGUGGAUAUAGGUAAUGGAGUUUGGGGCAGUAUUUUGAGAGCGUGAUUUCGUGGUUUAGUUCGGCAUUGCAAGGUGAGUUAUCCUCACUAUAUCAACAGGGUCUAAGGCACCAAGGUCAGCCCUUUAUCUGAUUUGUAUUCGGGUAUUUGCUUGAUAUGUUUUUUGAUCUGCUAGAUCUGCAUCCUGGUAGUUAGGAUGGUAUUAUGUUUAGUGACCUGGUUUAGGUCAGUAUCCUGGUAUAUGGGAUGAUGUUAUGUUAGUGACCGGUUAGGUCGGUAUCCUGGUUAUAGGACGGUUGUUGUGUUAGUAAUCAGUUAGUUUGGUAUGAUUAUCUGUUGUAUACAUGCUCGCGUAUAAUAUUUAUGUGCACAUGAUUGUUUGAUUGUUAUGGGGGUUGGGUUGAGGCGGGUCCUGCUUCGUGUUGUAGGCCAACAUACCCAUGGCGGACCGGAAAGACUACAGGCCCAGGAAGGCACAUUGUCCAACCAAUGGCCCAACGAGCGGUCCGGAUAGGCUGAAGGCCCCGAGAGGGUGGUCCAAACGUGCCGAGGCUCGGAGAGUGGGCCAGGUGGACUGAAGGCCCGGUGCGGGCGGUCCAGUCAUACUGUAGACUCAAAGAGUGGACCAGGUGGACUGAAGACCCAGUGCGGGUGGACCAGUCACACAGUAGACUCGGGAUGCAUGGCUGUUCAGUGUUUGUUAUAUGAUAUGAUUAUGGAUUGUAUGAGGUUGGUAUUUUGGGGGUAACUCACUAAGCCUUCGAGCUUACGUUUAUCAAUUUAUGUUUCAGGUACAACGAAUUAACCCAGGAAGACGAAUGUGUGAUCGUACACUUCCCCAUAAUAUGUUUUGGAUUUUCUGGGAUACUCUGAUGUGAAACUAUUUUGGAAACCUUUUUGUAAUAACUAUUGGCAUUUGAAAUGUUUUUAAAAGUUUAAAUUUGGCUUGGAUUUUAUGGGUGUUACAAUUAUUUCAAUUAUCCAAGACGAUUUUAUGUCGAGAUUUUAAGUUAACAUUAAAUCUCAAUUAUUUGUUUGAAUGAUUUUUUUCUUUUAUCUUAGAGAUUUGUUUGAAAUUUAUUAAUUUUUUUUAUAAAUUUGAAUUAAUCAAAGACACAUAUAAAAAUAUCUCAUCAAAUCAAAUAAAUUUAAUAUAUAAAAAAGAUAGUAUCCGAUUAAGUCAAUCUAAAAAUACCAACAUAUAAAUAUAACUCACAAAUCUUGAUGGGAAUAAGAAUCAAACUCAAAAUCAAUCAAAUAAAAAAACCUUUGAUUUGUGUUAUAAGUAUAAAAUAAAUCAGGAUUCCAAAUAAAUAUUACAAUGAAAAAAAACCUAAAAUGUUUGAAACAAAAUAUGAAAUUCGCCAUCACUGUCAAUUUAAAAAAAAAACCUUUAUUAAUACUAAUGGGCUAUUUGGUAGCAUCCUGAUGAAUCAUAUCUGAAUGAUCUAGAUGCCUGGAUGAUCUAGAUGCUCUUUAGGAAUUUCUAUCGGAAUGAUAAAAUAAUGUUUGGUUAGGCAUCUAAAUAUCUGCCUCUUAAUGAGGAAAAUAACCAUUUUAGCCCUCUAAAUUAUUUUUUGAAUACAAAAUAAACAUUAUACAAUAUCCAACAAAUCGGUUAAAACAAAUUGGCUUUUGAUAUUCAGAUUCAUGUGUUUCUUCAUCAACAAUCUCUUUGAAGAGGACUCGUUUUGUUUCUGUUUUUAGAUCAUUAGGCUUUCUUGCUUCUGGAACAUUGAUGGGCCUAUUUUCUUGCUGAAUAUCUUCCAUCACUAGCAACUUCAUCUUGCUCCUAGAUCACAUAUCAACUAAACAAGUUGAAAAAUAACCAAACACAUAUUUUCAUAUAGAACAUUUCAAGCAAACACAAACACAUUUUCAAAAAAAAAAAAACAAAUCAAUUGUUAUUUUCAGAUUUCCAAAGGACAAAAACAACAUCAACUGAACACAUAUAUAGAGCAAGAAGAACAAAGCACAAAAAUCGAUUUCAUACAAAAUCGAGCAGCAAGAACACGAUUGACACCAAUUUCAUGCAAAAUUGCUCAACAAUAACACGAUUGAAGCAACAGAUUCGAGAAAAAAAACCAUACCUGAAAACUUACCGACGACGAGUAGGCGGAGAAGUAGGAGCGUUGUCGAAGGCAUGCAAGGGGAGGCGGCGACGGAGCCAAUAAUUGGAAGUUGUCAACGCUUAAUGAAGAUAAAGAAUGAGGGAUGAAAGGUCGAUCUCUAGAAAGAAGGAGAAGAAAAAAGAGUCGGCCGCAAUUUGUUGUUAGGGCAAUGGUAGAAGAUGAAAAUUUUUUUAUUCAGACUUCUCCUCAUAUCUUAACGAAUCAGAUUAGUUUUAGCUACAUCUGACCGAUUAAGAGCGUAAAAAUGUUUCAACCAAACACUCUGAAUCUUAAUGAUCCAAAUGCAACCUCUUAAUGAGACCAUUAAGAGGCAAAACAAACAGCCCCUAAAUAAAAAAAACAAUAUAGUUUCCAUAAAAAUCGAUUUAAAUAUUAAAGAAGAGAAGAAAUCAGCAUUUAUACGACGUAAUAGUUUUUUAAAAUUAAAAAAAAAAAAUUAUUCAUAUUAUAAGUAUAAAAUACAUUUUAUUCUUAACUCUCAUUUGUAAUUUGCCAUAUGUUUUCAUAAGAGUUUAUGGUAAUAACUUAAAUUUUUAUUUUUCCAUAUACCAUUUUUCAUUUACAAAAUUGUUUGUGCUUAUUUUUUUUUGUUAUAUUAAAAUUUAUUAUAUUUUAUUAUAUAAUAUAUAUCAUAAUUUUUUUCAUUAAUUUACAUAUAUCUUAUUUUUACGUGUUUAUUUGAAACAAUCGUUAUAAUGCAAAAUAAAUACCACUUCUCCAUAUUAAUUAUUAAUUUUUAUUAAAAUACUUUAUUAAUUAUUAUAAUUUUUAUCUAUUGAUAUUCGUUUAAUUUUGUAAGUUUUAUUUUCACAAAGUAUAACCUAAUUAAUUUCUCAUCAUCUAUAGUAAAUGAAAGUUUUUUUUUUCACAUGCAAUCACUAAUUAAUUUUGACACUUGUCAUUUUAUAAUAUUUUUUAAAUAAAUAAUAUCCACAUAUCAAUUUAUGAUUUUUNNNNNNNNNNNNNNNNNNNNNNNNNNNNNNNNNNNNNNNNNNNNNNNNNNNNNNNNNNNNNNNNNNNNNNNNNNNNNNNNNNNNNNNNNNNNNNNNNNNNNNNNNNNNNNNNNNNNNNNNNNNNNNNNNNNNNNNNNNNNNNNNNNNNNNNNNNNNNNNNNNNNNNNNNNNNNNNNNNAUCAAAUGUAAUAAAUAUUAUUUUAAAAUUUCAUUUUAAAAAAUAUUUAUUAUUACAUUUUAAUAUUUUAUAUUCUUUAAUCAACCGUGUAAUACAUUUUAAUACAUAGAUUUUCCAUCUAAUAAAUAAAUAAAAUGUAACCAUUUUAAUCACUAAAUAAUUAAUCAACCAAAGAUUAAAACCCACUGAUAAAAAGGAAACUAAAUCAACACCAAAUUGAAAAUUAAACCAUAUAUUACUAAAUUAAUUCACAGAGAGUUCGACAUCAAUCAAAUAUUAUCUCGCACUCAAAUUCACAAAACUCACUUUCCAGGUACAAAGUUUGUAGCAUAUGACCAUGCAUUGUUUGCAACAGGGUCAGCAAGGUGGUCAGCGAGGUUCUCCAAUGGUCCCUUUCCGGUAACAAUGGCUUGAACAAAGAAUCCAAACAUAGAGAACAUGGCUAGUCUACCGUUCUUGAGCUCCUUCACUUUCAGCUCAGCAAAUGCCUCUGGGUCAUCAGCCAGACCCAAUGGGUCGAAGCUACCACCAGGGUAAAGUGGGUCAACUACCUCACCAAGAGGUCCACCAGCAAUUCUGUAACCUUCAACUGCACCCAUCAAGAUCACUUGGGUAGCCCAGAUGGCUAAAAUGCUUUGUGCAUGGAUCAAACUUGGGUUCCCCAAGUAGUCAAGACCACCCUCACUAAAGAUCUGGGAUCCAGCCUUGAACCAUACAGCCUCACCAAACUUGACACCAUUACGCGCCAAGAGUUCGGGGAAGACGCACCCAAGAGCUCCGAGCAUGGCCCAUCUGCUGUGGAUGACCUCAAGCUCACGGUUCUUGGCGAAUGUUUCAGGAUCAGCAGAGAGCCCAGCAGUGUCCCAACCGUAGUCACCGGGGAACUCACCGGUCAGGUAAGAUGGGGCUUCGCCGGAGAAUGGGCCAAGGUACUUAACACGGUCGGGGCCGUACCAUGGACUUCCUGAUGGUGCGACUUUCUUGACUGCUGUCUUCCUCAUGGAAACCCUUCCAUUUCCGAUUAUUUCUGAACCAGAUGGUGCUGCUUUCACUGCCUGUCCGACGAAAGAAGAAGAUAGAGCCAUGGUGGAAGCUGCCAUUUUUGUGAGAUUUAUUUUGAAGAUGUUGUGAUGGUUAUACUUAUGAAGAUGGGUAGAACUGGAAGUAGAUUUAUAGGGUAGUUUUUGGAUCAGAUAGGUGAUCAAUGCUUAUCUUGAUACAAUCUUUAGCUUCAAUUUGAUUGGCUACAGAGAUUCUUGUGGGUCCGUAAUCUGUGGUGUGAGUUCUCUGGCCCCCCUGAGAUAUUUUGAAGGGGCAGGAUAUUCGUGGCUCUGGUUUAUUGAGCCAAUGACUGGCUUUCACUCACUACUCUUAGUGGUGGUUUUUUAUAAUAUGCUGUAAGCUUGUAACCAUCCAAUCGUCUAAGUUUAUAACUGACCUAUUAUUACAAAUAUAUACUAACCAGGCAAAACUUUUGGUUAUAAAAGUUAAUGUGACCGAGAGACUAACACAAAAAAUUAUAACAGGAGUAGUUAAUAAUCCGCGAUUUACCGCUAUGCCGAGAGCCGUAGGGAGGAUCCACCAUUUACCCCUAAGUGUGCAGAAUGCCUUUUUUUUUUUAGUAUUAAAAUAUCAAGAUCGGACACGCGUUGUAAAAUUCUUGUUCGAAUUGUUUGCAAACUCUUCGUCACAAUAAGGGGAGUUUAAAUAUGCGUUUUAAUAUAAUAACAUUGGCAUUGAUUAAAUGUUAAUAUUCAAUUAUCAUCCCACAUGAGAAUGAAAUAUAUUAAUGAUUUAUUAAUCUAAAAACAUUAUCAUCCCACAUGAGAAUGAAAUAUAUUAAUGAUUUAUUAAUCUAAAAACAAUUUUUUUAUGUCAUUAUUUUUUGGGGUUACAGUCGAGCUUGGAGGAUCUCGACUUUAGGUAUGCCCAUUUUAUUGAGAGGAAUUACUAAUAAAUUUCGGAAAGAGGAAAAAAAUAUGAUCGUGGACAUAUGGUUUAGGAAUAUUUUCAUGUUCGUUUGACACAAGUAAAGUUCUUGAAAUGGGUGCUUCAGUUUGUACGAGCGGCUAACUUGAUAAAGUUCAAAGACAUAAAGGCAAUUUUCAAAAACUCACAUGAUCAGUUAUCGAACAAGCAUGUCGUACUAGUGUGCCCACUACACAUGUUAGUUAGCGGUUUCAAUAGGAAAAGAGCAUCAUUAGCUGUCAAUGAUAAUAUUCUUUCUCUAGUACUCGAUCCUUACGACUUUUAUAUUUAUAUCAUGUAAUUUAGAAUUUAAUUUAAUUUCUAUUAAUCUUCGAUUACAGUUUAUGUGAUCUAAUUCAUGGAUGUUUUGGCACUACAUAUCUCAAUGGAGUAUGCCAGGGAAAUUUUGGUCAUAACAACAGCCUCCAUGGGUUUAUAUAUAUUUUUAAGGUACAUAUAACAUCCUAUUUUUAGGCUUAGAAAUUUUGGUCAUUUAUAGUGAAAAUAAUUUUUUUUAAUAAAAAAAUAAAAAAGGAAAAAUAAAAAUAAAAAGAAUGACUGAAUGAAUACAUGAGCUAAUAAAAGGUUUAGAUCAAAUGUUUAAAGAAAAUAGCGAAUUUAUACUUAAAAUAGGAAAUAAAUAAGGAAGGGUCAGUGGUGGCAACUUUGGAAAACUUGUUUAAUUUAGAUCUAACUAGACAAUUUAUUUGUAAAGAGUUAAAAAUGUAACGAAAUGAUACUUAUAAGCUUAAGAGGGAGUUUUUCAGUUGGAAAUGUUGUUAGAAACCCUUAUUGGAAAAAAUUAGGACAAAAGGACUAAAAUUGUCAAGUUGAUGAAACUUGUGUUAACCUUAAUGUAACGACCCUAAAAUCUUAAAUUAUGUGUUUAAUUACUUUGUAUCAUUUUGUUGAAAAAUGAACAUUAAUGAUGCAAUAAUCAAUUUGUUAGUAAAUUUCAUUGUAUAUCCUUACAUUUAUCAUGUUAUAAUCGAAAAUAUAGGACAUUUCAGCAAAAAAUAACCCUGUAGGAAAGUCGCAUUACACCUCGAUAUAUUCGUGUGGAUAUAAAUUCUAUGAAAAUCCAAAUUUGUAUGACGAAGUUAUAGUCAAUAUAAGUUGGAAGUACAAAUUUUAAUGUUUAAAUGUGUAUGUUNNNNNNNNNNNNNNNNNNNNNNNNNNNNNNNNNNNNNNNNNNNNNNNNNNNNNNNNNNNNNNNUAUAUAUAUAUAUAUAUAACAUCUCAAAACCAUAAUAACCAUAACAUAAAAUCAGAGUUUCAAAACAUAUUAUCUCUCUAAACCAUAACAAUCACUGGAUGAUGUGUAGAGUCACGUGUAACAUCUCGUUUAAAAUUAGAUAAAUAAAAUAAAAUAAGUAAAUAAAUUAGAUAAAAUAAGUAAAUAAAUAAUAAACCCUAAAACCUCAAGAUGAAUUUUAUAUUUUUAUGUUAGCCUUAAAUCCAUAAUAAUUAUCAGAGUAUUAGCGCAAUAAGUUAAAUGUUAUUAAUUCUGGAAAUAGGGGUUUAAAAUGUAAAUUUCGAACUAGUUAAGAAUAGAUUUGUGGAAGCUGGGGAUUGUUUGGUAAUUUGGACUUGAAUUGAAAGGAUUAUUGGAAACAGGUAUAGAGUAAAUUACAGAUUUAAUUUGUAAAGGAAUUGAGAUGGAGGGACUGAAAAUAUAAGAAAGGGACUAAUGUUUGAAGAGAUAGGCAUGACUUAAACCCAUUCCCCCUCCACCCUCUUGCUACUCGGUUGCACCCAUAUAAACCCUAACCCUAAUAUCUUCUCAGCCGCCACCUUAUCCCUCCAUAUCUCCAGUCGCUUCCAUCACCUGUGUCGCCGUCAUGAACCACUGAGCACCACUGCCGCUGCUCCCACUGCCGAUGAAAACGAAGAUCAACGUUUGGACACCGUGACAGUGGGGAAGUAGGAAGAAAGGAAGCUCGUGGUUGUUAUUGCUGUUAUUCUCGGUUAGGGGUCGCAAAACCUUUCUCUUCUCCGUUUCCUUUUGUUGCUACGUUGUCAUCGUCAUCGCUCCAUGUGAGGGUGGUUGUGUUUGUGUUUUGUGAGUGUAGGUGUGUGUUGCUGCUGUGGCAAGUUGGAGAGGUGUGUGUGUCUUUUGUUGGCCAGAAAAACGAAGAGAAUCACCAUGGCAACCAACCAUGGUGGUUUUCACCGUUCUGGAGCCACUAGCCACCACCCUAGGUGGCUGUGUGUGUUGGAUUGACAUUUCUUCUGUACCAGGAUGCUUUUGAUAGUGUUUGGCCUAAAAUUAUAACUACCACCAUUAAAAAGUGGUGGCUGUCGCCUCCUACCGCCAUGGACCGCCGCCGACCACCAAUGCCCGAGGUGGCAGUGGGUGGUGUCUGACUUACUAAACAUUAAAUAACCUAAACAUCUAACCUUAGACCGAGUGGUACGUGUUUGGGUUGGAAACUCUUACUAGGCUUUAGAAAAUCCUAAGGUCAAGAAAACCCUAGUUUUGGAGUUUUGUCGGGACCCGCGUUGAAGUGUUAAUUGAACUUUAAUUAUACUCGAUAAGGCCCUACGAUUAACUUAAUGCAGUAUUGAACUUAAUGAAUUAAGUCCUUAAGGGGUUAUGUGUGGAGCACUAACCCUAGUUAUCAUUUUAUGUGGAAACCCUAAAAAUCAAGAAGCCUUAUUUUCGGCAAUGAUCAGGGCACAUAUUUGGGAUAUUCCUUGGAUUAUUAUUAUACCCGAGAAUGAAUAUGUCAAACCUUAAUCACUCCUACUUUUAUUUGAUUAAGUCCUUAAUGGGUUAAGUGUCCUUACUUAACCCUAAUCGUCAUUUUAUGUGGAACCCUAAUCACUAUUUCAUGUGAGGUAGUCACUGCUGCAAUUGACGAUGACUUGUGAUCGAGUAUUGAAUCAAGUAUCUUCCUGUAGGUGAUUGGAAGUGAGUUGAAGCUGGUAGAGUUCUUCGUUACUACGGUGGUUACCUACUAGCAUAUCGAGCUGAGUUUCACCUCACUGUGUUAGAUCUAUAUGCACAAGAAUCAUUAUUCAGUGACAUUGCUAAUAACAUAUGAUCCUAUAAGGUCACACUUUAAUCAAGUUGGUACUUAUUGAAUAUUUAUUAAGUAUUUUAUAAUUAAUAAUAAAAGUUCAACUCAUGUAUUUAAUUAAAGAAAAUUUAUUGUUUUGUGAAAAUAAUAAUAAAUGAAAGACUAACUANAUAUAUAUAUAUAUAUAUAUAUAUAUAUAUAUAUAUAUAUAUAAGUCAUGUACAAAGUUUUGGACACUUUCACCAAAGAUUGACAAACUAGCUAGUUAAUUAAGUGACUAAACAAUAAACUAGAAAAUCCAAUGGACCAUUUUAGUCCUUAAAACCAUGGGUUAUCAAGGCGAGGAGGUUGAAAGUCAACCUCCAACAUUCUUGUCCCCCAUGUUUGUUCAUUACCUUGCAUGUAAUACACACCAUGAUCAUAUUAUAUAAGGCUAGUUGUUUUAUCACUAUAUGACUAGAAGAAAAAAAUCAUUUACACUUUCAUCCAUAGAAUUGUAGGUUCUCUUGGCUUCUCCCUAUCUCUCACUUGAAGUUAGUUCUUGGUUUUUUAGAGUUCGUCUUUUGUGUCUUCCUUUUACACUUAUUAUCUAUGUGCUUAAGGCUUAAAGAGAAAAAUAUUAUACAAGAAGAAAUCUAGCAAUUUUGGUACCUUAUUCUUGUUGGUGGAUUACUUGUAGAGAAGAUCAGACUUGUUGUUCUUGCCAUCUACUUCAACACCCCAAAUCUAAGAGGGUCCAAAGUCUACGAAGGUUGUAUUUUCUAAACUCCCUAUGGUUGUUAUAAUAUCAUUCUAAGCACUUUAAAAGGAUCCUUGAUGGUUUGUUUUGUUUUCAAAUUUAUAAGAAAUUUUUAAAGCUUCCGUUGCCAGUUUUUGUGAAAAACUAUUUAUUUUAUGCAACAAACCCCUUCAGUUGUAACACUAUAAAUUUUCAAACAAAAUUUCCAUUUUUAAAACACACAAAUCUUAAAAUCACAUUUCUCAAAAAUCACAAAUGUAUCAAUUGUAAGAAUAUCCCAGAACCCUCAAACAUAAUCUCGAACAGGUGUGUACAAUCAAGUCGGCGCCUUACCGUGAUUCUGAGAAGUACCUGAAACACAUAACACACAACAUAGUAAAAACGAAGCUUAGUGAGUUCCCCAAAAUACCACAUACACAAAUAAUAAGCCACUCAUAGCUAUAGCUCGGCAUGGACCUUCCAGUCAUGCGUCUCGGUGAGGACCCUCCGGUCUCACGGCUCGGUGUGGACCCUCCGGUCAUGUGUCUCAGUGAAGACCCUCAGGUUUCACAGCUCGAGUUGGACCCUCCAGUCCUGUAUCUUAGUGAAGACCCUCCAGUCUCACAACUCGGUUUGGACCCUCCGGUCCUAACUCAGUAAGGCACAAAAUAAUAUAGCAUAUAUGACAAAGACAAAAUGCAUAAUAUCACAUAACUCAGUAUAAGCACAUAGGACCAUCCGGUCGAUAACUCAAAUAAGACCCUCUGUUCACAUAGUAUUACCACUCAGGUAAGUAUAGUGAUAAGACUCGUCUCGGAAGUAAGCAAAUAGAUCUAGUACCCCACGAACAGUUUAGACUCCGCCUACAUAAUAUAAUUAUCUCUAAUAAGCAAUUUGUAAUAACCAUUCCGAGAUGUUAAGCUAGCUCCCCCACUAAAUCUCAAAAAUGGUGAAAAUACCAUUUUACCCCUCCAUGGUCUCUAAGGUCCACAGUUGACCAAACCCUAAAACUCAACGUAAGUCAACGCUCAAGUCAACAGUCCAUGUUGACUAAACUCGUCGAAUGCAUCCAUGCGACUCGUUGAGUACCGUCGUUUUCUCUGAAGUAUCGGGAAAAUCCAACUCAACUCGUCGAGUUGUCUCAUCAACUCGCUGAGUUGUAACGCAUUUAGACUAUCAGGGAAAACCCUAGCUGACUAGUCGAGUUGUCUCAUGCACUCGUCGAGUCCCUCUAUACAAAUUCUCAUUUAGACUAUUCUAAGCAGGAAUAAGGUCCCAAACUCUAGAUCUAGCCUCCCAAGGCUGAAAUACCAUGUAAAGCUGCAAGCUUUACGUCUAUGCAUGGAAUCUAGCGCUCAAAAUGCUAAAACAAGCUCUAUAUAGGGUUUAAUGCAUAAAAUCUUGCCACUAGCUUGAUAAAGCUUGGACCUUUGGGCUCAAGGGACCUCAUAUUGUCCAUAUCUGAAGUCUCAAAUUCAUGGCAGGCUCAAACAACUCAAGUACUCAAAGAAGGAUGGAAAAAGGCCCUAAAACUCCUUAGAAAAGAGAUCUAACCAAAUAAUGAUCAAGGUGGUAACUUUUUACCUUCAAACAGAAGCUAGAAAUGAAUAAGCACCAGAUCCAAGAGCUCCCUCUCGUCCCAAGCCUUUUGUUCCUCAAUCUUUCUCCAAAAAUGCACCAAAAUACACAAUAUUAUCCUCUCCUUCUCUCACACAUAGAUAUAGCUCGAUUAGGGUUUCUCUCAGAGUUUUAGGAUGAUAAGGGAGGAUGAAAUGAAGGCUUAAGGUCCUUUAAAUAGGACACAAACCCUGAAAAUUGGGGUUUUCUCACUCUGCUCCUACUCGUCGAGUUGGGGUCCUCCAACUCGUCGAGUAGACUCUAAAAAUCACGCAACCUUUAACUCCUCUACUCGGCGAGUUGGGGCAUCCAACUCGUCGAGUUGCUCUGACAUCAUAAAUGCAAAUUUAUUAAAUGUUAUAUAUGGGAGCAGGAUGGUACAUGUAACGACCCAAUUUUCAUGACCAAAAAUUUUGUUUUAAAAACAUUACUUUAGAAAAUAUUAAAAGCUAAAAACAUUGUCGGAUCAAAUCAUAACACAAGUGAACCAUGUCUAAAAGCCAAUUCAUACAUUCAAUCAAAAUAUCAGAGUACAAAUCCCAGUGAAGCUCGUAAAUGCGGAAACCGGAGAGUGUGUGUGUGACAUGCUGCUACCGCGCCGGCUCCUUUCCCCUAGCUGAGGAGGUACCUGAAACCAAAACUGAAGACUGUAAGCACAAAGCUUAGUGAGUCCCCCCGUCGUACCACAUACCAUACAAACACGUAACAUACAUACUGUCAGGCUAUUCUGGGGUGCCUGACUACCCGGUACGGCCGUUCUGGGGUGCCGUCCUACCCGUGUCAAGCCAUUCUGGGGUGCUGACUACCCGUGUCAAGCCAUUCUGGGGUGCUGACUACCCAUGUCAAGCCAUUCUGGGGUGCUGACUACCCAUCGGUCCUAACAACCGAUCCUCGGGGACUAGUCCCCUCUUACUACCUUUAUCUCAUAUAACAUAACAAGCCAGCAUGCAAUCAUAUCAUCACGUACUGUCAGACAUAUCUGGGGUGUCCGACCUACCCUUCGGUCCUAACAACCGAACUCUACAACUAUCACAUAUACAUAUCAUGCCAGCAUAUAACAUAUCAGGUAGUAGCAAACCUAGAUGAUAUCACAAAGACAAUCAUCUAACAUACAACUCCUACUGGUGGGCCGGCAUUGUGGCCGUAGACCCACCGCUACUGGAAGGUAACUCACCUCGAAGUAGCUGCUGAUCUGAUCGGGAACUGACUGCCUACUGCUGCUGCUGCUGCUCCGGAAAUCCUCCGGCUGCAAUUCCCACAACAUACUCAAUCAAACACUGCUCACUGACCUUUGGGUAAAAUGACCAUUUUACCCCUGAUCAUGCCCUAAGUCAAAGUCAGAGUCAACUUUCAGUUGACCCGACUCGCCGAGUUGGCUUUCCAACUCGCCGAGUCCCUACCCAAACGACUGCCCUGAAACCCGAUCCUACCCGUCGAGUUAGGCGACGACUCGACGGGUUCACCUUCUUAACCAAUAUUCAAGUCCUUCAUUCUACUCGCCGAGUUGUAUGAACAACUCGCCGAGUUCAUCUUCAUCCGAAGAACACUUAUGCUAAGACUCGCCGAGUUGUAUGAACAACUCGCCGAGUCUGUUCUUGAUCUAAGGAGAUUGCCUUGAACUCGCCGAGUCAGGGCAUUGACUCGCCGAGUACCUCCAUAGAUGAGUUAAGCUUCCGACUCACUGAGUCACACCCCGUGACUCACUGCUCACUCGACACUACGAAAAGGGGACAAACUCGGAGACUCGCGAACAGACUCGCCGAGUCAUAUGAACGACUCGCCGAGUCGUUGCCAUGCAUCCACUAAAUACACAGAUUUGCUCGAUUCCAGUCCAUGCCAUUCAUAGAUCUGGGCUUCUAGGACACGAAUCACACGUAAAGUUUCCAACUUUACGUGUGGAUAUUCACCAAUAUGGAUUUUAGGGCUCAAAAUGUCUCAAAAGGGUAGAUCUAGGGCUAACAAGCAACAUGGGGCCAUAAAGCUAACAGAUCUGAGCUCCUGGAGCUCAAUCUUGCCUAGAUCCAGAGGCCAAACAUCUUAUUACGACAUACAAUGCACAUACAAGCUUGGGGAUUUGACCAAGAAGGACCCAAAUGAAGUUUUAAGCAUAGAAUCAAGGGGAAAACGGGUUAUACCUCAAAGGAACUGCUGGAAGAACACAAAUAAUGCCUGGAUGGCUUCCCUUCUUCUGGAUCUACUUCCUUCCUCCUUCCAAACCUUCAAAAACACACACACUAACCUCAAACUCUCAAGGAAUAGCUUAGAACGAGAGAUACAGGGCUUUAAGGGUCAAUGGGGGCCGGCUUGGGGCUGAUAAGUCCUUUAAAUAGGGUGCAAACCCCUGAAACUUAGGGUUUCAUCCAACAGCUAUGACUCGCCGAGUCCAGGAUAUGGACUCGCCGAGUCGCCAACUUAAACGUGUCCCGGGUCCCGCAUCCACUCGGCGAGUCGGACCUAUGACUCGCCGAGUCCAAGGCUAAAAGAAAGGAAAUACUCAAAUAACAUUUACGUACCAGGAACCGGGUGCUACAGUACAUCAGUUGUAUCAAAACCAUCUUUUAAAUGUUAGAAUGAUUUUUAUGUUAUGAUAAUCUUUGGUUUUUGGGAAACAAGCAUGGAUUUCUUUUUAGCUUGCAUCAUGUUAAUGAUUCGACCGAAGUGGCUUGCAUCAUGCUUGCAACUAUGACUCCUGAACUUCAAAAAACUUUUGAGUUUCAUGAAGCAUUUGAAAUGAUUGAACAACUGAGUCAUGUUUCAAGUUCAGGCUAAGCAAGAUAGGUUUGAGACCUUGAAUGCUUUCAUUGGUUGCAAGAUGGACAAAGGAUCUUUUGUGAGGUCACAUGUACUAAAAAUAAAAGCUUAUGUUGACCAACUUUCCUGCCUCAGAUUCUAAUUUGGGGAUGAGCUAAAGACCAAUGUGAUCCUGGCCUCACUGCCUAAGUCAUUCAACCAAUUUUUGAUGAACUUCACAAUGAAUUAUUAGGAGAUGAGCAUUAAUGAGCUUCAUAACUUGCUCAAAAUUGUUGUGAAAAACGUCAAGAAGUCUGGGAACAAUCAAGUGCUGAUGAUUCAUGAGGGUCUAAUCUCUAAGAAGAAAACUAGUACUAAUAUCGGUUAGGGGAAAGGAAAAGCUGCCAAGAAAGGCAAGGGCAAGGGAAAGGGUAAAGGGAAGCCUCCUUCCACUAACCCAACUCCUAAACCCAAGCCUACUGCUAAUGUUGAUUGCUUUAAAUGUAAUGAAAAUGAACAUUGGAAGCGCAACUGUCCCAAAUACCUAUAGGAACUUAAGAAGAUCAAAGCCAACUAGUUUGGCACCUCAGGUAAUAUGUGAUUGAAUUACAUGCAUUCCGUACUAAUUCUUGGGUAUUCUAUACUGGAAGUGGUACUAACAUCUGGAAUGAUUUGCAGGGACUAAGGAAUGUUAGAGAACUAAGAGAUGGCGAUUUGGAACUUCAUGUUGGCAAUGGCAAUCGAGUAGCUAUCAAAGCCAUAGGACAAUAUCAUCUUUUUCUUCCAAAUGUCCUUAAUCUUAUUUUUAACAAUUGUUGUUAUGUACCUAGUAUAACUAGGAAUAUUAUAUCUACUUCUCGCUUGUAUGAACAAGGUUGUCGUUAUAAGUUUGACUUUGAUUUUGAAAACAUUUUCGUGUUUAAGGAUAAUGUGUUCUAUUUUGAGACUAGUCCCACAAAUGGAAUAUACGAAAUCGAUUUAAAUGGUUCAUACACAAAGGAUAAUUCAAUAUUCAACUUAAAUAAGAAAACAAAGUUAGACUCAAAUAAAACUUUUUUUUGGCAUUGUCGACUUGGGCACAUAAGUAAAACUAGCAUUACUAAGCUCCAAAAGGAUGUGAUAUUAGAGUCAACAGGCUCAAAGUCUUUUGAUGUAUGUGAAUCAUGUAUAUGUGGCAAGAUGACCAAAGCUUUGUUUACCGGUGUUGGUGAAAGAGCUUCGGAUCUAUUAGGACUCAUACAUACUGAUUUAUGUGGACCUUUUAGAACAAUGACCAUAAGCGGUGAAAGAUACUUCAUUACACUUAUUGAUGAUUACAGUAGAUUUGGAUAUGUGUAUCUCAUGAAACACAAAUAUGAACAUUCAAUGUCUUCAAGGUUUUCCAAACUGAAGUACAUAAUCAACUUGGUAAAAAUAUUAAACCCAUACGAUCAGAUCGUGGUGGUGAAUAUCUGAGAUAUGAGUUUGAUGAACAUCUGAAGAAUUGCGACAUAGUGUCACAACUCACUCCACCGGGAACACCUCAGCAUAAUGGUGUCUCAGAAAUAAGAAAUCAUACUCUACUUGAUAUGGUGCGAUCAAUGAUGAGUGAUACUUCCCUUCCUCAUUUAUUUUGGGGUUAUGCCCUUGAAACCGCAGUUCGAACUGUAAACAUGGUCCCAACUAAAAAGGUUAGUAAGACUCCCUACAUGUUAUGGCAUGGAAAGGAUCCAUCAGUGUCUUUCUAAAAUAUAUGGGGUUGUGAAGCAUAUGUUAAAAGAGAAACUUCUGACAAGCUUGACCCUAGAUUUCAUAAGUGUAUCUUUGUUGGAUACCCAAAAGAAACCGGGUGUUCAUAGCUCGUAAAACAAUGUUUCAUGUAACUGAAUUUAUCUUGCAUAAAGUAAGUGGGAGCCCCCUUGACCUCGAAGAAAUUCGAGAGAAACAACCUUUAGUUGAAAACGAUAAUCAACAAAGCAUUUUUGAACAUGAACUUAUUAUUCAGAUGCCGGAAACCACACCAAUUGUACGAUGUUCCAGUAGAACUCCUCAUGAACCUGACAAAUUUGGAUUUGUCAUUCCUGAAUAGGAAGUCUUCUUGAUGGAUCAAUAUGAGCCCAUCAACUAAAAGGAUGCUACUGCAGACCCAAAGUCUAACAAAUGGCUUGAAGCCAUGAGAACUAAAAUCCAAUCCAUGAAUGACAAUCAAGUAUGGGACUUGGUUGAUUUACCUCCUAACAGUAGAGCUGUUGGAAGCAAGUGGAUCUUCAAGAAGAAGAUCUACAUGGACGGAAAUGUACUCAAAUUCAAGGUGUUGACUAUGAAGAUACCUUCUCGCCAUUUGCUAAGAUUGAAUCUAUUAGAAUUAUCAUGGCAAUAGCUGCAUAUUAUGACUAUGAGAUUUGGCAAAUGGAUGUCAAAACCACGUUCCUUAACGGAUAUCUUGAGGAAGAUGUUUUUAUGGAACAAUCUGAAGGUAUUGUCAAGCCGGAUAACCUAAAGAAGGUACGUAAACUAAAGAAGUCCAUUUAUGGAUUAAAACAAGCAUCUGGGGUGUGGUAUCAUCGUUUUGAUGAAAAGUGUUGGGUUUUGAGCAUUCUAACACUCCUAUGGUGUACAUGCAACCCUAAAUACCUUGGAUCUAUGUUUUCUCUAUUAUACAUGAAAUAUCAAUUUCCAAGGUAUUUAUCCUAACUAGCAUAUUAUGAAGUACAAGUAAUAUAGAAACUAGUAGAAAUACAUACCUCUUUGUUGGUGCUUGAUUCCAUGGAGCUCAAGAGCCUAGUGCCCCAAAUGUGACACCUCAAAUGGUUCACACAACAUCAUAUGCACGUGGAAUAACUUAGACAGAAAUCAUCACUUCAUGAAAUCGACUUGCCCUCCAUAUACACACAUAGUGGCCGAUUUUUCACAAGAAUAUGAUGCUUAUAUAGUUGUUACAAUUAGGGUAAACCCUAAUUGUCAUGGCUUUCCAUUUCCUUAGAUCCAUGGGUUCAAAUACACCAUGGAGCAUCCAUGGAGUAUCCUAUGGGUUUUAGCCUAACUUAACAAUCCAUGGAGUCUUAGCCCACUAUACAGGUAUGUAUGAUAUACACAACCAACCCAUAUAUUUAAUUAGUCUUCUUUUGAUCACUUAAUUAAUUCUAGAUUAAUUCUUGAUCAAUAUUAAUUAAAUAAUCUUAUUAAUAUAUUAUAACUUAUAAUAUAUUAAUAAACCUUAAGUGUUAUUUCUCUCAUUUUAUUCUAUCCAAAUGCAUGAUGCCAUGCAACCCAAAUGGACUAUGUCGGGUCGGGUCAAGUAUAUACCAAUUAUAGUUAUGGACUUAGACACUAAUCCAACAAUCUCCCACUUGGAUAAGUCUAAUAACUAUCAUUGCAAGUACGGCUUCAC
rnacentral:lncRNA from 1 species